CAUCAACACUCCGUGAGCUUCAAUUACGAGGCUUGCCUCACUCGGACUCCCUGCCACACCAGCUUCAAUACUUGACUACCCUCCCUUCACUAAGUCUCUUCAACUUUCGAGGAAUAGAGGUGCUACCACAUUGGAUUGGAAACCUUGUGUCCCUUGAAACCCUAAAGCUAUGGUUUUGCGAAAAGCUUCAGUCUUUACCACCCGAGGCUGCCAUGAGACGACUCACAAAGUUAACUCGUGUCGAAGUUUGUGGGUGUCCUCUAUUAAGACAACGAUACACUCCCCAAAGAGGCAUCUACUUGGAGGAGUAGAUUUCAAGUUAUUUUGUAAGAUUUUCCUAUCUAAAGUUCACACUCAUAGAUAUGCAUACAAAUUUUUUGUAUCUGCAUCUCAUUGACAUAUAUUUGCUCUUCAGUCUCUUAUACUCUUUUUUCUCCGUCUCUUCUAUGAAAUUUCACUAGUCGUGUAAAGUUAAUCCCUGUAAUUCUGUUCUUUUUGGGCAGACCUUGGUUUCUCUUCAAAGAUUAGUUUUAACAGAUCCUGGUUUUGAACAAAUUAGAAGAGACCAAAAUUCUAGAUUUCCUCUGCCUCUCUGAAUCACUGAAAGAUUUUGAACAUCUUAAAAACUCCUUGCACUUCAAAUUGUUACAUUCUAUUUGGCCAAGGAUGAAAUUAUUAGCAAUGGUGCAUGCACAAUUAGCCUCUUUGUUUGAAUGUGUUGGAAAAUGUUUCAUUUGAUGCGUAAUGCUACAUGUACAUGGACCCAUUCUUCAUUUUUCUGUCACCUGAUAUUGCCAGUUUGAAUGGACAACAUUAAAGCUAAUCAAGAAACAUUUGCGAAGAAAAUUCAAGAUACAAUUUGCUGUUCAAGAUACAAUAAUUUUGGACAGUUGUUUGUCAUGUUUCACAAGUUUCAGAAGUUUAUUCGUCACAAUUACCAUGCAGGUAAGCAGUGAGAGCGAACAAGAAGAAAUCGAUGACAAUGAGCAAGCAGGCAGAGACUGUGAACAAAAAAGCAUUGAUAGUGCUCAAACAUCAGCUUCAUGGUGUUUCCCAUCGUUGCUGAAGAAGAAGAAGAGCUUAGGAGGUUUGUUGUGCAGAAAAGUGAUAAUGCAGCAUUUCUUUCCCCAAGAACUCUUUUCUUAUGCAGAAAAGUGAUAAUGCGGCAUUUCUUUCUCCAAGAACUCUUUUCUUACCUCCAUCCAAUUUACUAAGAGUACAAGGAAUUGGUGCAAGUUUGCAUUCUAGUAUGCUUGAGUCAUGUAAUUGGCCUACGAACAGGGCAUUUUCCUGUACUGUUAUGUGUUUGUGAACUUUUACCCUAUGCCUACAGCUUAUCUUUUGCUCUUUAAGAUUUUUAUAUUUACUUGGUGCUAAACAUGUCUAUUGAUUGUGAAAGAAUGUGGUCUUUUCCGAUUUUCUUGCACUAGUUACUAGACCAUAACUUUUCUUUGCUUUCAUUGUUCAUUAUAAUUGAAGGCAUACUGAAAUGUACCAUUGUGAUGCUUUCCAGAGUCUUAGGAGACAUAGCUUAUGUUAUUGGACAAAGGACACCAUCGUUUACACACCAAUUGUCACACGAUAUUGCAUAAUAGGAGAAACUUCUUGAAUUCUGGUAGGCUUUAAUUGGUUUAAGUAGGAUGAUGUUUCUUUUAUGUUUGUACUGACCCCUUCUGUUUAGUUUACAUAGAUCUAAUUGGGCUGCUGCUUCUGAUAUGAUCCCAAAAGUACAUACCUUUAGUUUUUUAAGCUGCAGUAUCGGUUUUUCUCAAUGCACUGCCAUCACUAGUUUGUUAUAUUGUUGGUUUCUGGUUGGCAGAUGAGUUUUUAUUGAGUUGAAGUUUCAUUUCUUAGCAUUUAUUAAUUCUAAUUUGAAUUUGCUUUUCAUUUAGGCCAUGUCCUCGCUUAAAGGUAGGGAGAAUACAUUAGAGAAGAUUUGAGGAGGCUAUUGAUUACGUAAAUGAGCAGCAUCCUUCAGAUGAUUCCUCUGUUCCAGCUGUAAGACUGUUUGUUGCUCACUGCCUGCCAGGCUACAAAGACCAGGAAAACAUGGGAUUUCUUGAUAAUGGAAGUAUUUCCCAGUUCAGGAAAAAAGAAAAAUGAUAAAGAUAUUAAGUGAAGGGCAAACUAUUUUUAGUACGAGGUUGGCAUGAAAAAAGUAGAGAUCGAAAUACCUCUCCUUUUAACCAAGAUGAGUUGGCCAUUAGGUGAAACAUAAGAUGCAGGCCUGACCAGAGGUGAGAAGUUUUAACAUUGAAAAAAAAAAAUGGUCUACUUUUAUUUACAAAUAUGACUAAAGAAAGAGAAAAUUUUUGGUUCAAUCCCUCACGUUUAGGGAGAGUUUUUUUUUGGGUCCCUCAUUUUUGAAAGGUAUAAUUACAAAAACACCCCUGAGGUUUGUGACACAUCACAUGGUAUCCCUAAAUAUUGAAAAAUACCACCUACAUCCCUUAUUUUCAACUUCUUCCAACUUUGUCAACCUAUUCCGACAAAUAUGAUUUAAAAACUCAUUUUGGAAGAGAUAAGACAUUUUCAUUCCAAAAUUACCCUUUCUUGUGGAGCUUUAGCUUUCAUGACAAACCAAAUUAACUUCUUAAUAAUCACAACAUGUUAAUGAAAUUGAAAGAUUUUUUAUAGUUUUCGAUAUCAUCUAUCUAAACAAAAAAGGAGAAAAAAUUAGAAACUCUAAAUGAUUUAGAAGACUCAUAUGAGUCAUCCAAAAAUUGUUACAGUUAAAAAAAAAAGACUUUUUGCACCUCAAAUAAAUUUCUAAAUAUAUGGUUAGUAAUUUUAUCUUUUUCUUGUUUUCAAGCCAUCAAUUUGGACAAAAAGUUCAAACAUUCAAAAUAUUCUAAACAAUUUGUAGAAUCCUUAAAUUCAUCCAAAACACUUUGCAACAAACAAAAUAACUUUUCUUUGAAAAUGCCUUAACUGAGUUUGUAAACUUAAUUUUAGACAUUGUGUCCAUUUUUUAUUUUCAAAUCAUUAACCUAUACACAAAAUUUCAAAAAUUCCAAAGAUUCUUAAAAUUUAUAAAACUCCUCCAAUUAACGAAAACCCUUACAAUAAAUGAAAUAUUUUUUCAGCUUGAACAACCUCAAACAUAAUCUUUUGUACCUUAAAAACAUUUGCUAGUAUAUUUUAUCUCACCAAAAUUACACCUGCACACUAUUUUUUUAUUUUCAAGCUUUUAGUACUAUAGUUUCACUUUUGAAAAACUAGUUGGACAACACAAGGGCAAUUUUGGCAUGAAAACAUCUUCGUUCUCAAAAAUGAGUUUAAUAAUAUAUUUUGAAAUGGACUGAUAAAGUAGUUGAAAAUAAAGGAGAUAGGUGAUAUUUGUCAAAGUAAAGUGUUCCAUGUAACAUUGUCAUUACCUUAUGAGAGGUUUCCGAAAGUACCCCUUUUAAAAUGAAGCAAAUUAGUUUCUCACCUUCUAAAAAUAAAGCAAACUAUUCCCAAAAUGACAACCUGAUAUAUAUAUAUAUAUAUAUAUAUAUAUAUAUAUGUAUAUUAUAGGAACAAAAUUAGAACGUCACUUUAGUUUUUGUGGAAUCUAGGUACAUGUCAUGUGCGCAUGACAUUAGGUUGACGAAAAAAGGAAAACAAUUUAAAAAUUAUAACAUAUAAAAAAAUCGUUCUCUCUAAUUUUUAUUUUUUUUUAGAAAAUGAUAUUCGGCCAACAUAAAAAGGACAGUGUAUAUGUGUGUAGAACUUGUAUUUACAAUAUUGAAAUUACAGUUAACUUGAGAGUUUUGGUUUUUUUUUAUUUUCUUUUGGAAUUGGUUUUUUAAUAUUAUACCUAUCGGAUUUAGGGAUGGCAGCGGGGCGGGGUUGGGGCGGCGGACCCCUCCCCCGCCCCCCGCCCCGUUGCCUAUUAGUUCCCCCCGUCCCCCGCUUCCCGCUCCUCCCGCCCCGCCUUGCCCCGCUUCCACCCGCGGGGUUAAUAAAAUUUUAUUAUUAUUAAAUUUUAAUAAAUAAUCAAGUACUAAAAUAUCAACACAUCACCAAAUUAUUAUUCAUUGUAAUUUUACAAUUGAAACUCAUAAAAACAAUCAAACAUAAGUUAUUUGAAUACAAUCCAAUAUGAUGAAAUAAAUAUAACUAAAAUAGUCAAGUUUUCACUUUUAGUACAAAUACAAUCACUAAUUCAUUAUUGUGUUUGUGCUUUUUUUUGAGAAAAAAGUGUUAUUCUAUUAAGUGUUAUUAGAAAUUUAGUAUAAAUGUAUUAGGAAAAUUUAGUAUAACUAAUUAAUAAAUUCUAUUAGUAGACAUGUAUAAUUAUUCAUAUAAUUGAUAAUAUCAAUUAUAUUACAUAAACUAAUAUACAUUAUAUAAUACAUCUAACUAAUAAUAUCAUUAUCAUAAGUUUAUAACUAAUUAACUUACAUAUUAUAUAUAAUUAUAUAAAUAUUUAUAUAUAUAUAUAUUUUUUUUUUUUGCGGGUGGCGGGGCGGGGGAUGGGGCGGGGGUAUACUCCCCCGCCCCCCGCCCCGUUUCUAGGCGGGGGGAAAAAAUUCCCCCCCGCCCCCACCCCACCCCCCGCCCCGAGAGCCCCCCGCGGGCACCCGCCUCCAUUGCCAUCCCUAAUCGGAUUGUAGUUAACUACAGGUUUGUACACAUAUUCACUGUUACUUCAAUCUGACGGCACGCCGUAUCGGUUACAGCAGUAGCAGCAAGAGCAAGGCGCACGCUAUCGGCUGCACCGGCCAAAAUUUCAAACAUUCAUUUUUUUUGGCUUCCAAAUAUGAAAAAGACGUGGAAGGAACAGCAAUUUAUGCAGCGCAUUUCUUUGGUUCAAGGAUAGAAAAGGAACAGAACGGCGUUAUUGUCAACCAUCUCUUCAUAAUCGGAGCAUUAUACUAAGGUGUUGUUUCUUAGUUUAUGUUACAAAAAAUCAAACACAGCAAUUCAUGCAGCGCAUUUCUUUGGUGCUAAGGAUAGAAAAGGAAUAGAAGGGGUUAUUGUCAACCACCUCUUCAUAAUCAGGGCAUUAUAGUCAAGCAACAAACACACAACCCGUUGCCUGCCCAACUGGUCAAGUAUCAGGCCAUUGAUUAAGAUUUUAACAAUCUCCAAAUUGACGCAACUACCCACCUACUCAUGGUGCCCAUGAGGGGCCUAAGCACUAUUCACACCCCUGAUUCCCCCUUUUUGUUUGCCUUUUAUUGAUAUAUAUACUAAUCAUUAUCAUUACUAUAUAAAAAAUACCAUGAGUCUUGGUAUUUUGGAGUGUAAAUUUAAGUAUUCUUGUAAUCUUCGUUUUUGUUAUUUCAAUUAUGUCCUUGUUAAUUGAUGAUUGAAAUUUCAUUAUACUCUUUUUAAUUUAUUAUGAUAAUUAAAAUUCAUUAUACCAUAUCUAUUGAUUUUAAAAAAUAAUAGUUGAUGAUAAGACAAAAUGUUAAGCAUUAGAGAUUAAGCAGAAUUUGGUUUUAGUUUUCUAUUUGUCCAAAAUACCAUUCUCACUAAUAAUCAUUUAACAUAGGAAUAAUUGUAGUAGUCAGGGAAAAAAGUCUAACCUUAAUUAAGUUUGAAUUAUGAAGCCAAUAAAUAAAAUAUAACACUUCAAUCCAAUGUAUCUCUUUACAUUCUAUUUCAGUUUUUUUAUUUUAUUAUAAAUUCUUGAUUAAUCACAGCCUAAUUAAACUUUCAAAUCGUCAAAAAUAUUUCUAUUGAUAUCAAAAUAAGGUGUUCUUAGGAUAAUAGAAUCUUUGUCAUUUAUGCUUUACAUUAGAUUCUGUCUCAAAAAUAAAAAAAAAAAGAAAACAAAAGAAAAAAAAAUAGAAGAACUCAAUUAUCUCUUUCAAUGAAAUUUCAAUUCUCAAAAAAUGAACAAUUAGAUGAAAAAAAUUUAUAUGUGGUAAAUCAUUGCACUCCAUUGUUAACAAAAAUAACACACAAAAUAAUAUAAAGAGUUCAAAUUAAAAAAAUAUACAUUUUUUUUUGUUUUUCAAACAACAGUGCAUGUAACUUCAUAUUGAGAAAUUUCAUUAAGAUACUAACAAAUUCAAUUUAAUAGCACGAAAAAUAAUAAUGAUGGAGUAUGCAACCAAUAUUUAUGCAAACAAUUAUUUUUAUUUUAUUUUUUUACCCUCCUACCCCUCCCUAACAAUUAGCAAACAUAACUUUUGGUUUGCAUGCAAAUUUAGGCCACCCAACUCUAAAAGAAAACAAAAAGUUGUACGUGUAUCUAAUUAAAAAUCAAACAAUGUUAGUGACAUUAUCACAAUUUGUUUGUCAUGCAAAAAAAAAAAAGAAGUAAUUAGAAGUAUCAAUAUUAUACAUACCAUUCAUAAUAUUGAUAUUUUUGUCAAAUCAUUUCAUAUUUGAUCAAAUCUUUAUUUUUUAAAAUGUUAAUUUUUCAUCUUCUAAUUAAUUGUCCUUAAAACUAUUAUUUUAAAUUGAAAGAGAUUAUAGGUAUCCUCAUUUAUUAAAAAUUCUUUAGAGAUUUUAUACGAAUUUAUAGAUAUAACAUUUUGCGAACUUUUUUUUUUUGCUUUUAAAAUGAUGGUUUUAAGGAUAAUUAAUCAAAGAAGAUAAAAAAUUAAAUAAAAAAGGAAAAAAUGCAGAUAUUAAAUUUUUUAAAAUAAUUUUCACAAAUAAAUUUAAUGUAAUGUACUAAUACUAAUAUUUAUAUAUGUAAGAAUAAUUAUAUAGAAAAUGUAAACAAAAUUACUAUCAUACUUACAUAUAUACAGUGCAGCAAUAAAAGAAUAGAUAAUUUUCCAGCCAUGGUAGUGUAAAGUUACUUGGAUUUGGAAAAGAAAAUCGUAAAUAAAUGCAUUUAUUUCUAUUUAUUAUAUUUGAAUUCAAAAUUGAUUGGCAUGGAAAUGAAAUAAAAAAUUAUUAUUGUAGUUUUUAUCAAAUUCAUGCUAUUGUAAUAGAGUGUCUCGUCUAAGGAACAUAUUACCGUAUUUGAAUUACCUUAAUUACCUAGCGUUUGCUCAAUACAAAUGUGUUUGUCAAAAACAUAUUCCCAAAAAAUUCUCCCUCUCCUCUGACCACCUGUCUCAUCGCCUCCCUAUAGUCCCUCCUUUCCCUACUCCUAACCACAUUUUCUCCCUUACCCCCUCCCACUUUCCACCCUUUUUUUUCACUUUUUGUCCUAAUCUACUGUGGCCUCCACCAAUGUUUUAAAAAUCGGACUGUUAAUUGAACCGGUGAAGUGAAAGGGUCGAUGUUCAACCGGUCGGACCGGUUCAACCUCGGUUCAAUGAAUUUUUUAAAAAAUUAUUUAUAUAAAUAUAUAUAUGUACAAAAUAAGACAUGUAAUGGAUUAAUUUAAUACUUUAUAUGAUGAAAGGUUUACUAUUUUUUAAUAACUUGGAUUUUUUAAAAAUAAAUUUUUUAAAUUAUAAGUUAAAACAAAUAAAUUUCACCUCGAUUUCAAUUAUGUCUAAAUCCAAUCCAAAAAUAUCACAAUAUUUUGAAAUUAUACAAAAUUCACGUCUAUGAGAAUUUAGAUAUUGUGAACUUAAAUUUUAAUUUACAUUUUAGAGAUUGUAAUUUAAAAAAGGAAGUUUGGAGUUCGAAGGAAGUCAAGAAAAUCGAAAAUAGAAAUGUAAACUUGAUAAGAAACAAAAAAUGAGAUAAAAGUGAGUGGUUGUAGCAUUAAAUAAUUUGGGUUAAAAAAUAAUUCUUUUUUAACUUUUUUCAAUUUAAUGGACAAAAACCAAAUUAAAAGAUGGAAGAAAACAUCAAUAAAUUAAAAAUAAAGAGGUUUGAUUAAAAAGGGAGUGACAAAAAAAGAGGAUAGAGAGAGAGAGAGAGUUGAAAAUUAAAAAGAAAGAGCCAUGAGCGGAUGAGAUUUUGUAAGAAAAAUGGAAAAAAGAAAUAUAAGUGUUUGCUUUAUAUAAAUAAGUUAUCAAAAAAAACUAAUAAGAUGCGAUGGUGCAACGGUUAAUACAUUGGUCUUCUAUUCGAAUCUUGAUAGCCGCAUUUUGCAAAAAAAAAAAAAAAAGGAAGGUUGAAAACCGGUUCAAUAGCGGUUCAAUCGCGGUUUUUACGGUUCGACCGGUUCUUGACCGGCUUUCUGACAAAGUCAACUAUGGCAUUGAACCGGACCGGUGCCAUGGCCUGGUCGAACAAAAAAAAAAAGGAAGGUUGAAAACCGGUUCAAUAGCGGUUCAAUCGCGGUUUUUACGGUUCGACCGAUUCUUGACCGGUUUUCUGACAAAGUCAACUAUGGCAUUGAACUGGACCCGGUGCCAUGGCCGGUUCGCGGUUCGACCAGCCGGUCCGGUUCGGUUUUCAAAACAUUGGCCUCCACGCCCUCUUCCUCGAACACAAAGCGGAGGUGAAAUGAGGUACUGUUUUGGUGUUCUUUUUUUUUUUCUGGAUAUUUUGGAGUAUCUUUAGCAAGUUACUGUAGAUUUUUUUUUUUUACAAAUUAUUUAUCUUCCUAAAAUACUCAAAAAACACGGAUGCUAAAACAAAAACCUAGCUUUUUAAAAACAUUUUUUGUUUAAAAGCCGGAAAAGAUUUUGGCUUUACCACUAGUUUAAAACUUCGGAUUAAUAAUUAAGAUUAAACAAUAAUGUUUUAAGUUUAUCUCCAGAAGGACUAACAGACGAGUUGAAUUGCCAUUUUCCUCUUUCGCAUGUUUGCCAUCAUACUUUAUUGUCCCUCCGGAUUGGAACGUACUCAGUCAGUAAAGAGAUGAAGGCCACAACAACAACAUGAUUAACAAAACUCGAAGUGAAAAUGCCAACCAAUCAUUAUCCUUUUUGGUUAUUAGAGCAUAAUACUAGAAAUAUGUGUGUGAAAUAUUUCACUUAUCAUGGCGAUGUACACUUUCAAUGCAACGAAUGUACAAUUCAAACAUGAGUUUAUGUUGUAAUGAAUAUGUAAAUAAGAGUUACAUUAUAGAGCACAAUUGUUAAGGCACUUUUUAUCUAUUCAAUGAGAUUAACACAAAUGCACCAUCGUUCAAGUUAUUCUUUGUCUAACGCCAUUAGUCAAGCACUUCAGCAACAGGCGAGAGAUGUGUAAUUAUGUUGAUGCCCCUUUCUUGAUAAGAUGGAAGCAAAUGCAUCAUUCAAGUUAUUCUUGGCCAAAAUUCAUUCAUCAUUUUUUUUUAAAAAAAUAAUAAUAAGAUAACGACAAUGGCACGCCAAUCCCCCAUGAAAGUGAGCUCAACAUCUUUAGUUGUGUAAAGUUUAAAAGGCUCACUUCUCGACAAUUUUACAAUUUAUUCAGAAUACUUCAUAUCUAAGAUUCCAUUUUCUCUUUCCAAAAAUAAAGGUUCAAGUAAUUUGACAUCACAAGCCUGAGAUACAAAGGUAAUUCUAAGUGUUUUACAUGUUUUUCAACUUAAGAAUGCGUUACAUUUUGUGGACGAUGUUGAGCUCUUAUUUUAAGAAUGCGUAACUGAUUAAAUAGAAUGAGACACGGAGGUCAUCGUCCAUAAAUCAGGCUACUUUUUGAAGCCAGUUCCCAAAACGUGACGGUUUUCAAACAAACGUAAUCACUGAAUGCGUUUUUUCAGGAAAGGCAUACGCUAAAUGCAAUGUUUAAAAUUUUAAGAAAAAAUAUAGUUUUAGUCCCUACUGUUUAAUCUACAUGCAAUUUUAGUUUUUAAAGUUUUGAUAAAAGUAAAUCUGGUCCUCAAUAUUUAGUAUAUGUAUAGUUUUAGUCCCUAUAGUUUUGGCAAUAGCAAAUCCGAUCUCCAAUAUUAUCAAUUUGAAGCAUUUUUAGGACAACUGGUGAAUUUUUCUAAAUAUUGAUCGAAUCAGUCAUGUUUGGUCACAUAUUUGUUGAAAAACUUCUUAAAAUUUAAUGAAAUAACAAGUAAUCUUGAACAGUAAGAAUAACUUGCACGCUAGCACAUUAAUAACUAAUUAAUCACGAGAAAAAGAAAGAAAAUUUGUUAAUCUAUAACUAAAAUUAGGUAUUACAAUUUUUUUUUUUGCUUGGAGACACGAGGGAUAGUCAAUGAAAAUGAAUUUUGGAUCGAUGAACUGGGUACAUUGAAGUUUUAGUUUAAAAAUUUUCCUUCUUUUAACUAUUUAAUUAGUUAGCACAUGAGUUAUUAGUUUUCAAUUUUGAUGCUUCAAGUUAGCUACUCUUUUGCUUCUUUAUUUUGAAAUUUAAAUUAAUAGGCAAAUGACUAAACGUGGCUCUAUUUUGUUAGUAAUUGAGAUAAAAAUUCUUCAAAUGUCCUAAACCAGAUUCAAAUUGGAUAUAAUGGGGACCAGAUUUGCUCUUGCUAAAAUUUUAUGGACUAACACUGUAGACGUGCUACAUAUUAAGGAUCAUGUUUGCUGUUGUUAAAACUUUAAGGACUAAAUCUGUACAUGGGCUAAACAUUGAGGACUAAAACUAUAUUUUUUCCAAAAAUGGAAAAUUUAUGCCUUCAAAGAAUGAAAAGUGGGAUUUAGCAAAUGCAAUUUUUUAACAAUUGGGGUCGGUCUAGUGGCCAAAAGAGAGCCUUUAGAGUUUUUAUGAUUGUUAGAUUUAGGGUUUAAAUCCUGUAUCUGAUAAUUGAUAGCAGGAAAGGUAUAGGAAUGGGUGGAAGGGUUAAGAAAAAUGCAACUUUUCUCAAACAUUGCAAUUACGAAAUAUAUUUUUCACCCUUUGGGAAGAAGUUUGAAAAACAUCAUUUUUAGGAUUUUUUUUUAAAAAAAAAAACUAGCACUCAUUCGGUAUAUACUCCAUCAUCCACUAGAUAAUUCUAUUUGCAAAACCAGCCAACUAGCAAAAUAAGUAAUACAUUGACAAAUUGGUCUUUUCCAAUUUGAUUGUGAUCAUAGUUCAUUGUCCCUCCUGGAUGGAACUUUAAGUUACACCACUUUUCCAACAGUCAUUCAGAUACAUUCAGAUUAAAGGGUUCCGGCAUUCAAUCAGUAAAGAUGAAGGCCCCAUCAACAACACGGAUUGAGGGCUUUUAUAAAUCCAUCACACCAUUUUUGUUAUUUCUUGUUAAUAAAACGUAAUUGUAUUGGAAGUUGAGUUGGAGCUUGGGACAGUUGACGUGGAUGCAUAUGAACUGUCUCACAGAUUAUGGUGAUUAUACACCUUCAAUGCAACGAGUGUACAAUAUUUUAAGCAUGAGUUUCGUGUUGUAAUGAAUAUGUAAAUAAGAUUUGUCUCAAGCAAUUAUGCCUAAUAAGAUUCACUUUGUAAAAAGGUGAAGACCCCAGCAACAAGCCAAGCAUCCAACUUUGCCAACGAAGCAGUGCUCUACACGAAUUGACGGCUCAUUAUUUCUUGUACCCAUAAAUAUCUCUGUGGUUAGUGUGAAUGCAGCAAAUUAAUAUGCAAAUGAGAGUCACAUUAUGGUUAAUUAAUCUUGGCCAUAAAUUAUCUCGGGCAAUUAUGCCCUGUAAUUAUUCAGGCUUUCUUUACACAUUUAAUGAGAUUGAGACAAAUGCACCACAAAAGUUUUUCUUUAUCAAAGUGAAACAGUUUGACAAAAACAAAGAAUAUGUAAUUAUUGAUGCCCUUUGAUGUCAAGAUUGAAGCAAAUGCAUCUUUCAAGAUACUAACCCCACCGACCGAUUUUUUUUUUUUUUUUUUUUUAGAAAAAGGAAAUUGGAUUGUAGGUCGAAAAUCCGACACCAAUCCCGCAUGAAAGUGCACACAAAAUCCUUGGUUUUGUGAAGCUUAAAUGGAUCAAUUCUGAACUGAUGAUUAUUUUACAAUUCCUUGAUGAUUGUUCUCUUCAGAAAAUAUACGUUCAAGUAAUUUGAGAUCACCAAUUGACUGAACAUGGUCUCUUUGUGGGUCCUCCUUAGAUUGCUUUCGUGAUCGAUUUUCCGAUGACUCCUGCAUUGGUUUAAAUUAGCAGUGUGUGUGUUUAUUUCGUUUCCGAAAAAAAAGUAAUUUGAGAUCACAAGUUUGGUACACAAACCUAUGAACCAUCCACUUUAUGUCUCUAUUCUUAACCAGCAAAGAAGCAAGGUAGCUGGUCCAAAAAGAAGAUUCCCUGUUUGUUUGUAAUAAAAAUGAGUCCCACCGUAGAAUAAAGCAGGAGCACUCGAAGACUUAUCUUAGAAGCACUUCAAAUUCUUUUCUUCUCCUUAACAUAUUUGCUUUUAGGUGAUGCAGCUGAAGAAUUCCUUCUUAUCUCAUUGCAAAAGGCGUCCUGAUCAUCACCUUAACUGAUACCAGAAUACUAAGCCUCAUGAAUGAGACACGAAGCUGAUCAUCCAAAAGAAGAUCCAAAAUAACUGUUAAUUAUAAAGUACUAAUUGGGCAAUGUAGAACCCUGGAAAAGCAUUCAAUCAGAAAAAGGUGAAGACCCUAGCGACAAGCUAAGCACCAAUUCCUUUGGAAAUUAAAGCAUCCCACUUUGCCAACGAAACACUACUCCACACGGAUUGAGGGCUCAUUAUUUGUCACAUAAUUAUCGUCAUUAUCAUUAAAGGUGAAGACUGUUAGCUUCCUUAUAAAACCCCCGUCAAUAAAAAAAAAUUCAUCUCACUCUUCCUUCUCUUGACCACUAACACUCUGGUGGAGCGAAAAUAGAGAAACUAUUUGUGCCGUCUUUUUACUUCAAGAUCAGGUAACCUCCUCUUCUAUUCAUAGUUUCUUCAUAGUAUUACGGAUACAUUGACAUGGGGUGUAUGAUGGAAUUCUUUUUUGUCAUAUGAAUUUUCAAAACUCCUUAAUGAAUCAAAUUUAUACUCUUUUUAGUUGUUUUCUGGAUACUUGAUUGUGCUUUUUCUUAAAUACUUGAUAGCUUAUUCUUUGGUCUUCUACCUGAUUAUAUGAAUAAUUAUACGGCUUCAAUGAUUUUUCAAAAUUAUCCCUAUUUAACAAUCCUGGACAAGUAGGAUGAGAGAUUAUGAUGUAUGUAUUGCUAGGAAAGUUCGUUAAUUUGCAUUUAGAUCAAAGUUUAAACAAGUUGGAUAAUUGAUAAUUUAUUCCCGUUGAAUCAUCUUAGACAUCAAUUUAUGCUGCACUUAGUGCUGAUCUUAAUCACUCACAACUAUGAUCAGAUUAUCACCAAUUAAUGGCUUGGCAUAAUCCCUCACAACAACUUUUGCCGGUUCUUUUAGAUGGAGCUAUAUACUCGUAAGGCAGCAUACGACAUGAAAUAAUUGAUUUUUUUUCCAAGUAGUAUUGGGUGGCAAACUAUGAUCAUAUUUUAAGGACCUCGUAUAUAUAGUAAGGUUGUCUGAUUAGCAACAAAUUUAUUAUUUUAGUUACCUACUGACUCAUAAAAACAAAUACACUAACAUUAAUACUUUCAGAUGGAUAAGAAAUCACACGAAGAUUCAAAUCAGUUUCACAUCCAACAAAAACAAUGACAAUUAGUUGGUGUUGAUGUUAUUUACCAUGUAACAAAAUUGAUCAUGCCUCAAAGGAUUUGUUGCACAAAUUAUGUUGAAUGACCCAAUGGGUAUCGAUCUAAACAAAGUCAGAAUGUGCGAAAGGAAAUACUGAUGCAACUUAGAACAAAUCAGGUAUGUAGACUCGACAAACAUUGACAAAAAAUUCCUAAUUUUGGCCAACUUGGAUAUAUAAACUUAAACGGUGAUGUGAGGUGAAAAAUUAGGGGCAACAUGGAGGAACACUGGUCUAGGGGAAUUAUAUGACAAUUGUAGUUUUGAUGGAGUAAAAUAAUAAGCUCUUGACUUAGGUUCCGUUUGAUAAAACUGAAUCUGAAUUUUGAAGUCUGAAUUCUGAAAUCUGAAUACUGAAACAAUUAAUUUGCUGAAUUUUAAGCAUUGAAAAAAAUAUGUGAAUGUCUGAAUUUUAAUGCUAAACCUAUUUAUACUGUUUGAUAAAUAUUUAUUACUGAAUGCUUAAUAAGUUUAAUUUGACAAUUUUGCCCUUAUAUCCUUUUAUUCAAAAAAGAAAUAGAAUCUAUGAUUUGAUUAGUUUAAAAUUGUUAGGUAUGAAAAUGACAAUAUUUAUUUUUAAAUCAAAUUAAUAUAAAAGAUGAAAUAUAUUAUAUAAGGAAUAUGGAGAAGAUGUGAAAGUCAUUAAAAAGGGAGAAAAGAGAAACUAAAAAUCGUUAGAUAGAGAAUAUUAGGUUGUUUAAUUAGAUAAGAAUUUUGAAUAUAAUUAACAAAUAAGGGUAGAUUUGGUAAAUAAAAUAAGGUAGUUGAAGUAAUUCUAUUGAUUCUUAUCAGAAUUAAGCAUUCAGUUAGGAUUCUUGUAUUGAAAAAAAUACACACAGGUUCAGCAUUGCUUAAUAAGUUCAGCAAAUAGAUUUUCAUUUAUCAAACACUCAAAACAUUUGAAUGUCUGAAAAAAUUCAGAUUCAGCUAUGUUAUCAAACAGACCCUUAAACCUGAAGGUGUUUAAAUUUUCUUUGGCUUAAAGGCGUUUAAAUUUGAAGCUGUCAGUUUUGUUGCAAUUAUUUACUUUAGAAGAACUUUUUAAUUAAAGGGCACGGUUGUAAAACUAACAAGGGAGACAAUCUUUUCCUUUCACUCCUCCCAAGUCUCAAACAAAACCAAAAAAAUCAUUUCUUUUCUUUUCUUUUUUAAGUUCCCAAACAACAUUGAAGGAAAGUUGUCUAACUUAAUUAGUCAAACAUUCUUUAUGUUUAUAUAUAUAUAUAUGACUCAAUCCAAGGUUAUGCAAAAUUUAAAAGAUUUAAUAAUCAACAGUUCUACAAUUUGGACAAAGAAUCUCAAGAUUUCAUUAUUGACCAAAAGCAAGUAAUUUGAGAACACAAGCCUCACUACCAAGACACUAAGGUAACCAUCCGCUACACCUCUCAAAAUUUCUACUACACAGGAGGCAAAUUAACUGGUUUAAAAAGAGGGUCUGAUUUGUUUAUUGAUUUGCUAUAUAAACUUUUUGGUCCCAUUAAUUUUCGCUACCUUAAUUCCCUAAUUGAGGAACGGUCUUAUAAAAGUUUCACCACCUACUCAGAUUGCUACAAUUUAUAGUUCCAAUUUUCUUUUCAUCCGACCACAGUGGUUUAAUUUCUUCCACAACUAAGGCCCCCAUCAGUGACUAAAUCAGAUUGCGCUAAAAUUAUUUUGAGGUGCCCCACGCAAUUUGAUUAAUCACAAUUAUACUAAUCUGAAUCUCUCUUAUACAUCAGCCCACUGGAAUCGUUUAAUCAUCUCUCUCUUGUUCUGACUGGCUUCUAUUCUGAUUUCUGCCAUUUGUUGCUGAAACAUUCCUUCCAUCUCUGAUAUCAGAAAACCUUUCGAUCCUAGUUCCAAUUCCAAGCAAGAAACAAUGGCUGACGCUGUUAUCAGUGCUACUGUUGAGGUCGUCUUGGGGACACUUAUUUCCAUUGCUGCGGACCGCAUUGGUAUGGUUCGGGAGGUCGAAGCGGAGUUGGAGAGACUAAGCAACACUGCUGCAAUGAUCCGAGAUUUCUUGGCUGAUGCUGACGGGAAAAUGCAUACCCAAGGGGUGCGACAGUGGCUCAAGCAGCUAGAAGAUGAGGUUUUUAAAGCUGAUACCGUGCUAGACGAGCUCAACUACGACAAUCUUCGUCGGGAGGUGAAGUACCGAAAUCAACCAAUGAAGAAGAAGGUAUGCUUCUUCUUCUCCUUCUUUAAUGCAAUUGGCUUUAGUUCCAGCUUGGCUUCAAAGAUCCGGGACAUCAACACCAACCUAGAGAGGAUCAACCGGCAGGCCAAUGACUUGGGAUUGGUCAGAAAGCACCAAAAAGAAGCUGCACUCCCUGCUGAUGCCGCGGCAAGCAGACAGACCGACUCUAUUGUCGUUCCGAACGUUGUAGGAAGAUCCGGCGACGAGUCAAAGAUAGUGGAGAUGCUGUUGACCCCAUCUGAAAAGGUUCUUUGUGUUAUUCCCAUAACAGGCCCGGGAGGUUUGGGAAAGACAACUCUGGCGAAAUCAGUCUACAAUAAUCCAAAAAUAGAUGGGCACUUUGGCCAAAAAAUUUGGGUUUGUGUGGCUAAAGAACACAUUAAGAUAAUGGAGCAGUUCAAGCUCAUUUUAGUACAAUUGACACAAGAUGAAGUUAAAGUGGAUGGCAGAGAGGUUAUCGUUAAAAAAAUUGGAGAAAAGCUCAAGGGAAAAAAAUAUUUCCUUGUUCUUGAUGAUGUGUGGGAUCAUGAUCAAGGAUUGUGGAAUGAUUAUUUCAACACUUUGAUGGGACUCAACGAAACCAAAGGAAGCUGGUGUCUUCUCACUACUCGUCUAGAAUAUGUGGCUAAUGCUGUGCCUAGAGAUUUGCAAAUGAAUGAUCGUCCUUAUUUCUUAGCAAAGCUAUCAGGUGAUGAGUGCUGGUCCAUCAUAAAAGGAAAGGUGAUGAGUGCAGGGGAAGAAGUACCAGAAGAAUUGGAAGCACUGAAGAAGCAAAUUUUAAGGAGAUGCGAUGGCCUACCCUUGGCGGCAAGUUUGAUUGGUGGCUUGUUGCAUACCAACAGAAGAGAGAAGUGGCACUCCAUUGUGCAGGAGAGUAUUUUGAAUGAAUAUCAAAGCCAAAUUAAUCAAAUACUUAAGGUGAGCUUUGAUCAUUUAUCACCUGCAUCAGUUAAGAAAUGUUUUGCAUAUUGCUCAAAUUUUCCCCAGGAUACUCAAUUACGAGAAGAUGAACUAAUUCAGCAUUGGAUUGCGGAAGGUUUUGUUCUAAAGAAUAAUAGAGUGAUGGAGGAAACAGGAGGCGAGUAUUUGAGGAUUUUGUUGCAAAAUUCCUUGCUGGAAAAAGUCGAAGAGUCGUGGAGAACAUACUAUAAAAUGCACGAUCUCGUGCAUGAUUUUGCAAAAUCAAUUCUUAAUCCAGAAAGCAGCAAUCAGGAUCGCUACCUUGCAUUGGACUCUUCUAAAGGUUUGGAAGAAAAUACCAUAAGGACAAUACCAGCAUCAAUUCGCACAUUAUUUCUCCAUCUAGAGGGCGGCGUAUCUACUGACAUGCUUUUAAGAUUCAAGUGCUUGAAUGUUCUCAGAUUGUCUGGCGAUGAUGUCGAGUCUCUACCGAGCUCCAUUGGCAAACUACUACAUUUGCGGCUGCUCGACAUUUCAUCUUCUAGAAUCAGAAGUUUGCCGGAAUCCCUUUGCAAGCUAUAUAAUUUGCAGACACUAACGAUUGAUGAUGAUGCACUUGGAGGACGUUUUCCAAAACGGAUGAGCGAUUUGAUUAGCUUGAGGCAUCUAAAUUACUAUGAUUAUCUUCGAGAAUUUAAAAUGCCGGCACAGAUGGGACGAUUGACUGGUCUUCAAACUCUGAAGUUUUUUAUUGUAAGUCAAGAGAGGGGUCGUGGUAUCGAAGAGCUUGGGACCUUGAAAUAUCUGAAAGGAUCGUUGACUAUAAGAAAUCUUGGACUAGUGAAGGGCAAAGAAGUAGCUAAAUAAGCAAAAUUGUUCGAAAAGCCAGAUCUGUCUUACUUGGCGUUUGAAUGGGAGAGUGGGGAUCGGGAAAGCGAUAACCGUGAAGAGGAUGUGUUGGAAGGUCUCCAACCUCACCCAAAUUUGGAAAGGUUGGGAAUUCAAUAUUUUAUGGGUAAUAAAUUUCCACAAUGGCUUAUCAAUUUGUCAAAAUUGGAGGAAUUGCGGAUAGAAGGCUGCAAGAGAUGCAGUGAACUCCCCUCAUUAGGACAACUGCCAUCCCUCAAAAUUCUCUAUUUGAUAAGAUUGGACAACAUUCGAUUUAUUGGAGAUGAAUUCUACGGUAUUACUGCUAAUGAGGAGGAGGAGGGCAGAUCACGAGCAUCAGGGAGCAGCACUAGAAGGCAAAAAUUCUUUCCUGCCCUUGAAGAACUCACUGUAGUAGAUAUAGAGAAUUUGGCAGAGUGGAAGGAUGCAGACCAAGUGAGGUCAGCAACAGGUGAAGCAGAAGCAGAUGUCUUUCCCGUGCUGAGGAAUUUUCGCAUUCGAGAUUGCCCACAACUGACCACCAUUCCAACUCAAGGUCGUUUCCCAAGUCUUGAUGUAUUGGAAAUAAAAAAGAAUUGCCAUGUUUUGCUGGCAGAAAAGGUUUUGAGCAAUAUAGCCAAUCUCUCGUCCCUUGAAUUAAGUGGCGGUCAUGAAGGCAUCGAGUCUCUAAAAUUAGUGAAACGACCAGAGAGCAGCUUGAGUAUUGAUGGCUGUAACAGUCUACCCACUGACAUGCUUGAGCGACUCUGUCUUUUUCCAACUCUUCUGCGUGUAGAAUUGAGGGGUGCCGAUAAUAUAACAACAUUAAGAGGACAGAAAGGCCUGCUUAAGUCUCUUCAGGAAUUUACUGUCAAUGGGUGCGAUGCAUUAACAAGGUUACCAGUGGAGAUGUUCGAGUCGUGUACGUCUCUCCGAGUGCUGAAUUUGGUCGAUUGCCCCAAUCUGGUCUCCUUUCCCCUUGAUUUGCAACGAACCCCUUCUCUCGAGAGCUUCUCGUUAUUCGAGUGUCCCAACUUGAUUGCUGAGAUGCCUAGUGGAUUUGGCUAUCUUACCAGCUUAAAGAAAGUGCAGAUUGGUCCCUUCUCAGAUGUCUCUGUAAUCGAAUUUGAUUGGGCUGGAUUAGCAUCUUCACCAACACUCCGACACGUGUUUUUAUGGGGAAUGCCUGACAUGAAAUCUCUGCCACAUCAGCUUCAAUGCUUGACUACCAUCACAUCACUAUGUCUAAUUGGCUUCGAAGCAAUCGAAGCCUUACCAGAUUGGCUUGGGAAUUUUGCAUAUCUUGAAGACCUAAUCCUAUACUAUUGCCUAAAGCUUGAAUAUUUACCAAAAGAUGCCAUGAAACGCCUCAAAUUAAGACGUCUGGAAAUUAGUUAUUGUCCUCUAUUAACCGAAAGAUGCACUCCUCGUAGCGGCUCCGAGUGGCCAAAGAUCUCUAAUAUUACAGAGCUUGAAAUUGAUUAAAAGCCAUCUUUCUGAGCCAUCCGGUAAGAUUUCACUGCAAACUUUUGAUUAAUUGCUUCUCAUUAUUGGAUAUCACUGUUCUUCACCAUCUUAUUCUAUCCAUCUUUUUGCCUCACUCUUUUUCUACUUCUUCUCAUUAAAGUUUCUUGUCCCUCUCUGGUGGAACUUACACAAUUAUUCAAUCAGAAAAAUAUGAAGGCCCCAGCAACAACAGUGAUCGAGGGCCAAGCAACUUCCAUUGCAAAAGCAUCCAAAUUUCCCACCGAUGUCUUUUAAGUAUUCUACCGAAACAACUAAUGGCCGCCUUCAUUGACCAAACUUAGAAUUGUUGUGGCCGACAAAAUUUAGUCUAGGCUUUCAUACAGCUAUUCUUUAUCAAAUCAUGCAACAUAUAUUUAUUUGUAAACCAAAAACUUGCAACAAAUAUUUGGAAUUUUUUUUUUGAAAAAUAUUGUGACGUUUCUUUAAUCUGAUGUAUGAUGUAUGUGAGAUAAAAAAAAUAGUUAAAAAUGUAUUAAUAAUAUAAAUAAAUAAAUCUUGACAAAUAAUUUACAGUCACAAACAAACCCAUUACAGCCAGAUGACACGUUACUAUGAACUAUGAACAGAGAAUCUUUUAGAAGUUUGCAUCCGAAGAUCAAAAUAUUCCUUUGCUAACUUAAAUAUAUGCAUUUACCAUUCCAUGUACUGAGAAAUAAGUACAACAUUGGCAAUAAUUCAUACGGUAAUUCAGAUAUUUUCAGUAACAGGCCCCAGCAUUGAAUCAUAAAAAUAUGAAGGCCCCAGCAACAACAAUAAUGAUUAAGAAAGCUAGGGCGAAAAUGCCAAGCAUCCAAUUUCCUACUGAAUUGAAGCCCAGCACUAGACUGAUUGAGGACUCCUUAUUUGUCACAUAAUUAUCAUUAUUUAUUUCUUGUACCAAAACAUGGUAGUCGAAGUUGAGUUGGACCACAGGGUUGUUAAUGCGAGCAUAAAUAUCUCAUGUGAUUAGGGUGGUUCUACACCUCGAAUGCAACAAACGUAGUACAGUUUAAGCAUGGAUUUGUGUUGCAAUUAAUGUAUGCGAAUAAAAUUCAUUGUGUGAUUGUAAAAAAAUAAAUAAAAUUUCCUCUUAAUUUCUUAAAUUGGAGAAUAAAAGAAGCUGGUAAAUUGUUUUUUUUUUCUUUUUUGGCAAAGCCCCAAAUUGGGGUAGGGAUGCCAUCCCUUAAUUUAUUUAUAUCGAAAAAGAGUACAGCGAAUUAGAGGAGGGCCAAACCUGACCUCUGUUAAAGUAAAAGAAACAGUUAAGGAUCAACAAUAAAACGCACAUAUGGAAAAAUCUGGAAUAAUCUUGUGGGAUUGUGAGUGAGCAUGGGAAUUUGGUUUAACAUCUUGACGUGUUUGCAUUGUUUUACCUUUUUUUUGAAAGCUGCUUCCUCGCUCUCUUCGAAUCAUUUGGGUAAAUUGCUCGUGAACUAGGUUCUGGUCUUGAUCUUUGUCUUUUUCGCAUUGUGAAUCACCUUCCUCCUCUUCAUUUUUGUCAUCAUUGCAUGUUGUACUUGAAUGAAGAAAAGGCUUUUGAUGUACAAAGGGGAUCCUACCAUGUAAUUUCUCCCAUUUAAACUGUUCGAAAACAUCUUUAAAUUGCGGAACAUCUUUAAACCGUGACUUUUGAGGCAUAGAGGAUUUCAUUUCUAUUCUUGUACUUGUACCCACAAGGGGUGUAUCUCCAACUGACACCACAUCAUGUAGGUCAUGAAGAAGCCGGUAAAUUGUAAUUAACUUAUUAUACAAAAAAAAAAUUUAUGUUGUUUCUUCAGCUUUAUAAAUUUUUGGUGUGAAAAUUUUUUUAUUUGCUUAAGAAUAAAAAUUAAUAAAAAUUUUAAAAAGAGUAAUUUGGAAUAAAAACUAGAAGGGAAGGGAAAAAAAUGAAGAAAAUAUCAACAUAGUAGAGGGAUUUUUUUUCCUCUUAGUUAGGGGGUUAAGUGUUACAAAAUAGAAAUUAGUGGGUAAAAUGAAAAAUAGGGCAUACCUUAGCAAGAUAAAUUGUAAUUAACUCGUAUUAUUAAUUAAAUAAAUCUUAUAUACACUGACAGUGUAUACACUCUCACCGUUAGAUUCAUGACACGUGUGCAAAAAUUAAAUUUCAAAUUUAAAUUUUAUAUAGUUAUCAUUCAUCUAAUGCUGAUAAUGUAUACACUGUAAGUAGGAAAGAUUAAUCCUUAUUAAUUUAUUAUGUGAUCUUAACUUCAAAGGUGAAACUAAUAAUAUGGACCAUUAACGGUCGUACAUGAGCCAUUAAUUAAGAACAUCUUUAGCUUAAACUCUGACAGCCACUAAGUUUUUAACUUCCAUAUUUAUACCCCUGAAGCAAAUGUUUUGAGUAUAUCUCUAAAAGGACUAACAGAUUAGGUGAAUGACCAUUUUCCUUUUUCCCAUGUCUUUGCCAUCACACUUUAUAUAAAGUCCCAUUAGGCUGCAACGGACAAGUGAAAAUGCCAAGCAUUCAGAUCUUUUCAGAUUAAAGGGCUCCAGCAAGCAUUUACUCAAUAAAGAUGAAGGCCCCAGCAGCAACAGGAAUGAUUAAGAAAACUCAGGUGAAAAUGCCAAGCAACUUCCAAUGCGGAAGCAUCCGAUUCCAAGCUCGCCGACGAAGCAUUGCAAUUCUACACGACCGGAGGACUCUCAAUUGGUCACAUCAUGAACCUUUUUUUUUUCUUGUGAAUAGAACAUAAUACUAGAAGUUGAGGCGGAGCCGAGGGUUGUUAAGAUAUAUACAAUAAGAUUAUGGUAAUUGUACACCUUCAAUGCAAUGACUGUACAAUUUAAACACGAGUUUGUGUUGUAAUGAAUAUGCAAAAAAAAAAAAGGGUUACAUUAUGGUUAAAAAUUUUGCCAUAAAUUGUCUCAAGCAAUUAUGCCCAAUAAUUGUUAAGGCACUUUUUUAUCUAUUCAAUAAGAUUGAGAGAAAUGCACCGUUGAAGAUAUUCUCCGUCAAAAUUCAUUAGCCAAACAUUAUAGCGAAAACAAGAAAUGGAAGUGUUGAGGCUUCUUUAUUUAUUUAUUUUUUGGAUAACAUUGAAGCAAAUGCAUCAUUGUUAUUCUUUGCCAAAUUACGGCCAUCAGUUUUUUUUUUUCUAUUAAAAGAUAGUGACAAUGGCACGUCAAUCUCCCCUCAAAGUGAACUCCACAUCUUUGGUAGUGUCAAACAAGUGGUUGAACUUUAAUUUUCUAAAACAAUACAGCAGCGAACCACACAAUUACACUGUGCAUUCUUACUAUCAGGGUUGGUUAUUGUAACAUCUGAUAUUUGUAUGUAUGUGUGUGUAUAUAUAUAAGGGUGUAUUUGAUAAAAUUGAAGUUUGAAAAGUGAAAUCUAAAAUCUAAAGUCUGAAUUCAUUAAAUUAUUAAAAUGUUAUAUACUAAAUCAAAUACUUUUAAGUGUAUUUCACAUUCAAUGAUAAGUGAAUAGCUAGCUUAUCACUUAUUUUUAAGAACAAGCUUUGAAAUUCUCCUCUUUGCUCUAUGUGUGCGCGUGUGAAAUUGAGUUAUCAAACACGGCCUAAGUGUGAAUGUGUGUAUAAUGCUAUAUAAACGAGGAAACUUUGAUCUAGUGAUUAAUGUUGAAAAGUCAGAAAUUAGAGAUUCAGGGUUCAAUUCUCCUCUUUGCUCACUCCACUUCUUAAAUCUCCUUCUUCCUUACUACACUUCUUAAAUCCUAGAAAGCCUUGCUUUAGUGGUUAAUGUUAAAACUUCUUAUAUCUCCUCUUUCCUUACUCUACUUCUUAAAUCCUAUAAAGUUUUGGUCUAGUAGUUAAGUUUGAAACUCCAACAAUCAGAGGUCCAAGUUUCACUUCUUGUCUUUUCUCACUUCACUUCUUAAAUCCUACCAUUCAUGUGAUUUUUUUUUUUAAAAAAACAAUAUAAAUGUUUUUGAUUUUAUUUUCAAAGGACUCACUUCUUAAAUCCCACUCUUACUGUGUUUUUUUAAAAAAAAAAAUUACUACACGAAUGUUUUUGAGUUUAUUGCUAAAGUACUCAUCAAUAAAUGAGGUGAGCUGCCGUAUGCAUUUUUCCAAUUUGAUUAGGAACGUGUAGUUUCUUGUCUAUCUGGGGUGGAACCUACACCAGUGUUAGAACAACCAUUCAAGCACUUAGUACAACAGGCCCCAGCAUUCGGUCAAAAGAUAUGAAGCUCAGCAUUCAAUUAUAAAAAAUGAAGACCCCAGCAACAACAAUGAUCAAGUGAAUUCAAACUCCAACAGUUAUUCCAGAUUUAUCAUGAUGGUUAGUUAAUUUCAAAUGCAAUUGAGUCGGAUUCUCCCUUAGUAUAUAAUAAUGUAGAAUUAGUGUAGCUGCUGUGGAUUCACAAAAUAAAUAAAUAGAAAUAAAAAAAUAAAAAUAAAACUUCCACAGAUUAAGGGCUCAUAAUUUGUCGCAUAAUUAUUCUUGACAGGUCGUCAACCUGUGCAAUAAUAAAAUUAAACCUAAUUGCCAGUUAAAAUGACCAAAACCCAAUUCCAAGUACUGGAGCAGGGACUCUAGGUGUGCAAUGGGUUACUUGAUUCACCCUGUUCCCGAAGAGUUUGCUUGAUCCGAUAUACCCGAAUGGAAUGGUUAUUCCUUUUCACAAAUGAUUAGGAAUUUGUAGACAGGGCAAGUAGGGUCGUAUCCACAGAGACUGGGUAUAUUUGUUUCUUAAGAAAUCCAAAGUAACACAGGGGGUGAUUUUGUAGGAACGACGAUAAUUAAAUAAAUUCAAAUGAGAAAGUAAAAAUAAAUAAUUAACUAGAAAUUAAACCACAAUUUACUGAACUCAGGAUAACAAUAGUUAAAGGCCUCAAUUAAUUAAAAUAAGGAAACAAUCAAAAAUAAAAUAAAGUAGGUAAUUAAAAGUCAAAUGGCAAUCCACUACAAUCAAGGAAAUAUUAACUAAAGAUCUAGCCAAGAAAUAACUUCAGCAAUGGUUCACCUAAUCGAUCAUUGAUGCAAAGCAAUCCCAAUUAUUUACUAAUAAAUAGGUUAUAACUACCAAACAAGCGAUGGCAGUCAACCCCUCCUUACUGUGUCGGUGAUCAAGGUACGCCCGUUAAUCACUGCUCUAAUUGAGAAAUAAUCCUAGGUACGCCCGUAGAAUUUAAUUCCCCAACUGCCUUACGUAUUAGAGGAGCCCUAUUCUACCCAAAUAACACACUACCAGGGUUAUUUUAGAUUAGCCCGCGUAUCCCCCUGACACGAAUCUAAUCGUGCCAGUUGUCACUAAUUUGAGGUAAUUAAACAAUUACGGAUUCAAUACCCCAAUUGACAAUAGAUUAUCAAACCAAUGAAUUAUCCGGAUCCAAGACAAUCAACUAAUUAAAUAAUCAUAAGCACUGCAACCAAGGAAUAUGCGAAUACCAAUAAAUAAAGGAAAAGAUAAAAUUAAAUCGAUCUCACAAUUUACAGGUGACCCAAAGCAUCAGUCGUUUCUUGACUAGAACGAGGGGGUUAGCUCAUAUUGGAUGAACUAAGCCCGCGGGAAAUUCCAGCAAAAGUCACGGCCGUUGUAUGCAUUUCAAGAGCCGCAAUUCGUCAAACACUUGGAAAGCGAAUGUAAGGCACGGGUAACAAUUGAAACUUUCUAAUUGUUCCUAGCAUUCGUAAAGCAAAUUCACUCCAGAAGUACAGUGAGGAAAAGUCAAAGAAAGUGGGCUUCAAUUCCUUGCUCCUGACAUGCGUGGAGACAAGCCAAUGCAAGACUACAAUAAACUAACAAGGAAAAGUCAAGAAUUGGAGCUAAGCUCCCCUGCCAUGCGCAGGAAUCCCAAAAGUAAAAAGUAAAGCUUCAAAGAAAAGUCAACAAUUCUUCCUAAGCUACAGACGGAAGAUCCAGCACAAAAGCCAGCUCCCUUUUUGAUCCCUUUUUCCCCCUUCUUAUUGCGGCGGCUCACCAGGAGAGGAGAGCCCUCCGUCCGUCCUUUCUUCCGGAAAUUACCAAAAUGGGCAUGACAUCUUCUCUUCCAAAAGUGCCCCUGGGACAAGCUUUCUCAUCUGAAUUCUUUUUUUUUCCAAUUUGGCACCUGUUAUCAUAUUUAUAUUCUACUCCCUGAAAUAAACGUCAAAUACUAAAAGUGAGUAGAAUCCAGCAAAUAAAUCCACAUCAAGUCAGGUAAUAGGAGGAAUUAAUAAUAAAAUAAAUGAAUAAAUUGCACCCUAUCAAUUCCCUCCACACCUAAACCAUGCUUGUCCUCAAGCAUAAGAAAAGUAAACGAACACCAAAAUUCGACGAUAGCCAUUGCCCAAUCUCCUAUAUUGCCAAGACAUUCAAGAGAAAAACACAUAUCGAGCAUUGGUGAUUAGAAUCCCAGAAGCAUCCCCCCGGUUAGCCCUUAAACUGCAAAUUCCUUCAAUUUCCAGGUUAACUAUUCUAAGAAAAAGGAAUGGCACGCAACAUUUAUCAGCUAAUGGUCCAAAUAUUCACACAAGUCCCCAUAUUAAGUCCAUAAACCAGCAAGAUCUCCUAUUAUUUAUUCUCUUUUUUUUUUCUUUUUGUGUGUUUUUUUUUUUCUUUUUUUUUCUCUUUUCUUUUUUUUACGUUUUUUUCAAGCAAUAAUAAUAUUUGACACAAGAAGACUUAGUCUCUAGCCGCCGGAGCCUUUUGACGCGAACUCCAUCAUUUUUAGAUGAAGGAGCCCGGUUACUCAGCUUCUGCCGCUAUACGACCACGUACUCAUAGAAAGUACCACCUUUUGACGCGAGAAUCGACACUUUUAGGUGCAGAUCCCCGGUUACUCAGUAGUGACUAAUAGCGGAGUACAGUCCAGAUUAUUCACAGCCAAACAAAGCCAAAAACACGAAAUACCAACACUAGCAACUAAGCAUAGGGGCAGCUCGCCUCAUUAUUGCCAAACAUGGAGAACUGGAGUCAAUAUUGGACCAGUUCACCUUAAAAUGCCAACAGUCAUUCCCAACGCCUAGAAAAGUUAACAAAGAAAUCAAAAGAGCCAAGCAAUCCGAUAUUCACCAAGGAGAUAUCUUGGAUCCAACCACAUCAACCCGAUACAUACUUAUUUUAAAAACUUGGCAAAAGUAGAAUUAGAGUCAAUGAGCCAACAUCCAAUCAAUUUUUUUCUCUUUUCUUUUUCUGUUUUUUUUUUCAGGAGAGAUAAGCACCAAGCAGAAAGAAAGAAAAUGAGCAACUAGAAAUAAAACUAAAAACUAAAGAAAACUAAAAACACUAGCACCCCAUUAGACCCCCCCACACCUAUAGGACACAUUGUCCUCAAUGUGACAAAUAACCAACAAAAGUGGGUGAGAGGACAGAAACACUUCCCUGAAAUCCGGUCAAAGAGGUGGGCGAGGUGGAGCUGGAGGAGGAAAGCCCGUAUGAUGCAGAAAUUGCGCCAAAUUCUGUGCUAUGCCCGCUACAUUGAGGUCGACGUUGAGCAUUCGAGCCUCCAAAUUCUGAACCCGCUCCUGGAGUUGUUGCCAUUCAGUUGACCCAUAUGGUGGAGGUCGCGCAGAAGAUGACGGCCCAGCGGUGUCCUCGGCCGACCCAGGGAAUGAAGAGUGCCCCGCCUGCGUUGAAGGCUGUGCACCCGGAGCUCGAACUGGGCCCGGAGGUGUAAACUGGUGGAAACCAUUGGGUAGGCGCUCGACGACUCCCAUUUUCUCUAAGCAGUUCACGUCCAGGAGCUCCAUCUCGAAAGCCAAAUGUAAGUCGUGGUCCUCCAGACUAAGAACUCCCAACUCCACAGGGACUACCCCAGGCGGCAGACAGAGAAGCGGCGUUGAAGCUGGUGGUCGAGCGGGGCGACGCUCGCGUCGGCGUGCGCAGCGGCGACGGCGCGCGAGGAUGGAGUUUCGUGGGGAGGUCGCGUGCGGGCUUGGGCUGAAGACGCGGCGCGCGCUAGGGCUUCGCUGCGGCAGGGCGAGCAGGAGGCGGCGACUGGCGGCGCGCGGCUGGAAUUUCAACAGCGGCGGCGUCGAUGGAGAUCUUGUAGUGGCUGUGCUGCUCGGCGGCUGGCUGUGCGAGGAUGGGGGCUGCGUGCGGCUGCUCGCGGCUGGUGAUCUGGCGGUGGAGAGCAGCGGCGAAGGGCGGCGGCGGCUUGGGCUGGUCGAGCGUGCGGCGGGCGAAGAGAGCAGGAGAGCAGCAGGGGAGAAAGAAAGAAAAGAGAAAGAAAGAAAGAAAGAAAAAGAAAGGAAAGAAAGAAAAGAAAAGAAGGAAAAGAAAAAGGAAUUUUUCUUUUUUUUUUUUUUUUACUUUAGGCUACGGUUUAGAGGACAAAUUUUUCUUCUUCUUGUUUUCUUCUUUUUUAUUUUUUUUUUAGUUUUUAAUUUAGUAUUAUUAUUAUCAUAUUUAAUUGAGGAAAGAAAAAAAAAAUGUUUUUUUUUUUUACUUGAAUAAAUGAAAUGAUAAUAAUAGUUUUUCUAUAUUUUUCAUAUAUUUUUUUUAAAUCCCUACCUUUCCCGCGAACGUGACGCGGGCACGUCAAGAGGGCAGGAGAGCUCCCAGAAGUUUCAGAAUUUCCUGAUCGUGAGCGCCCUGCACGUCACCACGCGGGCACGUCAUGAGGACAUGAGAGCUCCCAGAAGUUUCAGAAUUUCCUGAUCGUGAGCGCCCUGCACGUCACCACGCGGGCACGUCAUGAGGACAGGAGAGCUCCCAGAAGUUUGAAGUUUCUGAUUCCUGCCCGUCAUCACGCGGGCGCGUCAUGACUGAAGGUCACCUACAAAUCAGCAAAAACGAAAACUAACACCCAAAAUCAGUCAAAUUCAGGGAAAGCAGAUUUAAACUAUGCUACAAAACCAACAAACAAUUAAAAGAAAUAAUUAGGUUGCCUCCCAAUGAGCGCCUUUCUUUAAUGUCUUUGGCUAGACAUGGUAAAGUGUCACUGAUUAGGACACGGUGGUGCGUCAAGCCUUAUUGUCUCCACCUCUCUACCUGAAAAUCCUUCGUAAUAAUAUUUGAGACGGUGUCCAUUCACCACAAUUUUGUUGUCUGUCUUAGCACUCCGGAUCUCAACUGCACCAUAGGGAAAAACACGAGUAACAAUGAAAGGUCCAAUCCAACGGGAACGUAGCUUACCUGGGAAUAGCUUGAGCCUGGAUUGGUACAGGAGGACCUUCUGACCAACCUCAAAUGUUUUUCUUGAAAUUUGUUGGUCAUGAAAUGCCCGGCUUUUCUCUUUAUAAAUCAAGGCGUUUUCGUAUGCUUCGUUCCGGAUCUCCUCCAAUUCUUGCAAAUCCAACUUCCGUUGAGCACCGGCCUCCUCUAAAUUCAUAUUGCAUUGCUUUAUCGCCCAAAAAGCCUUAUGCUCGAAUUCCACUGGAAGAUGACACGGCUUCCCAAAUACCAACCGGUACGGUGACAUCCCUAUAGGAGUCUUGUACGCCGUCCUAUAGGCCCAAAGUGCAUCUUCCAACCUUUGGCUCCAGUCUUUCCUAUCAGGGCGCACCAUUUUCUCUAAAAUGGACUUAAUCUCCCGAUUUGUCACCUCCGCCUGACCAUUGGUUUGAGGGUGGUAUGACGUUGAGACCCUGUGGAGUACACCAUACUUGCGAAACAACGCAGCUAUGGUUCUGUUGCAAAAGUGCGUUCCCCUAUCACUGACAAUAGCUUUAGGCAUUCCAAACCGCACAAAGAUAUUAGACCUGAUAAAAUCUGCAACUACUCUCGAAUCAUUAGUUCGAGUGGCCUUAGCCUCCACCCAUUUAGACACAUAAUCAACUGCUAGCAAAAUAUAUAAAAAGCCAAAUGAAGUAGGAAAAGGCCCCAUGAAAUCUAUACCCCAGACAUCAAAAAUUUCAACAAAAAUCAACGGGACCUGGGGCAUUUGAUCUCUACGGGCUAUAUUACCUACCCUUUGACAGCGAUCACAUGACUUACAAAACACAUAGGCAUCCUUAAAUAAUGAAGGCCAAUAAAAUCCACUUUCCAAAACCUUAUGAGCAGUUCUCUUAGGUCCAAAAUGACCUCCACAGGCAAAAGCAUGACAAAAAGCUAAAAUUGAUUGAAAUUCCACUUCACUUACACAUCUCCUCAUUAUUUGGUCUGCACACCUUUUCCAUAGGUACGGGUCGUCCCAAAUGAAGUACUUGGCGUCACUCUUCAAUUUAUCCUUCUUCGAUUUUGGCCAACCUGCAGGAAAAUCACCCGUUACUAGAUAAUUGACUAAAUCAGCAUACCAAGGCAAUUGAGAAUUUAAGGAAAAUAAAUGCUCUUCAGGGAAUGCAUCUUUCAAUGGCUCCUUAUCCUCCCCAAUUGGUAUGCGACUUAAAUGGUCUGCUACUAGAUUUUCUGAGCCUUUCUUGUCCUUUAUCUCCAGGUCAAAUUCCUGUAGUAGCAAUAUCCACCUGAUGAGUCUCGGCUUUGCAUCUUUCUUGGUCAUUAGGUACCUUAAUGCUGCAUGGUCAGAAAAUACAAUUACUUUAGCACCUAGCAAAUAUGACCUAAAUUUUUCCAAAGCAAAAAUAACUGCAAGAAGCUCCUUCUCAGUGGUGGAAUAAUUCAACUGGGCUCCAUUCAAGGCCCGGGAUGCGUAAUAGAUGACAUGAGCUGCCUUCCCUACUCUUUGCCCCAAUACAGCCCCAAUAGCAUGAUCACUGGCAUCGCACAUGAUCUCAAAUGGCAAAUUCCAAUCGCGGGGUUGGAUGAUUGGGGGUGAAGUCAGCAAUUCCUUCAGCUUGUUAAAGGCCUUCUCACAUUUGUCAUUGAAUUCGAAGGUCACAUCCUUUUGUAGAAGUUGGAACAACGGGGCUCCAAUUUUUGAAAAAUCCUUGAUGAACCUUCGAUAAAAACCUGCAUGUCCAAGAAAAGAACGCACCUCCCGCACACUCGCGGGGUAAGGUAAUGCAGAAAUAAUGUCUAUUUUAGCCUUGUCAACUUCUAUGCCCUUAGACGAUACAAUAUGACCCAGGACUAUUCCGUGCUCAACCAUAAAAUGACAUUUUUCCCAAUUUAGCACAAGAUUAGUCUCUAUACACCUUAUCAGGAUUAAUUGCAGGUUAUCUAAACACGUAUCAAAACUAUCACCAUACACACUGAAAUCAUCCAUGAAAACUUCAAUAAUUUUCUCCACGUAUUCAGAAAAAAUACUCACCAUACACCUUUGGAAAGUCGCAGGUGCAUUGCACAACCCAAAUGGCAUUCGUCUGUAGGCAAAGGUCCCGAACGGGCAUGUGAAAGUUGUCUUCUCUUGAUCCUCCGGGGCAAUUGCUAUCUGAAAGUAUCCUGAAAAUCCAUCCAAAAAGCAAUAAUAAGCUCUACCAGCUAAACGUUCAACCAUUUGGUCAAUGAAAGGGAGAGGGAAGUGGUCCUUUUUAGUGACGGCGUUCAGCCUACGGUAGUCUAUACACUGCCUCCAUCCAGUGGGUUUGCGCACUGGCACGAGCUCACCCGUUUGGUUGGCUUCUACCGUUACUCCUGCCUUCUUCGGGACUACCUGGACCGGACUCACCCAAGGGCUAUCAGAUAUUGCAAAGAUGAUCCCCACAUCUAGCAGUUUUAGAAUCUCUUUCUUUACAACUUCCAUCAUGAGGGGGUUGAGCCUUCUUUGAGCCUGCCUAACAGGUUUGGCAUCGUCUUCUAGCCUAAUCCGGUGCAUACAGAUGGCCGGGCUUAUCCCCUUAAUGUCUGCGAUUGUCCAGCCUAUCGCCUCUUUAUGCUCCCGAAGGACUCGGAUCAAUUUCUCUUCCUGGAUUUUUGACAGUGCCGACGAGAUAAUCACCGGGAGUGUCUCAUUAUCACCCAAAUAUGCAUAUCUCAGGUGCUCUGGUAGAGGUUUCAACUCCAGUACAGGUGCCUGCACCACAGAUGGCAAUACCCUCUGAUGAGGCUCGGGAGUAAAAAUAGGUAAGACUUCAUACCUUUUCCUGGUGGUCUGCAAUGAGUGUAAUGCACCUAUUGUGCAUUUUAAAUCCUCACUCCACUCCACCUGAGGAGUUGUCUCCAACUCGAGGUGCUUGGUUAAAGCCACCUCCAACUCAUCCCUGCCAUCAGUUUCAAACACUUCCUGCACUACAGGAUCAAUAGCACUCACAGAGAAAACUGAGCUAAAGUUGGAGUUCGAGGGGUAUUUCAUAGUAUCAAAAAUAUUAAAAUGCACAAUUUCCCCAUCAAACUCCAUGGACAAGGUACCCUUAUUAACAUCAAUUUUCGUCUGUGCAGUGCUCAUAAAAGGUCUACCCAAUAACAAAGGUGAGGGAUCAGGGGAGUGAUCAUCAUCCAUAUCCAGUACAUAAAAAUCAGCUGGAAACACCAAAUCAUUAACUUUUACCAAUACAUCUUCAACCAACCCAUCAGGAUAUGCAUUAGUUCGGUCAGCUAAUUGAAUGAUAAUUCCAGUUUCUUUUAAUGGACCUAAUUUUAGAGAAGCAUAGAUAGACUUAGGCAUGACAUUAAUUGAUGCUCCCAGAUCCAACAUGGCCCUUCUGAUCACAGUAUUACCUAUCCUACAGGGAAUAGUAAACAUACCUGGGUCCCCGCACUUCGGUGGGAGCUUUCUCUGCAGGACCGCUGACACAUUCUCCCCAACAAUAACCCGUUCAUCCCCUCUCAAUCGCCUUCGGUUGACACACAAGUCCCUUAGGAACUUGGCAUAUUUUGGUACUUGUUUGAUGGCGUCUAAGAGGGGGAUAUUUAUCUCAACCUUGCGAAAAAUCUCCAAGAUUUCCCUCUCCUUAUCCUGCUUCUUUGAUUUUUCCAACCUGCUAGGAAAAGGAGGCGGGUUAGUCCUAACUGUAAUUGUUGGGUCAGGAAGUACCUGUGGAUCUGCACCAUUGCUGUCCUCCCUUUCGAGCUCACUUUCGAUCUUCUCUUCAUCCUUGUCCUUGGGGAUCAUAGGCUCAGGCCCUUGAACUUCCUUGCCACUCCUCAAGGUCAUGGCGCUCACAUUCUUCGGGUUCAACUCAGGUUGAGAUGGCAAUUUACCUUGAUUUUGGGCAUCCAAGCGGUUGAUUGUUGUGGCCAGUUGACUUAUCUGAUUCCUUAUGUCCUGCAUUUCGGAGUCCGUCCUUUGCUGAUGUUGCAUAAUGGUUGCCUCCGUCCUUUGCUGAUUUUGCAUAAUAGUUGCCUCUGUCCUUUGCUGAUUUUGCGCCAUGGUUGUCAUCAUUUGUUUCAUCAUCUCCUCCAUAGAUGAACCGGAUUGAGGGGGCGGGGGUGGUCGGGGUUGGUAUUGCUGCUGGUACCCUGGUGGCUUAUUUGGCACAAAACUAGACUGCCUGUUCGGUGUAAAGUUGGGUUGCCUAUUCCCUCCAUAACUGAGGUUGGGAUGAUCUCUCCACCCGGGGUUGUAGGUGCUUGAGUAAGGGUCGUACUGCUUCCUUGGCGCGGGCGCGUGGUCAGCCAUGUUCACCUGUUCUGCAGUUUCUUCCUGAAUCAUUGGGCACAUGUCUGCAGAGUGGCCUAUACCAGUGCAAAUCCCGCAUACCCUGGCUUGUGAUGCAUUUCUCACAGCCUGUUGCCUAACAAAAGCAGUCAACUCAUUUAGUUGCUGCUGCACAGAGGGUGUCUCUAUCUCAUUCACCCUACGUAUUGGAACAUCCUCUCUUGUACUGAAUUGCUGUGAGUUCUCUGCCAUCCCCUCUAUUAACUCCCGUGCUUCCUGAGGGGUUUUGUUCACCAGUGCCCCUCCACUUGCAGCAUCAAUGAUGCUCCUGUCUCUAAAAAUGAGUCCCUCAUAAAAAUAUUGUAUGAUCAACUGCUCACUUAUUUGGUGUUGGGGGCACCUGCGCAACAAGUUCUUAUACCGUUCCCAAUACUCGUAAAGUGACUCCCCUGGAUGCUGUUUGAUCCCACAAAUUUCUUUCCUUAGACUUGCAGCCCUGGAUGCAGGAAAAUAUUUAUCCAAAAAUUUUUUCAUCAAUUGGCCCCACGUGGUGAUGCUACCUGGUGACAGGUAGUACAGCCAGUCCUUCGCAGAAUCUUUCAAGGAGAAGGGGAAUGCCCUCAUUUUUAUCUGCUCUUCUGUGAUUCCCGGGGGUUUCAUACUGUUGCAAACAACAUCAAACUCCUGCAGAUGCUUAUACGGCUCUUCACCUGGUAAACCAUGAAAAGAGGGUAAAAGCUGAAUCAGACCAGAUUUUAGUUCAAAUGGAAUGUUGUCAUUUAAAGCGGGGAAAGUAAUGCACAAAGGCUGCUGAGUUAAAUCAGGAGCAGCCAACUCCCUUAAUGUUUGUGCAUUAGCCAUGGUUCCUUCCUCCUGGUCAGAGUCACUUGAAGUGUCACCAAACGAAUCUGUUGGUUCAACUUCUGACUCGGGUCUUUGAGAUGUAGCCCUGGUGUGCUCUUCUCUGAGUUGUCUGGUUUCCUUUCUCGUUCUACGCGCGGUCUUCUCUAUCUCGUGGUCAAAAAUCAAAUCACCUGUACGAGAAGAUCGAGGCAUACACUAGAAGAAGACCAGAAAACUAGGACAAAAUUGAAUUUAAAAAUAAACAAAUAAUAACGCCAGUCCCCGGCAACGGCGUCAAAAAUUGACAGGUCGUCAACCUGUGCAAUAAUAAAAUUAAACCUAAUUGCCAGUUAAAAUGACCAAAACCCAAUUCCAAGUACUGGAGCAGGGACUCUAGGUGUGCAAUGGGUUACUUGAUUCACCCUGUUCCCGAAGAGUUUGCUUGAUCCGAUAUACCCAAAUGGAAUGGUUAUUCCUUUUCACAAAUGAUUAGGAAUUUGUAGACAGGGCAAGUAGGGUCGUAUCCACAGAGACUGGGUAUAUUUGUUUCUUAAGAAAUCCAAAGUAACACAGGGGGUGAUUUUGUAGGAACGACGAUAAUUAAAUAAAUUCAAAUGAGAAAGUAAAAAUAAAUAAUUAACUAGAAAUUAAACCACAAUUUACUGAACUCAGGAUAACAAUAGUUAAAGGCCUCAAUUAAUUAAAAUAAGGAAACAAUCAAAAAUAAAAUAAAGUAGGUAAUUAAAAGUCAAAUGGCAAUCCACUACAAUCAAGGAAAUAUUAACUAAAGAUCUAGCCAAGAAAUAACUUCAGCAAUGGUUCACCUAAUCGAUCAUUGAUGCAAAGCAAUCCCAAUUAUUUUAUAAUAAAUAGGUUAUAACUACCAAACAAGCGAUGGCAGUCAACCCCUCCUUACUGUGUCGGUGAUCAAGGUACGCCCGUUAAUCACUGCUCUAAUUGAGAAAUAAUCCUAGGUACGCCCGUAGAAUUUAAUUCCCCAACUGCCUUACGUAUUAGAGGAGCCCUAUUCUAACCAAAUAACACACUACCAGGGUUAUUUUAGAUUAGCCCGCGUAUCCCCCUGACACGAAUCUAAUCGUGCCAGUUGUCACUAUUUUGAGGUAAUUAAACAAUUACGGAUUUAAUACCCCAAUUGACAAUAGAUUACCAAACCAAUUAAUUAUCCGGAUCCAAGACAAUCAACUAAUUAAAUAAUCAUAAGCAUAGUAAUUAGGGAAUACACGAAUACCAAUAAAUAAAAGGGAAAGAUUAAAUUAAAUCGAUCUCACAAUUUACAGGUGUCCCAAAGCAUCCGUCGUUUCUUGACUAGAACGAGGGGAUUAGCUCAUAUUGGAUGAACUAAGCCCGCGGGAAAUUCCAGCAAAAGUCACGGCCGUUGUAUGCAUUUCAAGAGCCGCAAUUCGUCAAACACUUGGAAAGCGAAUGUAAGGCACGGGUAACAAUUGAAGCUUUCUAAUUGUUCCUAGUAUUCGUAAAGCAAAUUCACUCCAGAAGUACAGUGAGGAAAAGUCAAAGAAAGUGGGCUUCAAUUCCUUGCUCCUGACAUGCGUGGAGACAAGCCAAUGCAAGACUACAAUAAACUAACAAGGAAAAGUCAAGAAUUGGAGCUAAGCUCCCCUGCCAUGCGCAGGAAUCCCAAAAGUAAAAAGUAAAGCUUCAAAGAAAAGUCAACAAUUCUUCCUAAGCUAAAGACGGAAAAUCCAUCACAAAAGCCAGCUCUCUUUUUGAUCCCUUUUUCCCCCUUCUUAUUGCGGCGGCUCACCAGGAGAGGAGAGCCCUCCGUCCGUCCUUUCUUCCGGAAAUUUACCAAAAUGGGCAUGACAUCUCCUCUUCCAAAAGUGCCCCUGGGACAAGCUUUAUCAUCUGAAAUCUUUUUUUUCCAAUUUGGCACCUGUUAUCAUAUUCAUAUUCUACUCCCUGAAAUAAACGUCAAAUACUAAAAGUGAGUAGAAUCCAGCAAAUAAAUCCACAUCAAGUCAGGUAAUAGGAGGAAUUAAUAAUAAAAUAAAUGAAUAAAUUGCAACCUAUCAAUUCUUGUGAAACUUUCGGCAUCCGACUGUUGAAGCUCAACUUUGGCAGCAAAACCAUAUCGCUAAACUUAGAAAUCGUAGUCAUUUGAAAUCUAACUUUGAAGUAAAUGUCUUGAGCUACCAUUUUUUCUGCAUUCCUUUGAAGUAAAGGAUAGUAUUGAUUUAUGGGUACAUCAAUUUAUGCACAAAAGUUACUCUUUUUAUGGGUACAUCAUUUUCCUUUUUCCCAUCACACUUUAUUUUCCCGACAACCAUUCAGACAGUUUCAGAUUAAAGGGCUCCAGCAUUUACUCAAAAUUUUUUUUUUUUAAAAAAUGAAGGCCCCAGCACCAAAGAAUAAUUGAGAAACUCAGGUGAAAUUGCCAAGUAACUUCCAAUGCAAAAGCAUCCGAUAAUGUUUUAAGUUUAUCUAUCUCUAAAAUGAUUAACAGAUUAGGUGAAUGACCAUUUUCCUUUUUCCCAUGUCUUUGCCAUCACACUUUAUUUUCCCGACAACCAUUCAGACAGUUUCAGAUUAAAGGGCUCCAGCAUUUACUCAAAAAAUUUAAAAAAAAAAAGAAAAAAAGAAGGCCCCAGCACCAAAGAAUGAUUGAGAAACUCAGGUGAAAUUGCCAAGUAACUUCCAAUGCAAAAGCAUCCGACUUUGAUAACCUUUUUCUGGAAAGCCAUUUUGGCUUAAAAAAAUUUCGCAAGCACAUUUUUUAAUUAUUUUUAUAUCUCGUAUAUAUUAAAUUAUUAUAAUAUUUUUUUUAUAAAUACUUUAAAAAAUAGCAAUUCAAAUGAAAAAAAAAAAAAGCAUUCCACUUCGACGUAGAUUGAUGACUUUCAAUUGGUUACAUCAUGAACCAUUUUUUUUCUUGUCAACGGACUAGCCCUGCAUUUGGGAGGCAAGAAAUGAUAAGAAAAGAAAAGUUUUGGAUGGAUACAUAUCAAUUUCUGUCAUUUGGGAGAAAGGGUGGGAAAGAAAAUAAAAGAAUUGGACAGAUUUUGAUUUCCCUCCAGAGUAAAAAAUGGUAGGAAAUGGAGAAGCCUACAGUAUACUUUCACAAUAUGACAGUUUUACCCGUAAAAAGUUUCUAGGCAAAGUUGAAAGCUUCAGUAUUUCGCCUUUCUGAUGAUGAAGACGAUUGAACUAGACUUCAAUGUCUUCAUACCGAAUGUAGAUAUAUCUCUUAAUCCAAUACUUGUAACUCAAAAUAUUGCCAAAAUAUGGAAAUAUAUUAAAACUGAAAAAAUUUGCUUCCUUUUGUUCUUGAUUGCUGCACUUCAUGUCUUCUUUUCAUCACUUCAAAUCAUCAUCAAUCAUCUAGUUAUCUUCUCAAUUCAUACCCUCUGAUGAUUGAAUUAUUAAACCUACAAAAACAUAAAGUUUUUACCAUUAAAAUACAUAGAAAUGCAACUUUUACCAUUUAAACCACAAAAUGUAUAUUUUUACCAAAAUCCUAAUUAAUUAGUUAUAAAACUAGGUAAAACAAACUAAAAUUAACCAGUAAAAUACACUUAAAAACAUGUAAAAUAUACUCUUGUCAGGCUCCUUAUUUGUCACAUAAUUAUCAUCAUUUCUUGUACCGAAACAUAGUAGUCGAAGUUGAGUUGGACCAUGGGGAUGUUAAUGUAAGCAUAAAUAUCUCAUGUGAUUAGGGUGGUUGUACACCUUGAGUGCAUCCAAUGUACAAUUCCAGCAUGGAUUUGUGUUGUAAUUAACAUAUGCAAAUAAUGGAACUAAUAUUAUGGACCAUUAACGUUUGUAUACGGAGCAUUUAAGAACCAUUCCUUCCCCAACUCAUCGGAAGACUCUUCUUCCACUCAAUUUCUGUGAUAAUUGGUAAGACAUUGGUACUCAUGCUGAUGCCAAAUUGGUGCAAAAUUUGAAUUUGGUCGGUGAAGCAGUACCUCCAAAGGACUAACAAAUGAGGUGAAUUCCCAUUUAGUCUUUUUCCAAUUCGAUUGUGAUCAUAGUUUAUUGUCCCUCCUGGAUGGAACUUUGAGUUACACCACUUUUCCAAUAGUCAUUCAGAUAUAUUCAGAUUAAAGGGUUCCGGCAUUCAAUCAGUAAAGAUGAAGGCCCCAUCAACAACACUGAUUAAGAAAAUUCAGGUAUGUACAAUAUUAAGCACGAAUUUGUGUUGUAAUCAAUGUGCAAAUGAGAGUCACAUUAUGGCUAAUUUCUUGGCCAUAAAUUUUCUCGAGCCACAAAAGUUACUCCUUAUCAAAUUUCACAAGCGAGACAGUUUGACAAAAACAAGGAAUAUGUAAUUGUGGAUGUCCUUCAAUGCCUUGUUUGGAAAGCCAUUUUCCCUCAAAAAAAUUUCUAUCUUUUUUCAUAGGCAUAUUUUUUAAUUACUUUUUAUCUCAUGUAUACCAAAUUGCUAUAGCAUAUUUUUCUACAAAUACUCUAGAAAAUAGCAAUCCAAAUGGAAAAGAAGCAUUCCACUUCGACGUGGAUUGAGGACUUUCAAUUGGUUACAUCAUGAACCAUUUUUUUUCUUGUCAAGGGACUAGCGCUGCAUUUGGGAGGCAAGAAAUGAUAAGAAAAGAAAAGUUUUGGAUGGAUAUAUAUUAAUUUUUGUCAUUUGGGAGAAAUGGUGGGAAAGAAAAUAAAAGAAUUGGGCAGAUUUCGAUUUCCCUCCAGAGUCAAAAUAUUUUCCGCCCAAAAUUGGGCUGAAAUGGUAGGAAAUGGAGAAGCCUAAAGUAUACUUCGACAGUUUUACCCGUAAAAAGUUUCUAGGCAAAGUUAAAUUUCCUUGACUUCUAGCUUCCUUAUAAAAGCCCCAAUCAAUAAAAAAAAUUCAUCUCUCUUCCUUCUCUUGACCACUAACACUCUGGUGGACCGAAAAUAGAGAAACUAUUUGUGCCCUCUUUUUGCUUAAUGAAUUAAAUUUAAAAUUUCACAUGUUUUAGUUGUUUCCUGGAUACUGGUUGUGCUUUUUCUUAAGUACUUGAUAGAUCAUUCUUGGUCUUCUACCUGAUUAUAUGAAUAAUUAUACAGCUUCAAUAAUUUUUCAAAAUUAUCCCUCUUCAAUAAUAUCUAACAAGCUCUUGACCUGCUAAAUUUCCUUUGGCUUAAAGGUGUGUGUUUAAACCCGAAGCUGUCAGUUUCAUUGCAAUUAUUUACUCUAGAAGAACUUUUUAAUAUAAGGGCACAGUUGUAAAAGUAAAGAUAGACAAUUCUUUCUUUUCACUUCUCUCGUCUUAAACAAAAAAAAAAAAAAUCAUUUCUUUUCUUUUUCUUUUUUAAGUUCCCAAACAACAUUGAAGGAAACUUGUCUAGUUUAAUUAGUCAAACAUUCUUUAUGUUUAUAUAUAUAUAUAUAUAUAUAUAUAUAUAUAUAUAUGGCUCAAUCCCCCAAGAUACUGGACUAAAAAUUCCUAAUUUUGGCCAACUUGGAUAUAUAAACUUAAACGGUGAUGUGAGGUGAAAAAUUAGGGGCAAUAUGGUAGAACACUGGGAAUUGUAUGAUAAUUAUAGUUUAGAAGGAGUAAAUUAAUAAGCUGUUGACUUAAACCUGAAGGUGUUUAAAUUUCCUUUGGCUUAAAGGCGUUUAAACCCGAAGCUGUCAAUUUUGUUGCAAUUAUUUACUUUAGAAGAACUUUUUAAUAUAAGGACACGGUUGUAAAAGUAACAAGGUAGACAACCCUCUCCUUUCACUCCUCCCAAGUGUCAAACAAAACCAAAAAAAUCAUUUCUUUUCUUUUCUUUCCUAAGUUCCCAAACAACAUUGAAGGAAACUUGUCUAACUUAAUUAGUCAAACGUUCUUUAAUUCUAUUUAUACAUGAUUGACAUGAAAUAUUAGUCAAAAGCCAACACUUAAAGCAAUGAUCUAAUCAUCCAAGUAAGCAUUGAUCCUUUCCCAGGUUCGUUUAACUUAUCUCAAAUAUCCACCAUUCCUAAAACUCCAUCGUUUUUUUCCAAGGCAACUCUAAUUUUUUUUUUCUUUACAAUUGCUUUGUAUUUAAUAUCAUAAUUUUAGGUUUGUGAUUUAGAAAUUUUUUGACAAUUAUUAAUUUAUCAAUUGUUCUUAUUCUAAAUUUAUGUCUUAGAAGUUUUAUGUUAAUUUGUAUAGGGUUAAUUUUUUUUAUUGAAUUUAGUUAAUAUUUAUCUAAUUUUGGUUUGUGAGUUAAUUUUCAUAUUUUGCUUUGGACUUUAUCUUUUAUUAUUAAAAAUAUUUAGUUGUUAGUAGAGGUGUCAAAAUGGGUGAUUUGGACGGGUUUGAGUUGGAUAAAAUGGGUAAUGGGUAUAAGUGAGUCAACCCAUUUAUACCCAUUUAAUUAGAUGGGUAUAAAUGGGUAAGUCAAAAAUUGGGUAAUCCAAUUACCCAUUUAUAACCCAUUUAUUUUAGCUUUUUGUAAAUUCAUUUAAAUUCAUUUUUGCAAACUAAGUUAUCAAUUUAUAUCAUUCUUUGCACCCAUCAUUAGUUUUAAAUAUUUAUUUAUAAUACUCAAUAAACUAAUUAUCAAUUUUUUCCAUCUGUACUCUAUGUUGCAUAAUUACAUACUAUUUAAUAGUUAAACAAUAAGAAUAUAAAAUUUUGAAUUAAGUACUAUAAAAGUUAACAUAAAAACUUAAUCCAAAAAUUUUGAACCUCUAACAUUUUUUCAUGUGUAAAUUUAAAAUUUCAUUUUGGAAAAGUAAGAAAAGAGGCUAAAACUUUUCAAAAAUUGGUAAUACUGAAAAAUGAGCAAAUUAACAAACUAAGAGAAAAUAAAAUGAUAAGAUAAAACCAACAAAUAAUAAUAAUAAUGAAACAAAUGUAGUUAACAUCAUGACAAAAUGAAAAUUUUGAAAAAAAAAAAUGGGUGGGGGAAGAGAGGAGGUUUUGGGGAAGACAAUUCUAAAUGGGUUAAUUGGGUUUGAUGAGUUACCCAGUAAUAUCCAUUUAUUAAAUAGGUAUUAUUGGGUAACCCAUAUGUAAAAUUUUAAGAUACCCAGACCCAUCUAUUCAUGGGCGGGUAUGGGUAAACUUAAUUAAAUGGGUUUGUUUGACAGCUAUAGUUGUUAGUUAUCGUCUAUUAAACUUUGGUUUUAAAUUUUUUAUUUCAAGUUAAUGUGCAUUAUUUGUUUUGAUUUUUUUUUUUUGUCACUUGUUGUUUGAUCUUUCGCCCCCCUCUUCCCCAAACCAAAAUCCUACAUUCAUCAUUGGUUAUCUUUAGUGAGCUAUAAAAUAAUUUAUUAUUGCAGGGUUUGUGACAAAAAUAACGGAAGGAAUGUCCUAGAAGGAGCUGGAAAAUCACAGAAGGAGCUGUCCUAAAAGCAUGAUUUGGAAAUGUGUAUAGUGAUGAAUUCUUUAAUGUAAAUGUUGCCGAACUCAUGAAGUUGAAUUAGUUCUUUGUUUUUGGUGGAUUGAUUAUUUAAAGUUUUGCCACUAUUGUUGAUUCUUUUUCUGGCUUAACACAAAUCUUCGGUAAUAAGCGUAGAACGAACGUUGUUUUAUAACUCUUUGUAUUUGGAAACUGCUGACAUGUUCGCUUUUGGCUGAGCUGUAGUAGAAAGAAUCUCCCUGAAUGAUGUGGACUUUAUCUUAAUUGGUUACAGCUACCGAAGUUUGUUCUGAAGUUAUCACUGAUUCAUGAUAGGAUGAGUAAACAAGGAGAACUAAUUCUGGCUUCUGAAUGAACCUAAAACGAGCACUGUGAACUAAAUGUUGUUGGAUUAGGGGUGCAAACGAGGUAAAUCGAGUCGAGUCAAGUUUUGGUUUAAUUGACUCGGGUCUCAACUUAGUGUUAUAAAACUUGAACUCGACAAUCUUAAAAUGUAAAGUUUGCGCUCGAGUUUAAAAAAAAUAUAUAUAAUAUUAUUUUAUUUUUAAAAAAUAAAUAAAAUAAUAAUUUUUUAACAAAUAAUAAAAUAUUAGGAACAUAUAUGUAUAUAGAUGUGUGCGUGUAAUCGAACUGGCUCGUGAAUUAACGAGCUAAAUAUGUUUGAGUUCAAAUUCGACUUGAUCAGCUCGAAUUUGAUUAGAGUUGCUCACGGGGUUGGGGGGUGUUGGCAUCUGCAUCACCUGUAAAGUUUCGCAUUCGACCUCGCGUACAUCAUUCACGUUUGUACGCCUUUGGUUGUGGACUAAAAUGUUCAAUAUAUUACUCUCAUUAUGAACUCGAUCAUGUGCAUUGAAGUUCAAUACUGAGUAUAUUCUAUCGUUGUAGAAUAUAUGAUUGUUGGUUUGAACAAUUCUUAGUUUAUCACCAAGGCUGUGAAAUCACUGUUGAAAGGUUACGACUGGUGACUCGUAAUCAGAUGGUACUUUGCUUGUGCUUAAUCAGUGGCUGCAACAUAGUAGCAUAUUUUUGUUCCUUUCUCCACCAUACCAAAUCAACGCCAAAUGUCUAAAUGGUGUUGUGGGUACAUUGGUGAGACAAUUUACUAAAAGAUUGAACCAAGGCAUUGAAAAGCUUUAUCGAUCGGUUCAAGUAGGAUGAUGUUUCUUUUUUGUUUGUACUGACCCCUUCCUUCUGUUUAGCUUACAAUAUUGCAUGGAUCUAAUUGGGCUGCUGCUUCUGAUAUGAUCCCAAAAGUACAUACUUUCCAGGGUGGCAGAUGAAUAUUUCUCGAGUUGGAGUUGAAGCUUAUCACUCAAUGUGUAGCUACUCUGCAUAUGAUCCUUCUUUCCUAUCUCUCUCUGUUUCUUUCUUUUGCUUCAUUGAAGCGGUACCUCCAAGGUGAAUUCCCAUUUAGUCUUUUUCCAAUUUGAUUGUGGUCAUAGGUCAUUGUCCCUCUUUUCCAACAAUUCAUUCAGAUAUAUUCCGAUGAAAGGGUUCCAGCAUUCAAUCAGUAAAGAUGAAGGCCCCAUCAACAACACUGAUUAAGAAAAUUCAGGUGAAAAUGCAAAGCAACUUCAAUGGCAAAAGCAAAUCACCUGCGCUUCUGAACACGGAUUGAGGGCUUUUAUAGUCCAUCACACGAUUCUUGUUAUUUUUUGUUAAUAUUAGAAGUAAACAUGCAUCUACGUGAACUAUCUCACUGAUUGUACACCUUCAAUGCAACAAAUGUACAAUUUAAGCACGACUUUGUGCUGUCAUCAAUAUGUAAAUAAAGGUCACAUUGUGGUUAAUAUUUUCCUUAAUUUGCCUCAUGCAGCUAUGCCUAAUAAGAUUCACUUUGGAAAAGCAUCAAUGAGAAAAAGGUGAAGACCCCAGCAACAAGCCAAGCACCUUUAUUCCUUUGGAACCUAAAGCAUCCAGCUAUGCCAACGAAGCACUGCUCUACACGAAUUGACGGCUCAUUAUUUCUUGUUACCCAUAAAUAUCUCACUGGUUAGUGUGAAUGCAGCAAAUUACAUUUGUAUGUACGAAAUAAGCAUGAAUUUGUGCUGUAAUCAAUAUGCAAAUGAGAGUCACAUUAUGGUUACCCCUUAUCAAAUUUCAUAAGUGAAACAGUUUGACAAAAACAAGGGAUAUGUAACUGUGGAUGUCCUUUUGAUGUGAAGAUUGAAGCAAAUGCAUCUUUCAAGUUACUAAUCCCCAGACUUCAUUGAUAAAAAAAAAAAAAAAAAAAAUUUAAGAAGGAAAGAGAAUUGGAUUGUAGGUCGAAAAUGGGACUUCAAUUCCCCAUGAAAGUGGAUACAAAAUCCUUGGUUUUAUAAAGUUUAAAAGGAUCAAGUCUGAAGAUUUUACAAUAGAAGCAAAUAUCUGACGAUUAUUUCGUUCAGAAAAUACACGUUCAAGUAAUUUGAGAUCACAAGUUUGUUUAUUGAGACACAAAGCUAUAAACCAUCCACUUAUGUCUUUAUUCUUAACCAGCCAAGAAGCAAAGUAGCUGGUCCAAAAAGAAGAUUCCCUGUUUGUUUGUAACACAGGUUCCUUUACCUAAUAGAAUUACUACUACAGUUUAGUUUAAUUUUCAAUGCUUGAGGCUCGCACUAUAGAAUAAAGCAGUAGCUCUAGAAGUCUUACCUUAGAAGCACUUCAAAUUCUUUUCUUCUCCAAACAUUUCUGCUUUUAGCUGCUGAAGCUGAAGAAUUCCUUCUUAUCUCAUUCCAAAAUCCAUCCUGAUCACCACCUUAAUUGAUUCUUUUCUUCUAAUUUCAAUCCCAAGCACGAAAAAAAAUGGCCGAUGCAGCUAUUAGCGCUACUAUUCAGGUUGCAUUGGAGACGGUUAUUUCCCUUGCCGCUGAUCGUGUUAGUUUGGUUCUUGGAUUCGGAGAGGAGUUGGAGAGACUAUGCCACACUGCAGAAACCAUCCGAGGUAUCCUGGCUGAUGCGGACAGGAAAAUGCAUAUCCUCGGGGUGAAAAAUUGGCUCGAGCAGCUUGAAGGAGAGCUUUUUAAAGCGGAGGAUGUGCUGGACGAGCUCAACUAUGAAAAUCUUCGUCGGGAGGUGAAGUAUAGAAAUCAACUCAAGAAAAAGGUAUGCUUCUUCUUCUCGCACUUUAAUACAAUUGGUUCUCGUUCAAGGUUGGCUUCAAAGAUCAGGGACAUCAACUUGAACCUAGAAAGGAUCAAUCGGCAAGCAAAUGAUGUGGGACUGGUCUUCCGGUUCCAAAUUGAAGCCGCACUCCCUGCUGCUACAGGUGCCACAACAAGCAGACAAACCGACUCUAUUCUCGUUCCAAAUGUUGUAGGAAGAGUUGACGAUGAAUCAAAGAUUGUGGACAUGUUAUCGAGCCCAUCUGAAAAGGUUCUUUCUGUUAUUCCCAUAACAGGCUCAGGAGGUUUGGGAAAAACAACUCUGGCGAAAUCAAUCUACAAUAAUCCAAAAAUAGAUGGGCACUUUGGCCAAAAAAUUUGGGUUUGUGUGGCUAAAGAUCAAAUUAAGAUAAUGGAGCUGUUCAAGCUCAUUUUAGUACAAUUGACAGGAGAAGAAGUUAAAGUGGAUGACAGGGAUGUUAUCGUUAAAAAAAUUGGAGCAAAGCUCAAGGGACAAAGAUAUUUCCUUGUUCUUGAUGAUGUGUGGGAUCAUGACCAAGGAUUGUGGAAUGAUUAUUUCAACACUUUGAUGGGACUCAAUGAAGCCAAAGGAAGCUGGUGUCUUGUCACCACUCGUCUGGUACCAGUGGCAAAUGCUGUGUCUAGACCUCUGAAGAUGAAUGAUGGUCCUUAUUUCUUAGGAAAGCUACCAGACAAUGAGUGCUGGUCUAUCCUGAAAGAAAUGGUAAUUGCAGGGGAAGAAGCACCAACAGAAUUGGAAGCAAUAAAGAAUCAGAUUUUAAGAAAAUGUGAUGGCUUACCAUUGGCAGCAAAGUUAAUUGGAGGUUUGUUGGUUAACAAGGAGAAAGAGGAGUGGAAAUCUAUCGUGAAGGAGAGUCAAACUGAUGAAGAUCAAGAUGAGAUUGAUCAAAUACUUAAGGUGAGUUUUGAUCAUUUGUCACCUGCAUCAGUUAAAAAAUGUUUUGCAUAUUGUUCAAUUUUUCCCCAGGACACUGAAUUGCGAGAAGAUGAACUAAUUCAGCAUUGGAUGGCGGAAGGUUUUGUUCAACCAGAUCGCCAAAACCAAAGAUUGAUGGAGGAAAUAGGAGGCGAGUAUUUGAGGAUUUUGUUACAAAAUUCCUUAUUGGAAAAAGUAGAAGAGUCUUGGAGAACAUAUUAUAAAAUGCAUGAUCUCGUGCAUGAUUUUGCAAAAUCAGUUCUCAAUCCUAAAACCAGCAGCCAGGAUCGCUACCUUGCAUUACACUCAUAUGAAGAAAUGGCAGAAAAUGUCAGAAGGAAUAAAGCAGCAUCAAUCCGCUCGUUAUUUCUCCAUCUAGAGGGUGGCAUAUCUGCUGACAUGUUGUCAAGGUUCAAGCACUUGCAUGUUCUCAAAUUGUCUGGAUAUCAUGCCAAGUUUCUGCCGAGCUCUAUUGGCAAACUACUACGUCUGCGGUUGCUCGACAUUAAAUCUUCUGGAAUCAGAAGUUUGCCGGAAUCUCUUUGCAAGUUAUAUAAUUUGCAGACACUAACGAUUAAUGAUUAUGCACUUGGAGGAGGUUUUCCAAAACGGAUGAGCGAUUUGAUCAGCUUGCGACAUCUAAACUACUACCAUGAUGAUGCAGCAUUGAAAAUGCCGGAGCAGAUGGGACGAUUGACUUGUCUUCAAACUCUAUGGUUCUUUAAUGUAAGUCAGGAGAAGGGUUGUGGCAUCGAAGAGCUUGGGACCUUGAAAUAUCUGAAAGGAUCGUUGAUUAUAAGAAAUCUUGGACUAGUGAAGGGCAAAGAAGCAGCUAAACAAGCAAAAUUGUUCGAAAAGCCAGAUCUGUCUCGCUUGGCGUUUGAAUGGGAGAUUGGGGAUCGGGAAAGCGAUAACCGCGAGGAGGAUGUGUUGGAAGGUCUCCAACCUCACCCAAAUUUGCAAGAGUUGGGAAUUCGUUCUUUUAUGGGUAAUAAAUUUCCACAAUGGCUUAUCAAUUUGCCAAAAUUGGAGACAUUGCGGAUAGAAGACUGCAAGAGAUGCAGUGAACUCCCAUCCCUCAAACGUCUCUAUUUGGAGGGAUUGGACAACAUUCGAUUUAUUGGAGAUGAAUUCUACGGUAUUACUGCUAAUGAGGAGGAGGGCAGAUCACGAGCAUCAGGGAGUAGCAGUAGAAGGCGAAAAUUCUUUCCUGCCCUUGAAGAAGUCCGUGUAAGGUAUAUGGAGAAUUUGGCAGAGUGGAAGGAUGCAGACCAAGUGAGGUCAACAAUAGGUGAAGCAGAAGCAGAUGUCUUUCCCGUGCUGAGGAAUUUUCGCAUUGAAAGUUGCCCCCAGCUGAUCACUCUUCCAUGCUCGUGUAAAAGUCUACACGUGGAGAAUUGUGAUAAUCUAACAAGUAUAAAAACGGGUUACGGCACUGCUUCUGUUGAGGUGUUGAGUAUCGACUCUUGCGACAAUCUUAGGGAGCUGCCGGAUCUGGAUCUGUUUGGAUCGAGUUUGCAGCGAUUGACCAUCGCAAGUUGCCCAAGAUUAAUUAGUUUAGGAGUAAAUGGACAGAAAUGCCCCCUACCAUGCCUUGAGGAAUUGAGUAUUUAUAAUUGCGCAGGGUUGACCACUAUAUCCGACAAAAUGUUCCAGUCAUGCCGGUCUCUGCGGUCCCUGUUGGUGAAGUGGUGCCCCAAUCUGGUAUCAUUUUCGCUUAAUUUGCAGGAGACGCCUUCUCUCGAGGAAUUCAACUUAUUCAGAUGUCCCAAAUUGAUCCCUCACAGGUUCAAAGGAUUUGCUUUUGCCGCCAGCUUAAGAAGAUUGAGCAUCAACAGUCCCUUCUCCUCAGAUGACUCCUCAGUCGAUGAUUUUGAUUGGUUUGGUUUAAGAUCUAUAUCAACACUCCGUGAGCUUCGAUUAGAAGGGAUGCCUCACACGGAGUCCCUGCCACACCAGCUUCAAUACUUGACUACCCUCACUUCACUAAGUCUCUUCAACUUUGGAGGAAUAGAAGUGCUACCGGAUUGGAUUGGAAACCUUGUGUCCCUUGAAACCCUAUCGCUAUCGAAUUGCGAAAACAAGUUUUUACCAUCCGAGGCCGCCAUGAGACGCCUCACCAAGUUAACAAGUGUUGAAGUUCAUGAAUGUCCUCUACUAAGACAACGAUACACUUCCCAAAGAGGCAUCUACUUGGAGGAGGAGAUUUCAACUUAUUUUGUAAGAUUUUCCUAUCUAAAGUUCACACUCAUAUAUAUAUGUGUAUAAAUUUUUUGUAUCUGCAUCUCAUUGACAUAUAUUUGCUCUUCAGUCUCUUGUACUCUUUUUCUCCAUCUCUUUCCUGCAAAGUUAUUCUCCGUAAUUAAUUCUCUUCUUUUGGGCAAACCUUGGUUUCUCUUCAAAGAUUAGUUUUAACAAAGCCUGGUUUUGAGCAAAUUGGAAGAGGCCAAAAUUCUGGAUUUUCUCUGCAUCUCGCCAUUGAAAGAUUUUGAACAUCUUAAAAACUCAACUUGUUACCUUCUAUUUGGCCAAGCAUGAAAUUAUUAGCAACGGUGCAUACACAAUUAGCCUCUUUGUUUGAAUGUGUUAGCAAAUGUUCCAUUGCAUGUGCAAUGCUAGAUGUGCAUGGGAGCAUUCAUCAUUUUUCUAUCACCGAUAUUGCCAGUCUGAAUGGACAACAUUAAAGCUAAUCAAGAAACAUUUGCGAAGAAAAAUCAAGAUACAAUUUGAUGUUCAAGUUACAAUAAUUUUGGAUGGUUGUUUGUUAUGUUUCACAAGUUUCAGAAGUUUAUACGUCACAAUUACCAUGCAGGCAAGCAGUGAGAGCGAAGAAGAAGAAUCGACGACAAUGAACUAGCAGGCAGGGACGAUGAAUGAAAAAGCAUUCAUGGUGCUCAAACAUCAGCUUCAUGGUGUUUCCCAUCGUUGUUGAAGAAAAAGAAGAGGUCAGGAGGUAUGUUGUGCAGAAAAGUGAUAAUGCAGCAUUUCUCUCCCCAAGAACUCUUUUCUUACCUCCAUCCAAUUUAGUAAAAGUACAAGGAAUUGGUGCAAGUUUGCUUUUUAGUAUGCUUGGGUCAUGUAAUUGGCCUAAAAACAGGGCAUUUUCCUGUACUUUUAUCUGUUUGUGAACUUUUACCCUAUGCCUACAGCUUAUCUUUUGCUCUUUAAGAUUUUUAUAUUUACUUGGUGCUAAACAUGUCUUUUGAUUGGGACAGAAUCUGGUCUUUUCCGAUUUUCUUGACUAGUUACCAGACCAUAAGUUUUCUUUGCUUUCAUUGUUUAUUAUAAUUGGAGGCAUACUGAAAUGUACCAUUGUGAUGCUUUCCAGAGUCUUAGGAGGCAUAGCUUAUGUUAUUGGACAAAGGACAGCAUCGUUUGUUGUUUCAUUUCUUACUAGAAUACCAAGGGACAGAAGUUAUUUUCAUUGACCAGACAGGGUUUGAAGAUGAAGGCAAUUAUCAAUGAUCUUUAUUAAUCUCAUUAGAUAUCAUUAGCUUUGAUGGAGGCUUCAUAAAUAGUUGGUUCUCCCCAAGUUUCUCAAACAUAAGGUUUUCAUCUUCUCCUACUCAGACUGGAGAAAGGAAGGUAACAAUUUAGCUUGUUCAUCUUCAGGGAAGUUUUGGUAGUUUUUUAAUCUGCAUUCUUGAUAUGUAUUUAGUAAAUCAAUUACCAAAACUUUUUUUUCCUGUCGUGUAGCAUGCUGAUUGCUGAACUGAAAAUGGCUAGUAGCAGGCCUGCAAAGUGUGAUAUGGAGGAAGAAUAAAUUGGGGGGAGGGGGAGGGGGGAAGCAUGGAAGCUGACACUGGAGAGCUAUCAACAUACAAUGCUUAUUUCAAUCAAACUGGAGUUGGUCUAUUGGUUCAGAAGGGAUUUCAGGCGAAGAGUUGGAUGCAUCAGAAUGAUGUGAUAAGUACAUCCUGAUAGUACGUUUUCUUCAGCUUUAUUUGGAAGUAAAAGUGCAUCUGGUGACCAAAUUUAUGACAUUUUCAUCUUUUUUUUUUAAAAAAAAAAUUAAUCAUUUAAUGGAGAGAUCAUAGAACUCUUGUUACUUUUCCUCUUCCAGAAAUCAUUUUUCGUUAUUUCUUUCGCCUCUUUUAGCUGCUUCCCUUUCAACUACCGGGUCCAAGAUUUCGAUUAAUCCAUUGCAAUCACCACAGGAUUUCUCCUGGUUGGUUCCCUUAUUUUCACAUCUCAUGACUGUUUGAUUACUUUUGGGCUUCUGAUAGAUUCAUCUUCUCUUUUUUCCAGGAUUUUUACACUGGGUGGGCUUGUUUGGGUGUUCUUCAGGGUUAUGAUGCUAAUUUCUUUGCGGCCGUAAGUUUACUCUGACUUCUUCAGUUUGUUUUCCUGCCUUGGUUAUUUCACAGCACUUGGUUUGUAUUUAUGCGUGUGUUUUCUGAUAUAUGUUUUGUUGCUUUUGGUUUUGCUUAGGCUGCCAUCUUUUGUGUUUGCCAUUUGUUAACUACUGUGUUUUUCCUGCUUGUCUUUGUUCAGGUUGCCUCAUCGGUCCUAAAUUUCUCAUUCAGUGAAAGUAAUGGCAGUAGAAGCUAAAGUUGCGCGCCUUCCAAUCCUUAAACAUCCUUUCCCUUUCUUUUGGCGUGAAUAUUACUUUAUAUUAGGUUAUCUCUAUGGUCUAACUACCGAACUACAUUGGAAAGUUCUUUUUUUUUUUUCCAGUUCAUUGAAUGUUAAUUUCUUGUAAUGUAAUGUUUUACAGUUUGUGCUCACCAAAUUGAACGGAGCUCAUGGAUGAAUUACAUAUGCUUUUGAAAUUCAGUACACUUAAAAAAUUUUUGUGUCUUAAAUUUUAUUUAGGACUGGUGUAUUUUGGGAAUAAAAAGAUAUAAAUCUCUUAAUUUUAAACUGAAUUUCUGUUUUUCUUCUGGGGAAAAUUUUAUUGUGAAACUUAGGUCUUAUGCUUGGGUAAAAUGGGUAACUAGAGAACAAGUGGUUCCAAGGCAAUCAAUUGAAGGAAGUGUGAAGCAAAAAACAGGAGAAAAGGCUGAUUAAACAACACCGAGUAACAAUGUUCUGUUAUGAUGGCUCAGAUACUAAGGGUCUUGAAAGCUACACAACCACCAUAGCUUACCAAGAUCGACAGUGAUUUCAUAACUCUGCCCUCCUUACUUUCCAUUUUCUUAUUUUCUGUAUAUUUUUUAUAUGAAUUUUUAACUGUGUACAUUUUUUUUUUUUAUGAAAGACAAUGUUUUGUCAUUCGAUUAUUUUGAACCAAAAUUGUGAAAUCGGUUAAUGUAUCAGCUUCUGAUUUUUAUAAGUUCUGUGAUGGGAUAUUUCAGGUUAUGAAAGCAGUUGAAGCUAUCGAAGGCUACUAUUAAGGCACAGGUUCUGAUUUUCUCUCCUGACCAUGCUUCAAUUUCCAAUGAGGUUGUUACUUGGCAUAUGAAUUUUACCAUUCAGUCAUCCGGGAAAAGGAUUAUUCACAUGUGGUUCUUAUUUGCUUGCAAGCUGUAAUUUGGGUCUUGUUGCCCAUAAAAUGCUUUCUAGAGUUGCAAAUCAGUGAGUUCAUGGUUUCAUUAGACUUAAUAGAUAAUGCAGAUAAGUUUCUCUUGAUUAUGUGUGUACGGUUCUGAGAUAAUUUUGUAUUAUUGUUUGAACUUGCUCUCAAGUCUCUUUUUCUAAACUACAUUAAAGCCAAGUCUUUGUUAGUAAAGGAUGUCCGGAAGAUUAGUUAUUGGCUAGUAGCCUGGUACUAGAGAAAAAUUUACGUCUUUUCUAUUUUUGGUUCCUGCCAUAUUGUUGUCUUUAGUUUGAGCUACCAAAGGCUACUACACAAGGUAGAAAUUUAAAAAAAAAAGUAUUUUCUUUUCUUCCUGGUUGAUUUUUCUAUCUUUGUCUACAAAAUAAUAUGCAUUCUGCUAUCUUGCCCCACACACUAUCAAAUGGGGAAACUUUCUCGUCUCAGAGGUGGAAACAUACAAAAGCGGAGAUUUGGAUCUGACAUUGGACCUAGCAUAGUAUCCUCUGCAUUCUAAUCUCAUUUUGUCACUUAGAAACUUUGUUUGGUUUUGAUUUGGGAAGCAGCAAAGUUCAUUUUAGAUUUGUCAUUAAGCUCUGUUGUUAUUUCUUUUGUGACCAUGUGACAGCACGCUGAUACGUAUUGUAUAUAUUGUUCUUAUCAGCAAAUUACAAUUUUUUGUCUUUUUUCUUUGCUUUUACCUGGUAUGUGGAUAGAUUGAUGUCCGGAGGUUGUAAAGAAUAGUAAUGAAAGAUUGCAUGAGUCAUGUCUUUUCUUUUUCUAGAUAUUGAAAAAGCAUAUCUGCAUUUGACACAAUUUGUCCCCAGGAUUUUGACGCUGACAAGUACUUAUAUGCUACCUUUUGCAGACCCCGUCCAAGGUUCCAGAGGGAGUAUGUUGAGCGCAAUAACAAGCUGUUGUACUACAUCCUUGAUUGCCUUAGCAUGGGUUCAUCAUCAAGGUGACGAUAUGUCCUGUUCCUGGCACCAUCAAGAUUGAAAGUUUGGAGAUCAGCAGCAAGGCCUUGUCAGUGAAUUUGAUACUAGAAAGUUAAUGCAGUUGAUGCGGCAAAAGCUAAUUGAUAUACCUGAUUUCAUGGCUGAAACUUGAUUUCUCACUUUUGCAUUUUUUUUCCCUUCUUUUGAAUAAUGUACAUUCCUGGGAACACUUGACCAAUUAGGAAUGUGUUAGGAUGAUUGGUGAGAAAGCUUCUUUUUUUGGAUGAGGUAAAAACUUUUGUCAGUGAGCCAAUAUGCAUUAGGCAAGAUUUAUCAAAGAUGCUUUGCACUGCAUCUGUCUCUGUUUCUAGUAGAUUAUUUGUUUGAUUUGACUGGAAGCAGUGUGUCAUUACUAUAAUAGCAUGGGGCGAUUGAACAACGAAUGACAAAUAAGUCUAUAACAGCAUGUAAAUAUUCAACGAAUCAAAGAACAAAGAAAAUUAGAAUUUUGAGAGAGUUAUUAGAACUAUUGUGACGGUGCAAAUAGUUCCUUUUAAAUUGCAAAUAGAAUUAUACAAAAUAGAAUAUAGGCAGGAAAUGAGAAAGAUUCCUGAUAAAAUUUUGUAAAACAGAGUAGAAGGAAGAAAUGGAAAAGAUUCUUGAUGUAGCAAAGAAUGAUAAUAAAAUAAAAGAACGUCCUCUGAUCUUAUUAAAGCUAAGAUUAAAUCAAUUGAGUGUUUGAUAACUUGGAUAUAUACGGAGAUGGGCAAGUAAAGAAGUUUGUGUUACCAUUUAUGCCUCCUAGUCGAAAUGUCAUCUACGUCAACGUCGUAGACAAAGAAUGUCUCGUAGGCUAUGUUGGAACAUGCAGCAAGCAAUAGCUUCUCGUGCCAAAUUGUAUGAAUUUGUAUUUAUAACUAGUUGAUGUUGACAGAAAAUUGCUCUCUUACGCCGUAAGAAGUCUUCCGAAUGCAAUAUGCAUAUGUGUUUAUACAGCUAUACGAAGUAUAAGCACUAUGGAACAAGUAUCAAGGAACUAUUCGCUUGCAUGGCCGAGACCAGUGGCCAAUUUGGGUAUUUUGGUUCCAUUCUGAGCACUUUGGGAUUAAUUAACUUUAAGCCCGUGUAUUCUGUUUUAUUGUACAUUUUCCCCAAAUAAAUGCUUCAUGGGUCUAAUAUCAACUUGUAGAAAAAAAAAUAAACCAAGCCAAUUUUAGUUGUUUUAGAAUUAAAUUCAGUGUCGAAGUUGAUCUAAGAAAUAGAGUUAAGCCCUAUUUUGGUAUUAGAAUUUGAAUAGUGUAGUGCAUUCGUCUGGUCCAAUGGUGGUUUAGUCCCAUCGGCUUUUCAUAGGCUCAAUUGGGCACUCUCCCUUAAAAUAGGCUAGACUAGAAGUAGGUGUCGGAUAGACAAGUGCCGUUAACCAAAAAAAAUAAAAAUAAAAAUGGCUGAUUGUUGGAUGCAGGUACAAUUGCUUAGAGUUGCCAAAAUGAUUGACCUUUGUGUAGGAGGAGAUUUUACAAUACUAGAGGCAUUCAAUAUGCUUAAAAUGGGGCUUUUAUGCAGCCAAGCUAAUGCAAUUUUGAGGCCUGAUGAGGUUGUUUAGGUGCUCUGAGUUGUACCUAUGCAAUUGUUGAACCAAAUGAAUAGCCAGGGCAAGAUGUUGGUUUGCCUGCUGACAAUUCGACUGUGUUGUAAAGCUACUGGAGUGAAAUAGUUGACAAUAAAAUAGAGAAAUUUUUAGAAUUAGUUUAUAAGAAAAGGAAUGGGCAGAUUGUUUCAUAAAGAGGCUAAAGAGUGAAACGUACUUAGUGCAGAUGAAAAAACAUAGCUGUCAAUUAUUUUCUUACAUAAUUUUUAGAGAAAAAUGCAGUUUUAGUUCCGAUGUUUAGUUAGUAUGCCAAACUAGUCUAUAAUAUUUUGAUAAAAACAAAUGUAGUCUCGAAAAUUUCUAAUUUUGAGCAAAUUUAGGAUAAUUUAUCGAAAUUCAACCAUUCGUAGCGGUAAAUAUCAAAUUUCUAUUAGUCAAAUAUUUUGGCUUUUCAUUUUAGUUCCCAAAGUUUGAAAUUUCAGUCAUUAUAGCCCUUAAGUUUCAAAUGGUAUCUUCGGGGAUUUUAUGACGAAAUUGGACAUAAAAAGGGUUGAAAUUGUAUUAUACAUACUAAAUAUGUUGAUAUAAACUUGUCUUCUUCUUUUUAUUUCUUUUUUUUUAUUUAUACAUACUACUAAUUUAUAACAUAUUUCUUCUCUUUUACAUACUUGGUCAAAUUUGGCACAAUUCAUCUAAUCAUGUCUAAUUUUCAUUCAUGUUGAUAACUAAGCAAUCAAUUAAAUAUCCCUUUAAAAUGUUAAGUUGAUUGAACAGUAAAUUUUAUUUUUCUUUUUUUUGGCAUUUUAUUUGGUCAUCAAUUGAGUUUCAAAUGAAAUAGAUAUUUUAUAUGAUUGCAUAAAUUCAUAAUGAAAUUAUCUAUGUAUACAAACAUAGAUACAAACACUUUAAAAUUUUAAUAUGGAAAUAUUUGAUUUAAUAUGAAGGAAGUAUAAGAAUAAACAACAGGGUGGUUUGUCAAAAUUUCAUACAAGUUCUUCAUAUUAUUAAUUACCUUUACUUGUUAAUAUAAUAAUGAUUGAAAAUUAUAACAGUUUGAAACUUGCAUCCAACAAUCAAUUGACAAAUCUCUGAUCUCCAAUAGAGAAUCUACAUUUAUCCAACUCUUAACUCAAUCCUUAUAGUACUUAAAUUUUGAUAAAUCCAUCAUGAAAUUGCCUAAUAUUAUCAUAGUGAGCUUGGAUAUUGUGUUCUACGAUAGCAGCGUACUAAAUUAGUGAAUCAUAAUUUUGUAAAGUAUGAAGUUUCUGCACAUACUAGUUUGAAAGUUUCUCAAUAUCAAAUGUAACUAUUUUUAUUGCAAAUGGUUAUGGCAAUUCAUCUUAAAUGUUUCAUUGUUUGGUUGUUUGUAAUAAAAAAAAAAUCUAAAUAGUUAACACAAAUCACAAAAAAAAAAAAAAGGAAACACAAUAACAAAGGUUUUCCAUUGUUGCAGCCAUUUGUUCAUUUUGUUUUUCUCUGACUCAAAAUGAAAGUGGGAAAGUGUGGGGUUUUUAUGCGAGAGUGAUGAAUAUUGUAAAGGUUUAUAGUGUGAGAUCUUUUUCUUAAGAUUACAAAACAUAAUACGUAAGAUUACUCUUCAAAAAAUUUCUUUUGCUAUUUUCAUUUAAUUCUUAAAAGCUAUCCAAAGGAAUGUUUUGAUUUUUUUUUUUGAAUUAAAUUCCAAAAGCCAUCAAUAAAUGAAUUUUGAUCUGGUUCCAUUCAACAGGAAUUUUACAACAAAUAUUUCACGACAAAAAAAGUUCAAAUGGUAUAACUUUUGCUUCUAAUCCAUAGUCAUGCGUUGCCUCCUUCACAUUCAAAGAAGUGUCGUUAUCGCCUUUCUUUUUAUUUUAUUAUUUAUUUUUUACAUUGGGGACAAUGUAAGAUUUAGGUGUGGGGAAGGAGUUUGGACUGCUAGUUAGGCACUAAUUGUUCACUUUUUCUUUUCUUUUUGCUAGUAGUGUAUGGUGGUUAAGAUGAAUGUAUGCAAUCAAGAUGUGAGAAUGAAUAGCAAAUUUAUGCUAGUUGAGCAUUUUAUUUUUCUUGGCAAUGGAUUUUGACAAGGUGUCGGCCUGUGCAAUAAUAAAAACCUGCUCAAACUAGAAGUAAUUUCUGUAGAUAGUGGUAAGUAGGGUCGAAUCCACAGGGACUGGGUGUAAUUGCUUCUUUCCAAAUUCACAGUGACAAGAGGGGUAUUUUUAUAUCAGGGGUGAUAAUUUAAGCAAUUCAACUAAAAGUAAAAUAAUAAAAAUAAAACAGCCAACUAGAAAUUAAAUAAUAAUUUACCAAAAUCAAAUGAGUGAUAAUUAAGGAUCUAGCCAAGAAAUAACUUCAGCAAUGGUUCACCCAAUUGAUCAUCGAUGCACAAGCAAUUCUAAUUAUUUAUUAAUAAAUAGGUUAUAACUGCCAAACAAGCGAUGACAGUCAACCCCUUCUUACUGUGCCGGUGAUUAAGGUACGCCCGUUAACCACUACUCUAAUUGAGAAAUAACCUUAGGUACGCCCAUAAGAUUUAAUUCCCCAAUUGUCUUACAUAUUAGAGUAGCCCUAUUCUAACCAAAUAAUGCACUACCAGGGUUAUUUCAUAUUAGCCCGCGUAUCCCCCUGACACGAAUCUAAUCGUGCCAGUUGUCACUAUUUCAAGGUAAUUAAACAAUUACGGAUUUAAUACCUUAAUUGACAAUAGAUUAUCAAGUUAACUAAUUAUCCGGAUCCAAGACAAUCAAUUAAUUAAAUAAUCAUGAACACUGCAAUUAAGGGAUAUGCGAAUACCAAUAAAUAAAAGAAAAAGAUAAAAUUAAAUCAAUCUCACAAGUUUAGGCGAACCAAAGCCUCCGUUGCUCCUUGACUAGAGUGGAGAAAUUAGUUCAUGUUUAACGAGAACAAAACAUACGAAACUGAAGCAAAAGCUGCGGCCAUCUUCUGUGUUUGGGAGAAAAGCCACGGGAAAAUCAUUCAAUUGUCCCUAAUUGCUCCUGACAUCCCAGGAGACAAAAACUACUAAGAAGCCUCCAAGGAAAACAUUAAAAACUAAGCUUAGUAGUGCCCAAAAGAAAAGUCAAAGCUGAAACUACUAAGCAGUCCUGCCAUGCGUGAGAAAGAAAAACCAAAAGGAACACUAAGCUGAUGGAGAUAAUGAUCCCCCGCUACUCAAUCCAAUUCCUAUCUAAUUGUCUUCCUUUGUGCGGCGGCUCCCACGGAAAAGAAGACUUCGGCCAAAUGACCAAAAAGGGCUUGCGUCUCUUUGUUCUAAAAAUGCCCCUGCAAGCCUUCUAUUUGAAUUCUUUCCCGAUAACUGUCAAAUUAGCAUUGAUUGUGGUGUUUUCGAUCUACUCCCUGAAAUAACUGCAAAUUAUGAAAAGUGAGUAGAAUCCAAUAAUAAAUCCACAUCAGGUCAAGUAAUAGGGAAAAUUAAUAAUAAAAUAAAUGAUAAAAUCGCACCCUAUCAGAUUUGAAUGAUAAAUGUGUUGAAUUUGACAAAGUUUAACCACUUUGUGAGUUUGUUGGGUCUAUUAAUGAGCAUUUCAUUUGUGUUUGCUCUAAUUUCAUUUGUUGAGUGGUUGUGGCACAUGAUUUUGUCAUUCUAGAACUUGGUAUUAUGUGCAUAUCGUGUUGGAUCCUUAAUCCAACAUUGGACUUAUAUGUGAAUAAUUAUGUAUUGCAAACUGUCAAUUAAGGUUAAACCCAAUUAAAGUGAUCAAAUAUAGUUUGGGUUUAAUGUAUCUAAUAGGAUGUGGGCCCUUUAAUGUGUAGAAACUUAUGGGCUCCUAUUUUAAUGAUGGGCUGAAAUAGGGCUCCAAAAGGUAACAGGAAUGUUACUUAUAAAUAGGGUUAUGGUCCCCAGGUCACAGGUAUCAUUUUAGUUGUCGUACUUCCUAAUACCACAAAAUAUCUCUUCCCUGAUAUCUCAUCGUCGGGAAAGAUACUAGAGAGAAACUAAAGGCCUCUCUCAAAGGAUCGGUGAAUACCUGUUGACCUGGAAGACCACCCCAAAAUCUCUAGGGAUUCAAGUGUCAAAUUUAUCAAUAUGGAUUCAGGUACACUUCCGCUAUUUUUACAGUUAAUGUAUUUCUUAAUAAUCGCCAUACAAAUCUUGGGUUUAAAGGUGAUGGUUUUCACCAGUGGUUAAAUUUAGAUAACCACCCUAACAUAUCGAAAUCACAAUUUUGUUGAAUUUGAUGCAUGAAAGUGACAAGGGUACCUAGGAUUUAAUCCCUUUUGACUUUCUUAAAGGACUAGCCCCUCAUUUGUUUACCAUUAGUGAGACCAUUUGAGCCUUUAUCCCUUUUCUUUGUCUAAUAACCAAAAUUGUUGCCCCUAAGACCUUUUGUUUUGAUUUUUUUUCGAACAUUGUGUUAAAGGGAUGUCUAAAUUUGAUGGCAUGAAAGCUGGGUGUAUAGUUGCAAGGCAAUAGAGCAAGUGAGAUGGUCCACAAGUGUUUGAAUAUGCUGAGGAAUCAUGAAAAGUAAGAGAGAGAGAGAGAGAGAGAGAGAGAGUUGAAAAAAAAGAAAAAAAGAUGGAAAAGCACAAAAGAAAGAAAAUGGAGAGAUGCAAGCUUUUGUGCAUAAGUGUUGAAGUAAUAGAAGCAAAUUGCUGAAAAAUAUUUACAUUUAUCGAAAUUGAUGAAGGUGGAUGCUAAGCCUUGGAAGAUUGAAUUUGAGAAAUUUUCCUGUGAUGAAUUCUUGACAUUCCCUUGACAUGUUUAUGCCUCAAUUUACCUUUAUAUCCUGUCCUUUACCCCAGCCCCGUUAGAAUCUUAUAAAAGUCCUUUCGAUUCUUGUAUAGAAUUCACUUUUGAUGGUGAAAAUGUGAUAUAUGAACAAACUUAUGGUAAUAUCACUCCGUGGUGUGUAUUUGAAAGUUAUAUGAUACCCUAUACACUAUUGAGUGGCGAGUGUGCAUGUUCAAACCUUUGUAAGGUUUGUUGAGUUUGGUUCAUUCGAAUUUUGAAGAAAUUGUUGGAAGGGUAGGAUGUUUAUAUUAGUAUGAUAUGCUGUGAGUUACUUGCUAUCUUGAUUGUGUUUUUGCUGUGAGAUGCUUGAGAACAUGCAUAGUUUAGGUAUGGAGGAAGUUGAUAUGUUAUAUUUUUGUCAUAAAAUUCAUGAUUAUUUUUUCUUUAAUUUUGACCAAAUAUUGCAUUAAUUGGUAGAUUCUACUUAUAUUUGAUAAUCGUAUUGGUUGCAGGGAUCCGGAGCCAAAAAAGAUUAAAAACAUGGAUUUUACUAUAUUUUUGCGCAAUUCACCAAGGGCACGUCAAGGUCUAAUUCUGCAUGUCUGAAAACUCGGAAUUUGACACGUGAAUUCCAAUAUUAAAUUGAAGCUGUGGAAGUCCGUCUCUUCACCAAAUAAGUAGUCUCCUACUUCUAUUAGGACAUCGGUCUAGUUGGCCUAUCUCGACUUUUUGGAAAGAGUCCACUACCUAGUAGGAAUUUGAUUUCUUUGAUGAGAGAAACUUUUAGUGGAGAUAGGAAACAAAGUCCGGAAAAUUAGCAUCAUUAUAUGCUUGGAUUGUUUGUUUCCGUCGGAAAAUAUUGUCGUUUUCCGUGAUCACAUUUUUCUAUCACCUUUUUCCCUCACAUAUAUCAAAUCGCUACAGUAAUUUUUCCAUGAAAAAUGACGGAAAAUGCAAUCCAAACACAACCUAAAGAGUAACGGAGGGGAGACAUCUUUUUCUUUCAACCAAGAAACGAGGGGAGACAUCUUUUUCUUUUCUUUUCUUUUCUUUUUUAUCGUAUUUGUUGGGGAGAAUGGCAGCAAUAAAUUCAAUUAUUUUACGUGUGUCUUUUCCCUUAACAAUAAGCUAAAUUUUUUUUUUCCAAUCAAGGAGUAACGGAGGAUUUGGUUCAUUUAAAAAUGUGAUAUCGAAUUAAUUAUAUUCAUUUCUUUUUAUUUACUGAUAUUCGUAUGCUCUUUGAUUUAAUUUUUAUCGUUAUUUUGUUAUUUGAAUAUCAAAGGCCUAAUAUUUAAUUUAAUCUAAUAACCUAAAACCAUUUAGACCAGUUAAAUCCGUAAUUAUUUAAUUGUUUUAAAUUAGUGGUGGCUAGUUUGAUUAGGUUUGUAUCAGAGGAACAUAUAGGUUAACUUAAAAUAAUCCUCGUAGCUUGUUAUUUGAUUAGAAUGGAAUUUCUCUAAUUCUUAAAAUAAUUGGAAAAUUGAACUCUAGCAAUCGUAUCUAAGGCUAUUUCUUGAUUAAGAAAGUAAUUAACAGUCGUACCUUGAUCAGUGACACAAUUAGGAGAAAUUGUUUGUCAUCGCAUAUUUGACAGUCAUAACUUUUUUAUCAGUGAGUAAAUGAAAUUAUCAUUGCAUCAAUGAUCAAUUAAGCGAACCAUUUCCGAAGUUAUUUCUUGAUUGAAGUUUAUUUAUUAUUGAUUUAAUUUUAGCGAAGUGUUAUUUAGUUCUUUUUAUUGGAGUAAUUUAAUUAUUUUCAUUUUUAUAAAAUCCCCCAUACCUUAAAUUCUUAAAGAAACGAGUUAUCUCUAAUCCCUGUGGAUUUGACUCUACUCAUCCUAUACGCAAAAAUUUGUAUCUCAUUUGAAUAGGUUUUUCAUUAUUAUACAGGUUCGACACCUAUCAAAAUAGUCACAAUCCAUUCUUUCAGUAAUCAAGAAGAUGAUUUGUAACUGCAAAUAAUAAAGUAACAAUAAGAAUAAAACUAAAAAAAAAAAUACAAAGGCAAGAAGAUGCAAUUUGGAGGAAGUAACCACCGGGCGUCCAAUUCGUCCAGUAACGCCACUGAAAAAGGUUGAGAACUGCAAAGGAAGCAAUUACGGGGAAUCCAAUCUGUCCAACAGGUCUUUAUGGCGGCCUGUGAGAAGCACUGAUCCAAGAAAGUUACAUCGGAAAAUUGAACAAAGAACAAAAUAGUAAACACAUAACAAAGCCCUCUUUUGACUCUUCAAAAAUUUAACUCUAGACUACCAAGCACUUAAAAACAUUGACAAUUUCCCACUCAGCACGAAUCAUGCGGAAUAAAUUCUUUCCUUAUCUCUUCAAAUUAAUUUUACAAACUUUUCCACACCCGCUAAAGUAAUCAAGAAGUUGUCUGAUGAAAUGACGAAGUCCUGACCCCCUCUCAUUUCUUGGUUUCUUGUCUCAAUCACUUAAUUAACAAUAACAGAUUAACGAAAAGAAAAAAAAAGCGAAUUAAGAAAUACAUUUCAAGGAACUAGCCACCAAGGAUCUAAUGCCGAUGUAGACUUGGCCAAGAGGACUAAAUUAAUAUAGAGAGAUGAAAAGGAUCAAACCAUUGUGGUUGGCCCGAUGGAGUGAUUAAGAAAGGACCCUUACCGUUCUUUCUAUUAUUUAGAUUUAGCGAUCAAAGUCUGGGUUAGGCAGUUCAGCGUGAGAGGGCUGUGGGGAAGCUUGGGAGGUAAUAAAAAAAAUGAAAAAGAAUAAACUGAUAAAAUACAGUUUUAUACAUUAUCCUGGCAAUGUCUAAAACAUGUACUCACCCCUUUGAGUUUGGCGCAAUGCUUUUAUUUUGAGCUUCUUCUAUACGGUUUUUUUUUCCUUUGAUAUUUGUGGCUGAAACGUUGAAUCCUUCAAUUCGAAAACCCAAAUUAGAAAAUAGAUAUUAUCUUUAAUUUGUAAUUCCAAAUAUCUGAACACCAAAACACACCAUCUUAUGAGAUUUACUUGAUAAUCGAAAAAAUAAUAAUAUGGUAAAUUUAUCUACAGGGAUUACCAUACACUACUGCAAACUGUGCUUUCGUAUUGAAAGAUAUAGUACCAAAAACGAAAUAUUGCUAUUCGUUGACUAAUUAAUGAGAUGACCAAAUGAUCAACCACUUUCAUUUCUUUAUUCUUUAAGUACGUGAGAAGAAAGCAUUGCCUCUAUAUUAAUGCCUUAAUUAAUCAAGCGAUUUCCACUUGAAUAAUUGACUAAAAAAUUGGUCUGAAGAUGUCAUUAGCCAUUUUCACUUCAUUAUUUCAUUUCUUAAUUACUGUUUAUCGAUGGAAUCAAGAAGAUGCUUUCUGGUGUAAAUAAUAACAAAUUCAAAAAUAAAGAGACGCAAAUUAUGAUUUGGAGGAAGUUGUUGCGGGGCGUCCAAUCUGUCCACUCGCAUUGGUAGAUGGACACUUCAUUAUUCUUUGUUCUUGGCCUCUAUAGCGGUUUUCACAUUUGCCAGCGAUCCAGAAUAAGUCCCUACUUUUUUUUUUUUUUUGGGUUUUUGGCCUUUUAAAAAAAUGAGCAAUCAGACAGCCACUUUCAUUUCUUUAUUUUAAAUUGCACGAGAAGAUGCUUCAAGCAAAGGUGAAGCAACAUUGGCCGAUGAGCAUCUAAAGUCCAUGUGUAAUCACAUGGCAAGCCACAAGGGUUGUCCAUAUGUAAUUAUAUUGUACUUCUCUAAAUCAUUUGCAGUGAAUAACCUAACACGAGGGCGUGCAAACAAAAUGUCCAUUCUUCUAGUCUUGAGUCAUUCGCUAUUCUGCCUGCAUCAAAUCCAAUUUCAUGAUAAUGGCUCAUUAUUCUAAAAAAGAAAAAGAAGAAAUUCAUAAAAUUAAAAAAAAUGCUAGUACUAUUUUUCUUUCUUUUUUCUUGCAAAAACUGUUGUAAGAAGUUACCUAAAAUGGUGCAUGAACUCAAUUUGACGACUUGAUCGGUGCCUUUCACCUUAGUACCUAACUUUUAACUUUUCCAUAAAGUCAGCUAUCCUAAACAAGUCCUUGAUUGCAGUUACAUUUUCAUGCAUUAGUAUAUGUGAGUUAAACAGUUUCAAGUUUUGGUUUCUUUCGGGGUACAACUUAUUUGAAUGCUAUUAACUACAGCAAACUUGUAUUUAACAGUAGUAAAUUGGUAGCGCCCAUGUUGAUGUCACAGUUUGACUUUCAAGUUAGCAAUUUAUUGGAUGUUUCAGGCUUGUAAUAAUGUCGACGUCCAAUGAUGUUUAACCUACUAGUAUUAAACGUUUCAUAUUCAUUCAAAUAUUUGCUGCGUUUAAGUAAGCUAUUUUAUCGCAUAUGCAUGACUUCAAACCUUCUCAUUCACUGCUCUUUCUAUAUUUAGCCUUUGUUGUUUUGAUCUGGACUUGUUUUAGUCAAGGUGAUUUUAUUUUCUCAUAAUUUUUUUAUCACACAUAUUAUAUUACCGAAGGUACUACAAUAUUCAUCUAAAUAAAUUUUCAGUUUCUAAUUUACACUUCCGAAGUAAGGGGUUGGGGGGUUGAAGGAGAGGAGAGAAGGGGAUGAAAUUAAUUAAAGAUGACGCUAGAAAAAACUGAUGCAGACAACAUCCAAUUUCAUUGUUUUUUGUAGAUAAAACACAUUAAAGAAUUGAUGUGACCAAGAGAACCUUCUUGUUAUUUUAACCUGGCAAUAGGGAAGCUGAAGAUUUCCACUUCCAUAAUUACAUCCAAUUUGAGAAUUGAAAGCUAUCAUCAUUCAAUAUUGCAAGUGGAGAACCCUCUUAAACCGACCUUCUUCACGAUCUAUCUGCUGACCCACCCAGCCCUUGUUUUCCCUUUUGUCUUCUUUUAUAAGGAGAGGUGCUCGUAAUUUAUAGUGUGUCGUACUGACUUGCUUUGGUUUAUUGCACCCAAGCCAUGUUGUAUUAUAAUAGUUCAGACCUUUUCUUCACAGCUAAUUUUAUUCCUAGAGAACAAAAAAAAAAAAGAAGUGCUGCCUACCACUAGUCACUUCUCCUUGAGGACUUGGGAGGUGGAGUUGGGAACUUUUGGGGGGUUGACAUGGAAGUGGUGGAAACUUGAAGCUUGGAGUGCAAAAGAAAGAAAGAAAAAAUUAGAUUGGUGAGAGUAUAAAAGAGUUAGCGGGAAAUCAUUAUUCGUCAUUUUACCAAAUUGAAAUUUCUCGAUCUUUUCUUCUUCCCUUUCUCCUAGCAAAAACCCUUGCUUUCUUCGUUCUUUUCAUUCUCUCACAAACGAUCACACUUGGGAAAUCAAGCUCAAGCAAGUGCUUCUCAAGAGCUAGGAGACCUUCCUCUAUCUCUUAAUCAAGGUAACUAUUGCAUCUUUUAAGUUUUCUUUAUUUGAUUUGAUUUGGUUUUGGGUAUAGAUGUAAGCUAAGCUUUGGUUUCGAGUGGACCUUGUGGUAGAGAUCCUUGUAUAUGUAGUUUUUAAAUUUAGAGUUUAGAGACUAAAUUAAGAAUCAUGGUAUAGUUAAAAGAUUAAAGUAUCCUAAUUUAGAAUUUAAGAACCGAAGUGUCAUGUGCGGUUAUCACACUGCUUCCAGGCCCUUAAUCUGGUAUACCACCGCUCUUUGUUGAGGUUUGCUUAUUUUAUUGAGCAACAUAUAAAUCAAGUGGUAAUUGAAGUCACUGACUCACACAAUUGUAAUUUCAUUCGAAUGCAGAGAUCAGAGAUAGUCUUUUUUUUUUUUUUUUUUGGAAAAACAAGAUAAAACCAAGCAAGUUCCAGCGAAGUGCAUCCAAUUGCUGUGGAAAUACAUUAUUUGAUCUGUAUUAUGAAGAAAAUUUAAGCGUUCACUUGUCCAAGAAUUCACUUGUUAGAGGAAAUAUCCAAAAGAACCCAUUAAAAAGGCCCAAUACAUAAGUCAAAAAUCCCAUCUUGACACAAAAAUUUAAAUUGUUAAGCUCUAGCCCUUACAUAUUAAGUGACCUUUUUUUUUUCCAUUUCUGAAACUAAUGUGAGAUACAAUUCUCUAUUUAUAAACCUAACAUUUUUUACGGAAAAAAAGCACCUUUUAUAAUUAAUAAAGAGGAUUACCUAAUAAUUGAGAUUAAAAAAUGAUCAAUCAGAAAACUACUUUCAUUUCUUUAUUUCUUGAAGAUGCUUCAAGCAAAGAAGAAGCUCUGUUACCCGGUGAGUAUUGAAAGUCGAUGGUAAUCACAUGGCAAGUCACCAGGGCAGACGAGUGACGGAGGACACUUUUCUACCGGACAUAAAAAAGAAGUUCUAACUAAUGUCUUAUUCAAAACCUACAACCAAAUUUGCAGAAUAAGAAAUAAUUAAUAAGCCACUAAAUUACCCAUUACUAAAUACGAAAAUUGAUAAAAGAUUGAGUCCAAUAAAAUCACUAGACAAGUAGAUGGAAACUCUUAAGCUUGGUUUUAGUUUACCAACAAGAUUUACAUAAUUCAUUCUCAGUUAGUUUCUUAAUUACUGAAGUAACCAAGAAGUACUUGCUUCACGAGAUGAAGAAGUCGCUGUCCAUUUGUCAUUUCCUUGUUAACGUCUAGCCUUAGUUACCUUAGUAAUAAAGAAGAAUUUUCAUUAUGUAAAGUAAUGACAAGUGGUGAAAAAAAAGAGCAAAUUAUGAAGAUGCAUUUUCGAGGAAGCAGCCACCGGGCAUCUUAUUACGAAUACGCGACCAAGUUGAAAGGUCACGCUUUUAUUUAUUUAAUUUUUUUUGGAGUACGGUCACGCUUUUAUUUGUUUUAUGAUCAGAUAAUAUCUAAAACAUAAUAUAUAGUGGAGUACUAGUAAACGGAAUUUCUUAAAUUAACUAAAGGCCGUCAGCAUGAAAAAAAAAAAAGAAGAAUGGCCGUCAGCGUCACAAGCCAUUGACCAAAACUAGUAUCAUGCAGUUUUAAAACCAAUGUUUUAAAACUCGGACAGUUAAUUAAACUGGUGAAAUGUUCGGAUUAAGGUUCAAUCUGUCGGACCGGUUCAACCCUAGUUCAAUGAAUUUUUAAAAAAUUAAUUUAUAUAUAUAUAUGCACAAAAUAAGAUAUGCUAUGGACUAAUUUAAAACUUUAUAUGAUGUAAAGUUUAUUAUUUUUGAAUAACUUAAAUUUUCAAAAAUAAAUUUUAAAUUAUAAGUUGAAACAAAUAAAUUUCAUUUCAAUUUCAAUUAUAUCUACCAAAAAAUAAUUUUAAAUCCAACCGAAAAAUACCACAAUAUUUUAAAAUUAUACAAAAUUCGCGUCUAUGAGAAUUUAGACAUUGUGAACUUAAAUUUUAAUUUACGUUUUUGAAAUUUAGAGAUUGCAAUUUUAAAAAGGAAGUUUGGAGUUUGAAAGAAGUUAAGAGAAUUGAAAAUAAAAAUGCAAACUUGAUAAGAAAAAAAAAAGAGAUAAAAGUGAGUGGUUGUGGCAUUAAAUAAUUAGUCUUUAGGGUUAAAGAAAAAUAAUUCUUUUUUUAACUUUUUUCAAUUUAUGGACAAAAAACAAAAUUAAAAGAUGAAAAAAAACAUCAAUAAAUUAAAACUAAAGAGGUUUGAUUAAAAAAGAAGUGACAAAAGAAAAGAGGAGAGAGAGAGAUAGAGAGAGAGAGAGAGUUGCAGAUUAAAAAGAAAGAGUCAUAAGAGAAUGAAAUUUUAUAAGAAAAAUGGAGAAAAGAAAGAUGGAUGUUUGUUUUAUAUAAAUAAGUUAUCAAAAAAGACUAAUAAGAUGUGAUUGUAUGAUGGUUUCUACAUUGGUUUUCUAUUAUAAAAGUCUUGAGUUUGAACCUUGGUAGCUGCAUUUUGCAAACCUUUAAAAAAAAAAAAAGAGGGGAAAUUUGAAAACCGAAAACCGCUGACCAAUUUUCUUUAGAUUUUUUAAAAUUUGUUUAAUUAUGUACUAACUAAUAUGAGAAUUGUUUAUGAGAAUGAUUUAUACAUUAAGCGAGUGCUUUUCUUUUUUAUUUAAUUACAUAAACCAAAUUAUAGAUAUUGUUUCUAAGAAUGAUUUUUAAGUUAUGCUGAAAUGUUUAUUUUUAAAUUGAUAUGCUGAAAUUUUAAUGCUAUAGGGUCAAUAACUGAACCUACGCUAAUAGCUCGGUAGUGUCAAGAUCUAAAGCGGUAACCUUCUUUGGACCCAAAUCAUCAUGGUAUUGGACCACUAUCUUCCUGCCACUGGGGGAAAGGGCAAAAAAAAGCACAAAUCGCAAAACACAAUUUUCAUAGGACGUAAGAAGUAAUAAUUUUGACUCAAAAUUCUUUUCAUACACUACUGUUUGAUUGAAACUGUCAUUAACACACCAUGUACUAAAUAGUCUAGAAGACGUGAUUAAAAUGAUUCGGUAAUUCUAACUUUCCUCCCAAGUUCAUAGACAGAGCACGCCUGUCGUUUGAAGAUUCAAAGUUGCGUACAUAGUUCAUAAUUUCUGCCGGCGCAAACACAGAUUAUUACGUAUACACAAAGGAAUUACCAACAAAUAGUGAAAAUUGGGACCAAACUUUUGUAAUUUGAAAACUUCGGGGGCCAAAAUGCAGCAUCGUUUAUAAGGGACUCAAUAAGUAUAAAUUCCAAAUGUUAUGGACCCAUUGUGAUAUAGAUAUCACACAUUUGCAUGUGGUAUCAAUCAUAUACAACUAAAGUUUGAAGGGUAAAGUUUUGUCUAUACAGUCACCAUUCAUCAGUACCUUAACACUCCCAUCAUGAGGCGGUUCAUUUCAAGAAUAGCAUUUCCCACAAGAAGGGAGUUAUUAUUGGGAUCAAAAUGCCAUCUCUUCUCGUUGCCCCGCCAACCGAGAAGAAACCAUAUUGCUGAUGGUUCUGCAGGAACUACCAAACCAGCGCUGUUUGGCUGCAAAUGUGCAUCGAAAGGGUAUAAUGAACAUUUCAUGAACAGGCAGAGUAAUGGCCAUGUCUAUACUUUUCCAAGUUCUGGCAUUGCUGGCUCAAGAAGGUAUGUAUGUAAACUUCUUUCUUUCUUUCUUCAUUACUCUUUAGAAUACGUAGUAUUGACUUCUUCUUUUUUUUUUGGUUGUCCAUGACUAUUGGAGGGAAGUUUUUUCAAUUUCUUUUUAUUAUAGACAAGGGGAAAGACAAAUAGGGAAAACGAAAAAGAAAACAAAAAUAACUAGAAAGGACAGAAGAAACUCCUUUGCUAAAACUAAAUGAGUGUCAAUUUUAGGCUGUGAUUAUAGGAAUAUUUUUUGAAAAGGGUCCAUGAGGAGAAGUUCUUGAAUUAAAGGGCUUCAUCUUCGAGAUACAUGUAAUUGUAGAUAGGAAAAUAUACAUUUUCUUUUUUGGUAUGCUCAAAAGUAAAUUUUGCCCUAGAAUUAGUAGAGAGGACCUUUCAUCAUUUCACGGUAAUGACAUAGCAAAAAUUUCAUGUUUUGAGUUUUGUUCUUGUUUAUGAUAUUAUGGAAUAGUUCUAAAAGUCCCAAAAAUUCAUCACAAUAACGUGAAGUUAUUGAAACUCUAGCUAAUUAUGUUUUUCUAGUCCAAAAGCAAUAAUUAUUCGUGAAUUUGAUAAUACUCUUAUUCAUAUUGCUUUCUUUUUAUUGUCAUUGGCAGGAAAAUUAAGACUUUCUCAAUUUAUAGGGGAGUAAUUCAUUUACUACAACGUACUAGUAUAAUACUAUAAUUUGAAAUUUAUUACUCAAAAGCAGAAUUGCUAAUUAAACAGCCCCAGACGAGCUGAUCUUAACUAUGAAAAACAAACAAUAAAGUUUAUUUUUCCAUUAAAUUUAAAAUUUUAAUUUUAUGAUAAUUUUAUCCUCUUUUGUAAUGGCUAAAAAUUCUUCUAAACAUGUCCCUGCAGCAUUCAUUUGAGUGUCGAUCAGAAAACUGCAUAUAUGGGCAUAGAAAUUAUCUCCAAGGAAGAAAUCAAGCCAGCAUCUCCAACUCCCCCUGAGUUGAGAACUUUUAGGUUUUCAAUCUUGGAUCAGCUUACUCGGGACUCUUAUACAAAUAUAUUGUUCUUUUUCUUCCCAAGAAAACAACAAGGCACUUAUCUCAACGAUGUUAUUUCCCAAAGAAGUCGAUGUCUAAAGGAAUCACUAUCAAAAACCUUAGUACCCUUCUAUCCACUAGCAGGAAAAAUAAAAAAUAAUUUGCAUAUUGAGUGUAAUGAUGAUGGAGUUUACUACGUCGAAACUCAAACCAAUAUUGGACUGUUAGAUUUUCUGAGGAAGCCUGAAAAUGAGUUCAUGAAUCAGCUAUGUCCAUUUCAUCCAGAUUCCACGGAAUUAUUGUCAAAAAGUUAUCCUAUCAUGGUUCAAGUAAACAUUUUUUACUGUGGUGGUAUUGCCAUUUGCUUGAGUGCUUCCCACAAGAUUUUUGAUGGUCUCUCAGUUUCUACAUUUAUGCAAUCUUGGGCAGCUACAGCACGCGAAUCAACGGUACAAAUAAAUCCCAGUUUUAUUUCAUCUUCCUUAUUUCCUCCUAUUUUGGAUAUGUACCAAGAUUCACCUCCUGUGGUCUCCAAACCACAAAAGAACGAGCCUAAAUAUGCUACAAGCAGAUUUGUGUUCGAUAGCUCAGCCUUGGCUGCGCUUAAAUCCAAGGCAGCUACAUCAACAUCUUCCGCGAAACCAAGUUCAGCCAAGGCUGUUAUGGGACUUCUAUGGAAAUCUGCCAUAGCAGCUUGGAAAGUGAGGUCUGUUUUGUUUAUCCCGGUGAAUCUGAGGACAAAAGUUUCGCCCCCUUUAUCACCUCAUUCACUGGGAAAUAUCGUCUGGUUGGCUCGUGCUAAAUGUUGUGACAAUUCUAAGCUAGAGCUGGAAUUGCUGAUAAACAAGAUCUCAAAUUCCAUUGGUACAAUGAACGCUGAUUUUGUUGAAUCUAUAAAUGGUGAGAAUGGGAUUCAGAAGCUGAUGGGAGCCUUAAAAGAUUUCCAUGAAGUGUUCUAUGACCCUAAUAGUAUGGCUGAAUGUAUCUAUAUCAGCAGCAUCCGCAAGACUGGUUUUUAUGAGGCUGAUUUUGGAUGGGGAAAGCCCAUAUGGACAUGCAUUGCGCGUGGAAACAGGGAUUUACACGGAUUGGGAAAUAUUGCUCAUCUGAUCGAAACAAAAUCUGGUGAUGGGAUUGAAGCAUUGGUGACCAUGAAAGAAGAGUACAUGGCUACACUGGAGAAAAAUCAGGAGCUUCUCCAUUAUGCUUCUUUAAAUCCUAGCCCUCUUGAUUCAAGCUAGCUUUUCAGCAUGUUUUGUCUGGCUAUGUUUCAAAUCCUACAAAGCAAUUGUGAAGGUUGGAUUGUUAUCAAAAGAAAGUUGUAGGAACAGAAAACCAUGAAUUUGUGUAUUAUUCCCCAUUAGUUUGUUGACUUACUUUUGAAAAGAAAAAAAUAACACCUGAUAUGAUUGGGAGUUUGGCAGACCCUGUUUGUGUAUAAACAAAGAAAAACUUUGGGGAACUUAAGGCCUUAGUUCUGAAUUAUGUGCCAUUAGUGCAGUGGCAGAUGGUUUUCUGAAAGAGAGUGGCUCAAGUCAUGUGGUUCCUGACCCCAAAAACAAUAACAAAUCUACCGUUGUACCUUUAUUUCUUGCUAUGGAGCACCUCCAUGACCCCAUGAUCAUGAUUUUUCUGGGGCUGAAAGUGGGGUAAAUUUAACGCCAUACGAGUCUGCGGUAGUUCCUAGAGAUAAUAUCAAAAACUUCUCUUGAAGUUUAUCACUUAGCACUCUUAGAUCGUGUUUGUAUUGUAACUUUUUGAAAUUUUUGUAAAAAAUAUACUGUAACAAUUUAAUAUAUAUAAGAUAAAAAGAUGUUUGAAAAAUGUGUUCAUGUAAAACGUAAAAAUUUUUGAUGAAAAAUUCCUUUUCAAACAAGGCCUUAAAAUUGCUAUUCAUUGACUAAUUAAUGACAUGACAAAAUGAUCAACCACUUUCAUUUCUUUAUUCUUUAAGUGCGUGAGAAGAAAGCAUUGCCUCUAUAUUAAUGCCUUAAUUAAUCAAGCGAUUUCCACACGAAUAAUUGACUAAAAAAUUGGUCUGAAGAUGUCAUUAGCCAUUUUCACUUCAUUAUUUCAUUUCUUAAUUACUGUUUAUCGAUGGAAUCAAGAAGAUGCUUUCUGGUGCAAAUAAUAACAAAUUCAAAAAAAAAGAGACGCAAAUUAUGCAAUUUGGAGGAAGUUGUUGCGGGGCGUCCAAUCUGUCCACUCGCAUUGGUAGAUGGACACUUUAUUAUUCUUUGUUCUUGGCCUCUAUAGCGGUUUCCAAUAAGUCCCUACUUUUUCUCUUUUUUGGUUUUUGGCCUUGAAAAAAAUGAGCAAUCAGACAACCACUUUCAUUUCUUUAUUUUUAAAUUGCACGAGAAGAUGCCUCAAGCAAAGGUGAAGGAGAGUGAAGGAGAGCACUUUUCUACUGUUAAUAAUUUUAUUCCUAGAGAGCAUAAAAAACAAGUACUGCCUACCACUAGUCACUGCUACUUGAGGACUUGGGGGGCUUACAUGGAAGUGAUGGAAACUUGAAGCUUGGAGUGCAAAAGAAAGAAAGAAAUUUUCUUAUUAGUUUGGUGGGAGUAUAAAAGAGUUAGCGGGAAAUCAUUAUUCGUGAUUUUACCGAAUUGAAAUUUUCUCGAUCUUUUCUUCUUCCAUUUCUCCUAGCAAAAACCCUUGCUUUGUUCGUUCUUUUCAUUCUCUCACAAACGAUCACACUUGGGAAAUCAAGCUCAAGUAAGUGCUUCGCAAGAGCUAGGAGAUCUUCCUUUAUCUCUUAAUCAAGGUAACUCUUGCAUCUUUUGAGUUUUCUUUAUUUGAUUUGAUUUGGUUUUGGGUUUAGAUGUAAGCUAAGCUGCUAAGCUUUGGUUUCGAGUGGACCUUUUGGUAGAGGUCCUUAUAUAUGUGGUAGUUUGGGUGAUUGUGGUGAUUUCUUGAUUGAGGGAUAAGCGUUAAAGUUUUGGAUGUUUGGUGAUGUUUUGGGUUGGUUUGUACUUUGGUUAUAUGUUGUGUUGGGUUGGAAAUAGGUAGAGCGGUGAAAAAGGAAGUAAAACUAAUUAGUAUCACAUUUGCCAUCGAUCUAAAACAAGCCAUUAAUUGAUGAAAAUUAGUAUCAUGGAUUCAUCUUAAUGUAGUACUAUUAAAUGGAAUUUUUUGAGUUACUAAAAUUGCAGCAAAGUGAAGGGAAUUCAAGCAAAAAGCAUCCAAUAGCUGUGGUACAAAUAAAUGAUUAAGUGAAUAAUUAACUGAUAGUCGAUGAGAAGCUGUCCUCACUUCUUUAUUUUUCGUCUUAAUUACUAUAAUAAUAAUAAUAAUUAAGAAGUGGCUUGAUGGGAUGAAAAUGUCACAGCCCAUUUCUUUGUUUCUUGUCUCAGUUCCUUCAGUAAUCAAGAAGAUGAUUUGUAAAUGCAAAUAAUUAAGUAACAAUUAUAAAAAAAAAAGAAAAAAAAAAAGAAGCAAGAAGAUGCAAUUUGGAGGAAGUAGCCACUGCGCUUUGAUCAUGACAGAUGCUUAUCAAGAUGACUCAUUUAAACUAGAAAAUUUUGAAAAAAAAAAAGUAAAGUGAUACAUCAUCUCUUUUUCUUUUUUUUUUUUUUUUUUUUUUGGGUGUUGCUUUCUUGACCAAGAAAUAUCUAAAUCAUAUCUUACCUACUUAAUAAAAAAAAUAAAAAGAUAAUAAAAAAAUGUGUCCUACCUGCAAUUAUACUUUAUCACCCUUUUUUUUUAAUGCCAAUUAGUGAUAAGAUAUCAUUAACAAUUAUUCAGCCACUUUCAUUUCUUUAUUUCUUAUCCACUCGAGAAGAUGCUUCAAGCAUAAAAGAAGAAAUUCCUCUAAAUUAUUGCCUUAAUCAAGAGGGUGCAUCUGCGAGGAAAAAGUCUUACAUCAUCCAAUUCCAAAGAUGAGUUUGCUUUUUUCAACAUCAUUGAAUCUACGAAUGAAAAAGGAACCAAACCAUAAUACUUCUUAAUCACCUCAAAACGCAAUCUUUCUACUAUUAAAGUUUUUAGCCCUACCCACUACUAGAUAGAAUAUUUAAACACUAAUUAGUCUCACAACAAAAGAUUGCUCUCACGUCCUGUCUAGCUUGAUCAGAUUGAAGGAUGAGAUUCAUUAUAUGUUGUCUUAAACGUCACAUUGUUGGAAAACAGACUGGCUUAGGUGAUGUUUGAAUUGUAGUUUUCUAUUAAAAAUUUCUCAUAUUUUUAAUGAAUAUAUGUCUUAAUCACCUUUUAUUUUACAUAUAUUAAAUCAUUACGGUAUAUUUUUCUACAGAAACUAUAAAAAAUAAAAUACAAACGGGACCUUUUAUUCUCAACCAUAAACCCCGCGGGAAAAAAAAGGAAAAAGAAGGUGUUUAAGCAUGAUUUUUGCCGAAUUUGUAAAGGAUGAUUCUGAUAACAUAUAGAAGCUGGAUCAACCAAUGAUUAAUAGUCACGGAGAAAAGGAAAAAUCAAUCACUAAUAUAUAAUCAACCAAGGAUUUUAAGUUUUGAUAGGGUGGCACGUCAAUGAUUCAAAUCUUGGCUUCCUAUUAUAUGUGAUUUUUUCUAAAUGUAUACGGAUGCGUAACGCACCUAUCUAAUCCGAUUUGCUGGUUAUUCAGUCCCCAUCAACAUUUUAGGUCCUUUUGGACUUCUCAUUCCUUCCUAAAGUAGGUUAGAGUAGGAGUCGAUUGUGUUAGGUAUUGAAAAAAAUCAAUAAUAUAUAAGUCACGGAGUUGAAUAUCAACUUUUCAGUACAGGUACCAAUAAUAUGUUGCCUUCAUCAUUUUCAGCUAAAGUCUGUUUCGUUUUGGGACCUUGAUGAAUCCGACAAGUAUUAUGAAGAAUUUUUAAAAAUCCGACAAGCAUUAGAUAGAAUUUUCUAAACAACCGUUCUAUCUAAACAAUUAAUGACCAACACCGUUGAUCUUCCUCCUAUGGAGGAAGAAGAGUAGAGAGAAAGUUAAGGGUAGAGAGAUAGGGGAUAGAGAAGGUUGAGGGAAAAGAGAAAACAGCCCCUACGGCGACAAGAUUUUCGUCUAAGCUUUCAUACACCUAUUCUUUAUCAAAUCAUGCAACAUAUAUUUAUUUGCGAACCAAAUCUUGUAACAAAUAUUACAACCGGUUGACACAUUAAAACCGUACUUAGCCAUAUUUCUAGAUUACUCUGGCCAAUAUAAUCAUAGAUACGGAUUGGUUACAUGAGGAUAGGGUCAAUUUUAAUACAGAAAGUGGAAGACUGGUGGAUGAGUUUUGGAGUGUCAACUAUCAUUUACCUUGUAGUUCUGAAUAAUGGCAUAUAGAUUGUUUAUACAGUUAAGCACAUUCAACUAAAGCGUCUCAAUUUAGAACUUAGAGACAGAAUUUAAAGUUUAAAGACUAAAUUAAGAAUCAUGCUACAAUUAAUGGAUUAAAGUAUGCUAAUUUAGAAUUUAAGAGCUAAGUUUCAUGUGCGGUUAUCACACUGCUUACAGUCCCUUAAUCUGCUAUACCACCACUCUUUGUUGAGGUUUGCUUAUUUUGUUAAGCAACGUAUAAAUCUAGUGGUAAUUGAAGUCACUGGCUUAUACAAUUGUUAAGUUCUGACUUUUACAUAUUAAGUGUUUUUUUUUUCCAUUUCUAGAACUAAACGAGCAUGUUUCGAGCUCGAGCUCGACUCGUUAACCAAAAUUAACGAGCCGAGCUCGAGCCUUAACGAGCCGAGCUCUAACGAGCUUUCGAGCUACUUGAUUAACUUAACAGCUCUAAGUACAAUCACACUUUUAUUUGUUUUAUGAUCAGGUUACUAUACACUGGAGUACUAGUAAAGGCCGUCAGUGUCACAAGCCAUUGACCAAAACUAGUAUCAUGUAUUUUUAAAACUAAAGGUACCUUGGCUGUGUCUUGCACAGCCCGAGUCCGCUAAUAGCUUAAUUGAACAUAUAGCAACAUAUUUUUUUGGUAUAUAAUAAAUAGAAAUAUAGGAAAAAAAUUAAGUAUCAAAACAAUUAAAUUUUGCUAUAAAGAAAAAUUCCAUCUAUGAAAUUGGCCACCUCCCCCUCCACGGAUUUUAUAAGAAAUAAAUUAGCUCCUAAUUAUUGUGAUUUGGACAAAGAAUUUUGAGCCUAUAUUACGUGACAUGAUGAUAUAAAAAAAUGGAGAGAGAGUAAAUAAACUAUGAAUGUACUACUAAUUCAAUAGCAACAUAGCUUUAAUUGUAAUUAAAUCAAAAGUAGUCAAUUGAAUCUCCAAUUUCUCUUAAGCGAAAGUGAAGAAUCAUAUUAUAAUUAAGGGAAGUAGGUAAAAAAGAAUCUAUCAAAUCCAUCACUAAUCUUGAGGUUAAUGAAGGAAGGCAAUAAAGCAAGUGCACAGUUAAGUACAAUUGGGAAGAAAGAAAGCUGAUUUUCUAUGCAACUUUGAGAAAUGAUUUAUAGCACAAGAAGAAAAGAGACAUUAAUCAGUCAUAUAAAGGAGCUGUUUAAAUAUAAGUGUUGGGUGAGCUAUUAAUGAAACAUAAUUAAUCAAUAUCCAAGGACUAAAAGUUUUUCAUUAAUUUGUAAAAUUUGAUACUAUAGUUAUAAACUAGACAAUAGUACAUAAAAGCAGUAGAAGUCCAUAUGAUUAAACAAAAUGACCUCUAGUGAAAAUCUUCGGUCUUGACCCAUAUAGUAGAUCUUCAGCCUUUACCCAUCAAGGUAGAAGUGAGAAAAUAAAAAAGCGGAAAAAAUCACAACGUUUCUCAAAGGAGAGUUGUGCCACGUGUUAAAAAAUUGGUGUGAUACAGUAAACUCCCAUAUCUUCUUAUAUAAUAGGUACAAAACUCGUUCGCCUCAGAAAGGACAACAUAAGGGCCAAACUUGUUUAGCUUGGCAUGAACAAAGGGACAAAAAAAAAAAAAGAUAUUCAAGGGGUAAGAAAUAUUAGAAUCAUGUCACUUGUGAAACUAUUAGAAAGUCAUGUGACAAGAAAGGAGGCAAAGAACUAUAUCCUCCUUUCUUCUUAUAUACGGAAAUUGGGUUUCACAGGUUCCAUUUCGCACAAGUUGGAGUAAAUUAACAAAUUAGUCUCAAUUUAUACCAAAUUCUCCUUAUCUUACACUAAAUGAUAAUAAUCGAUUUAUAACAAAGUGUACCUGAUUUACACCAAAUAAUAACAAAUUACCAUACACUGAACUACACCUGAUUUAUAUUAAACUGAACCUAAUUCAUACUGAAAUCCUACUAAUUUAUACUAAAGUCAACUUUGUGCGAAAUUUUACAAAAUACAAAUUGUGAGGACCUAGACCCUAUGCUUAUAUACAAGGUAGACUAGAGCGGCAACGGGAUGGGCUCUCUCCCAUCGCAUGCUAUAGAAGUCUUGGAUUUGGAUCCUCUCCAGUGAAUUGUCUCUCCAUUUCCCACAAUGUACAUUUGGAUAGAUGACAUGUGCCUCCAUUUACUAGAAAAGAAUAAGAUCAUUUUAAGUUUAACUAAUUCUAAUCCUUGAUAAUAAAUUAAGACACAUGUCAUGCAUUAAAAUGUAUAUUGUGAGAAAUGAAGAGAGAAUUCACUGGAGAGAAAUCAAGUCCUAGAAGUCCUACCACCUCUUUUAGAUUUAUUUUAAAUGACUAAAGGGCUCUGUCUAUGGGUGCAAAUGAGUUGAGCCGAGUAGAGUUUUAGUCUAAUCAAGCCAUACUUCAACCUAGAUUUAUGAAACUCGAGCUCGACGAGCUCAAAAUGUAAAGCUCGAGUAAAAAAAUAAAAAAAUUACUAUUUUUCUAAAAUUGAAUAAAAUAAUAAUUUUUCUUAAUAAAUAAUAAAAUAUUAAGGAUAUAUAUGUAAUUUUACUAUUAAAAUAAAAAUAAAAAAUAUAUAUAUAUAUAUAUAUAUAAUCAAGUUCGAGCUAGCUUGCGAGUUAACGAACUUAAUAUUUUCGAUAUCGAAACGAACUUAGUAUUUUUAAUAUCGAAUUCGAGCUCGAGUUCGAUUUGAUUAGGUCGAACUCGAGUCGAGUUCGGACUCGCGCCACUCGCGAUCGGCUCGAGUCAUUUGCACCCAUAGCUCCACCAUUGACCCAUUUUCGAGGAAUAAAUUAACAAGAGAGAUAAAAUAGAAUAAAUUGAUUAAUGAGGGCGGCACUUCAGAUCUAGGUCUCCAGUUGUGACUUGUGAGCCUUUAAUGAGUUAACUCUUUUGAGUUUUGCAUACUUUUACGAUAAAAUUAUUUUGAAGGUUGCGGACUAAAAAUUCAAGGUUGCGGAAAAUUUAAAAGAUUUAAUUAUCAACAGUUCUACAACUUGGACAAAGAAUCUCAAGAUUUCAUUAUUUAACGAAAACAAGUAAUUUGAGAUCACAAGCCUCACUAUCAAGACACUAAGGUGACCAUCCGCUAGACACUAAGCAAAUUAAGUGGUUUAAAAAGAGGGGUCUGUUUUUGUUUAUUGAUUUGCUAUAUAAACUUUUUGGUCCCAUUAAUUUUCGCUACCUUAAUUCCCUAAUUGAGGAACUGUCUUAUAAAAGUUUCACCACCUACUCAGAUUACUACAAUUUAUGAGUUCCAAUUUUCUUUUCAUCCGACCACAGUGGUUUAAUUUCUUCCACAACUAAGGCCCCCAUCAGUGACUAAAUCAGAUUGCGCUAAAAUUAUUUUGAGGUGACCCCACGCAAUUUGAUUAAUCACAAUUAUACUAAUCUGAAUCUCUCUUAUACAUCAGCCCACUGGAAUCGUUUAAUCAUCUCUCUCUUGUUCUGACUGGCUUCUAUUCUGAUUUCUGCCAUUUGUUGCUGAAACAUUCCUUCCAUCUCUUCUAUCAGAAAACCUUUCGAUCCUAGUUCCAAUUCCAAGCAAGAAACAAUGGCUGACGCUGCUAUCAGUGCUACUGUUAAGGUCGUCUUGGAGACGGUCAUUUCCAUUGCCACGGACCGUGUUGGUAUGGUUCUCGGGGUCAAAGCAGAGUUGGAGAGACUAAGCAACACUGCUGCAACGAUCCGAGGUCUCUUGGCUGAUGCUGACGGGAAAAUGCAUAGCCCAGGGGUGCGAGAUUGGCUCAAGAAGCUAGAGGAUGAGGUUUUUAAAGCUGAUACCGUGCUGGACGAGCUCAACUACGACAAUCUUCGUCGGGAGGUGAAGUACCGAAAUCAACUCACCAAGAAGAAGGUAUGCUUCUUCUUCUCCUUCUUUAAUGCAAUUGGCUUUAGUUCCAGCUUGGCUUCAAAGAUCCGGGACAUCAACACCAACCUAGAAAGGAUCAACCAGCAAGCCAAUGACUUGGGAUUGGUAAUCAAGUACCAAAUUGAAGCUGCACUCCCUGCUGAUGCCGCUGGUGCCACGACAAGCAGACAGACCGACUCUAUCAUUGUUCCAAACGUUGUAGGAAGAUCCGGCGACGAGUCAAAGAUAGUGGAGAUGCUAUUGACCCCAUCUGAAAGAGUUGUCUCAGUUAUUCCCAUAACAGGCAUGGGUGGCCUGGGUAAAACAACUCUUGCUAAAUCAGUCUACAACAAAAUAGAAAUUGAUGAGAAUUUUGGCAUAAAGAGUUGGGUUUGUGUGGCUAGAAAAAUUGAUAUAGUGGAGCUGUUUAAAUUGAUUUUAAAAUCGUUGACAAGAACAAAGGUUGAAGUGGAUGACAGAGAGGUUAUCGUUAAAAAAAUUGGAGAAAAGCUCAAGGGACAAAGAUAUUUCCUUGUUCUUGAUGAUGUGUGGGAUCAUGAUCAAGGAUUGUGGGAUGACUAUUUCAACACUUUGAUGGGACUCAACGAAACCAAAGGAAGCUGGUGUCUUCUCACUACUCGUCGAGAAUCAGUGGCUAAUGCUGUGCCUAGACAUUUGCAAAUGAAUGAUGGUCCUUAUUCCUUAGGAAAGCUAUCAGGUGAUGAGUGUUGGUCCAUCAUAAAAAGAAAGGUGCUCGCAGGGGAAGAAGUACCAAAAGAAUUGGAAGUAUUGAAGAAGCAAAUUUUAAGGAGAUGCGAUGGCCUCCCACUAGCAGCAAAGUUAAUUGGAGGUUUGUUGCUUAACAGUGGAAAAGAGGAGUGGCAAUCUAUUGUGGAAGAGGGUCUCAUUGUGGAAGAGAGUCUUUUGAAUGAAUAUCAAAGCCAAAUUAAUCAAAUACUUAAGGUGAGCUUUGAUCAUUUAUCACCUGCAUCAGUUAAGAAAUGUUUUGCAUAUUGCUCGAUUUUUCCCCAGGACAAUGAAUUAGAAGAAGAUGAACUAAUUGAGCAUUGGGUUGCCGAAGGUUUUGUUCUACCGGAUCAGAAAAAUAAUAGAGUGAUGGAGGAAACAGGAGGCGAGUAUUUGAGGAUUUUGUUGCAAAAUUCCUUGCUGGAAAAAGUCGCAGAGUCGCAGAGAACAUACUAUAAAAUGCACGAUCUCGUCCAUGAUUUUGCAAAACCAAUUCUUAAUCCAGAAAGCAGCAAUCAGGAUCGCUACCUUGUAUUGGACUCUUCUAAAGGUUUGGAAGAAAAUACCAUGAGGACAAUACCAGCAUCAAUUCGCACAUUAUUUCUCCAUCUAAAGGGUGGCGUAUCUACUGACAUGCUUUUAAGAUUCAAGCACUUGCAUGUUCUCAGAUUGUCUGGCGAUGAUGUCGAGUCUCUACCGAGCUCCAUUGGCAAACUACUACAUUUGCGGUUGCUCGACAUUUCAUCUUCUAGAAUCAGAAGUUUGCCGGAAUCUCUUUGCAAGCUAUAUAAUCUGCAGACACUAACAAUGAGAGAUUAUGCACUUGAAGGAGGUUUUCCAAAACGGAUGAGCGAUUUGAUUAGCUUGCGGCAUCUAAACUACGACCAUGCUGAUGCGGAAUUUAAAAUGCCGGUGCAGAUGGGGACGAUUGACUUGUCUUCAAACUCUACAGUUCUUUAAUAUAAGUCAAGAGAGGGGUCGUGGUAUCGAAGAGCUUGGGACCUUGAAAUAUCUGAAAGGAUCGUUGGAGAUAAGAAAUCUUGGACUAGUGAAGGGCAAAGAAGCAGCUAAACAAGCAAAAUUGUUCGAAAAGCCAGAUCUGUCCUGCUUGGUGUUUGAAUGGGAGAGUGGGGAUCGGGAAAGCGAUAACCGUGAUGAGGAUGUGUUGGAAGGUCUCCAACCUCACCCAAAUUUGAAAACGUUGAAAAUUCAAUAUUUUAUGGGUAAUAAAUUUUCACAAUGGUUUGUGAAUUUGUCAAAAUUGGUGGAGUUGUGGAUACAAGAUUGCAAGAGAUGCAGUGAACUCCCCUCAUUAGGACAACUGCCAUCCCUCAAACGUCUCUCUUUGAUAAGAUUGGACAACAUUCGAUUUAUUGGAGAUGAAUUCUACGGUAUUACUGCUAAUGAGGAGGAGGGCAGAUCACGAGCAUCAGGGAGCGGCACUAGAAGACGCAAAUUCUUUCCUGCCCUUGAAAGCCUCUGGGUAAUAGUUAUGGGGAAUUUGGUAGAGUGGAAAGGUGCAGACCAAGUGAGGUCAACAGUAGGUGAAGCAGAAGCAGAUGUCUUUCCCAUGCUGAGGUAUUUUCGCAUUGAAAGUUGCCCCCAGCUGACCGCUCUUCCAUGCUCGUGCAAAAUUCUACGCGUGAGGAGUUGCUGCAAUCUAACAAGUAUAAAAACGGGUUACGGCACUGCUUCUGUUGAGGAGUUGAGAAUCCUUUUUUGCGACAAUCUUAGGGAGCUGCCAGAUCUGGAUCUGUUUGGAUCGAGUUUGCAGCGAUUGACCAUCGCAAGUUGCCCAAGAUUAAUUAGUCUGGGAGUAAAUGGACAGAAAUGCCCCCUACCAUGCCUUGAGGAAUUGAGUAUUGAUGAUUGCGAAGGGUUGACCACCAUAUCCGACAAAAUGUUCCAGUCAUGCCGGUCUCUGCGGUCCCUGGAGGUGAUGAGGUGCCCCAAUCUGGUGUCGUUUUCGCUUAAUUUGCAGGAGACGCCUUCUCUCGAGAAAUUCGUCUUAGACAACUGUCCCAAAUUGAUCCCUCGUAGUUUCAAAGGAUUUGCUUUUGCCACCAGCUUAAGAGAAUUGAGCAUCAACAUUCCCUUCUCCUCAGAUGAUUCCUCAAUCGAUGAUUUUGAUUGGUCUGGUUUAAGAUCUGCAUCAACACUCCGUGAGCUUCGCAUACGAGGGUUGCCACACCAGCUUCAAUACUUGGCUACCCUCACUUCACUAAGGCUGGAGAACUUUGGAGGAAUAGAAGUGCUACCGGAUUGGAUUGGAAACCUUGUGUCCCUUGAAAGCCUACAGCUAUGGGAUUGCGACAAGCUUCAGUCUUUACCACCCGAGGCCGCCAUGAGACGACUCACAAAGUUAACUCGUGUUCGAGUUUAUAGGUGUCCUCUAUUAAGACAACGAUACACUCCCCAAAGAGGCAUCUACUUGGAGGAGGAGAUUUCAAGUGAUCCUGUGAGAUUUUCCUAUCUAAAGUUCACACACAUAUAUAUGUGUAUAAAUUUUUUGUAUCUGCAUCUCAUUGACAUAUAUUUGCUCUUCAGUCUCUUGUACUCUUUUUCUCCAUCUCUUUUCUGCAAAGUUAUUCUCUGUAAUUAAUUCUCUUCUUUUGGGCAAACCUUGGUUUCUUUUCAAAGAUUAGUUUUAACAAAGCCUGGUUUUGAGCAAAUUGGAAGAGACCAAAAUUCUGGAUUUUCUCUGCAUCUCGCCAUUGAAAGAUUUUGAACAUCUUAAAAACUCAACUUGUUACCUUCUAUUUGGCCAAGGACAAAAUUAUUAGCAACGGUGCAUACACAAUUAGCCUCUUUGUUUGAAUGUGUUGGAAAGUGUUUCAUUUGAUGUGCAAUGCUAGAUGUACAUUGACGCAUUCGUCAUUUUUCUGUCAGUGAUAUUGCCAGUCUAAAUGGACAACAUUAAAGCUAAUCAAGAAACAGUUGUGAAGAAAUUUUGCUAUUCUUUGGGACUCUAUGUUCUUAUUGCCAUAAAAUUAUAUCAGUCUCCUUGAAGUUCAAAUAUGUUUGUUGAGGAACUAGAGUGCUCCAAACCUUCACCCCUUACAAUUGCUGAUGCAUGCUUCAUAAGAAUGACAAUAAUAUGGGAUCAUUGUUUAUCAUCUUUCAUAAGUUUGAGAAGUUUCUUCAUCACAAUUACCUUGUUUUUUUGUUCUGUGAGCUGAAUUACUAUAUUGUUACCUUGUAGACAAGCAGUGACAGCGAAUAAGAAAGCAAUAAUGGUGCUCAAACAUCAGUUUCAUGUUGUUUCCCAUCGUUGCUGAAGGAGGAGAAACCAGGAGGUAUGAUGGUUCUCAAGCAUCAGCUUCUCUCGCCAAGAACUCUUUUCAACCUCCGCCCAAUUUAUUAAAAACACAAGGGAAUUGGAGCAAUUUUUUAUCAAAGUAUGCUUGAGUGAAAAUAGGGUGUUUUUCUGCACUUUCAUGUACUUUUGAACAUUUGUCCUAUGCUAUAUAGCUUAGUUUUUAAUCUUUAAGAUUGUACAUUUACUAGGUGCUUAACACGUCAUUUGAUUGUGAAAGAAGCUGGUUUUUUCCAUUUUCUUGUACUGAAUACUAGACCAUGCCUUUUCUUUGCGUUCCUUAGCUGUCAUAACUGAAUUCAUGCUGAAAUGUAACAUUAUGAUGGUAUUUUCCAGAGUCUUAGAAAGCAGACCUCAUGUUGCUGGACAAAGACACCACCCUUUGCUGUUGCAUUUCUUACAAGAUUGCCAGGGGGCAGAAGUUAUUUUCACUGACUAGACAGGUUUGAAGAUGAAGUUAGUAAUCAAUGAUGAGAAUUUUGCACAUCAGAGAGCGCUAGCUUUGAUGGAGGCUUCACCAGUAGGUGGUUCUCCCCAGGUUUCCCAAACAUAAGCUUUUACUCAUCUCCUGCUCGGGCUGCAGAAAGAAAGGUAAUAAUUUAGCUUGUUCAUCUUCAGGGCAGUUUUGAUAGUUUUUUAUCUGCAUUCUUGAUAUAUAUUUCAUAAAUCAAUUACCAAAACUUUUUUUUCCCUUUGGUGUAGCAUGCUGAUUGGUGAACAAAUUGAAAGAGACCAAAAUCCUGUGUUUUCUCUGCCUCUCUGAACUACUGAAAGAUUUGAACAUCUUAAAUCUCUUUAACUUCAACUUGUUACAUUCUAUCUGGCCAAGGACAAAAUUAUUAGCUACGGUUCAUACCCAAUUAGCCUCUUUGUUUGAAUGUGCUACAAAAUGUUUCAUGUGAUUUACAAUGCUAGAUGUACAUGGACUCAUUCUUCAUUUUUCCAUCACUGAUAUUGCCAGUCUCAACGGAUAACAUUAAAGCUAAUCGAGAAACGAUUUUCAAAGAAAAUUCAUGAUACAAUUUGCUGUUCUGUGGGACUCUGUGUACUUAUUGCCAUAAAAUUAGAUCAGUCUAUUUGAACUUCAAAUAUGUAUGUGGAGGAACUAGAGUGCUGUGAACAUUCUCCCCUUAUUAUUGACACUGCAUGCUUCAUAUCAAUGAGAAUAAUGUUUUUUUCUUUUCAAUGACAAAAAUGUUGGAUAAUUGUUUAUCAUCUUUCACAAGUUUGAAAAGUUUAUACGACACAAUUGCCUUGAUUUUCUGUUCAGUGAGCUGGAUUACUGUAUUGUAACCUUGCAGAUUAGCAAUGCAAGGAAUGAUGGCGCUCAAACAUCAGCUUCGUGUUGUUUUCCAUUGCUGCUGAAGAAGAAGAGCUCAGGAGGUAUGUGGUGCACAAAAGUGAUAACGCAGCACUUCUCUCCCCAAGAACUCGAAGUUUGCAUUCUAAUAUGCUUGAGUCAUGUAAUUGGCAUGAAAACAGGGUGUUGUUCUGCACUGUUAUUUGUUGUUGAAUGUUUACCCUAUGCCACAUAGCUUAUCUUUUGCUCUUGAAGAUUUUUAUGUUUAUUUGGUGCUUAACAUGUGUUGUGAUUGCGAAAGAAUCUGGUUUUCAAUUUUCUUGCACUUCUUAAAAGAUGGCAUUUCAUCCUUUUGACGUAUCAGAAUGUGACAAGUCUUGAUCGUAUGUUUUCUUCAUCUUUUACAGGGAGUAAAAGUAUGUCUAGAGACCAUACUUGUAAGAUUUCCUACCCUUUUUUAGCUAGACAUUUGAUAGAGAGAACUUAGAACUCUUGUUACUUUUCCUCUUCAAGUAAUCAUUUUUUGUUAUCUCUGCGAAAUUGCUUAAUCCAGUGGUUUGUUAGCCACCGAUGCUUUGGGUUCAUAAACAAAUCAUGACAGUAAAAUCUGGAUGAUGAUCUUAUUGUUAAAGGCUUUUAUAUAAAAGUAGAUACUUAAUACAAAUGAAACAACGUAUUUGUAUUAAUUCUAGAUCCGUGAGAUGUGCGUGCCCAUCAAAUAUUUACAUAACAAGGAAUCAAGAAAGUUUUGGGCAGGGAAGGAGCCAGCCAAGUACAAGGCACUUUGCCCAAUUUAUAGGAGUAUAUUUUAUGAAAUUUUCAUCAGUGUUGAGUAAAUUAGUCAUCCUCUUUCCAAAAUUUUAAAUUAGACAAUUGUAUUCAAUAUUGUGGUCGUAUUAUAAUUUUUCUCUUCUCUAAUUCUCCUACGCUGCCAUUGAAGUUUUAACAAAAAUGUCAUACAAUUCUAACAACUAGAGUUGUCAACAAUUGAACUUGGCACUGACUAUUGACUUGGUAAAACUUACUAAAGCUGUUAAAUUAAGUAUUUGUACAAAAACUUUAUUUUCGUCACUUUCUUUCAAGCAAAGUUGGGAGAGAUGAUCAAUCCAUAACAUUCUUCUUCGAUAUAGGAGAACAGGAGACUUUUCAAGUAGGAAAGGAUUUCAACUCAACCAACUACUACUAGAAUAUUUGGCCACCAAAGAUAGGGUUAAAACUUUUCUUGGUUGUAGGUUAAGAGAUCGAAUUUCUUUAUUUACAUUUUUCUUCGGGAUUUCUUGAAAAUUUCAUCAAUCGAUACAUAAGCACCUAUCUAGUUCCGUGACAAUUCAGUCCCCUCUGGUGCUCCAUUGAUCGUUUUGAGUCCACCCCAUCGCUCUAAUGUGAAGUAGGAAUAAGUAUAGAAUAAGAAUUGUUCAGUCAACAAAAAAAAAAAAAAAUGGACAGGUUUCAGCUAAAUACCAAUGAGUCCAUUAGGCUACAAUAUUUGCAAAAAUAAAUAAAUAAAUAUUGUUUAAUUUCAUAAAUAUAACUUUUAACCAUCUUUUUAUCUUAUGUAUAUCAUACCAUUAAAAGUGCUACAAUGCUAUCAUUCCAUUAGGCUACAAUAUUUGCAAAAAAAAAUAUUAUUUAACUUCAUAAAUAUAACUUUUAAUCAUUUUUUGAUCUUACGUAUAUCAUACUAUUAAAAGUGCCACAAUGCUAUAAUUCGUUAUUGAUUCUUUGGACUACGAAAUUCUUUUCUCAUGUUUGCUCAGAAAUGAGACAUGAGACUUUAGUUUUCAUUCUUCAGUUGAACUUAGACGUUUUAGACUUUUAGUGAAGCAUUUCUUUCAGGUAAAAUAAAUUUCACUAAAGCAUUUAAAUAAUUAUAGAAAACUACUGUUCUCUUUAAUUUGGAUCAUAAAAUAUUUAAAGGUCAAUAUGGGACAUGAGACUUUAGUCAUAUGAACUUCGACGUUUUAGACUUUUAGUGAAGCAUUUCUUUCAGGUAAAAUAAAUUUCAGUAAAGCAUUUAAAUAAUUAUAGAAAACUAUUGUUCUCUUGAAUUUGGAUCAUAAAAUAUUUAGAGGUCAAUAUGAGACAUGAGACUUUAGUCAUCAUUCUUGAAUUGAAAUUAGACGUUUUAGACUUUUAGUGAAGCAUUUCUUUUAGGUAAAAUAAAUUUCACUAAAGCAUUUAAAUAAUUAUAGAAAACUAUUGUUCACUUGAAUUUGGAUCAUAAAAUAUUUAAAGGUCAAUAUGAGACAUGAGACUUUAGUCUUCAUUCUUCAGUUGAACUUAGACGUUUUAGACUUUUAGUGAAGCAUUUCUUUCAGGUAAAAUAAAUUUCACUAAAGCAUUUAAUUAAUUAUAGAAAACUAUUGUUCUCCUGAAUUUUUUUUCGUAACGGCACAUUUAGCUUCAUUUAACCUACUCCUACUCUAGGAGGAAGGAGGAGUGGUCCAACUGAACUGAGAGAACCGACAGGGACUGAACUACCAUUACACCAGAUGAGUGCACCACGCACCCGUCUGGAUUUAGAAGAAACCACAUAUAGUGGCACAUUGAUGGGAGGUAAAAUUUGAAUCUUUGACCAUCCAAUGCACAAUUCAUGUGAUGGCCAACUCCUCUAGAGUAAGUUGGCCAUUGCUCUCUUGAAUUUGGAUCAUAAAAUAUUUAAAGGUCAAAUAUAUUGAUUCCUUUGUUGUCGAACCUCAAAGUAAUUAUCAAAGAAACUUUUGCAAUAAUAUCAUACCAAAAGAUUCAUAAUCCAUGCUAUAUUGCAUUUUGGAAAUGAUACCUUCCCAGUCCUACCAAAAUCACAAUACUAUAGUACAUAUAAUCAGUUAACUUCUGGUCUUCAUGAAGUACAUAUAGUCUGUGUUCGACCCAUUUCUUUGACAAAAAUAAAAAACAAAAAUGAUACUAGUAAAAGAAAUGACCAUAUGGUCAAAACAGUAAUAAUGCUAGAUUCAAACGUAUGAAAUCCUUCGUGGACUAAAUUGCAAAUACCCUUGUCCCUUGACAGACUGAUACUUCCUUAUUUACAAAGGAUUCAAUUCCGCAAUUACUUCAGCUGAAUUCGAGUAGCUUUAUGAAUUUUCAAAUCAAACUCAAGAAUAAUAAUGGUCUACUCAAAAUCAAUGUUAUAAAACCUAGUCCAAAUUGGCUGGUCGGCCUUCUUUUUGGUAUUGGUACCAAUUAGUAUCAAUUUAUAGUUAAACCAGUUGAACCGUCUAGUUGAGCCAGCCAAAGCAAGAACAAAGCGUAUAUUAUUGAAAUUUUCAUCAGUAUUGAUUAAAUCAGUCAUCCUCUCUCCAAAAUUUUAAAUUAGACUAUUUUAUUCAAUAUUGUGGUCGUAUUAUAUCUUCUCUAAUUCUCCAACGCUGCCAUUGAAGUUUAACAAAAAUGUCAUACAAUUCUAACAACUAGAGUUGUCAACAAUUGAACUUGGUACUGACUAGUAUUAUUAUUUUUUUUUUGUCAAAGAUAACAGUAGCAUUAUUCUCAAAGAUAUGUGUAAAUUCCAUCUUAUCUUGCUAAUGUCAAGAGCCUAAUCUUCAAGACAAAAAAUUUAUUAAAGCCGUUAAAUUAAGUAUUUGUACUAAGAUUUUUAUUUUCCUCUUUAUUUCAAGUAAGGUGGGGAGAGAUGAGCAAUCCAUAGCAUUCUUCAAUCUUCGAUUUAGAGAAUUGGAGUCUUUUCUUUAAGGGUGCGUUUGAUAAAAUUGAUAUUUAAAAUUUGAAAUCUGAAGUCUGAAAUCUAAAUCCAUUAACUACUGAAUUGUUAAAUACUAAAUUUGAUACAUUUAAAUGUAUAUCACAUUAAGUGAUAAGUGAAUAACUUAUCACUUAUUUUUUAGAACAAGUUUUGCUUUGGAAAUUCAUUGUCACUUAAUUAAUCCAUGUGUUUUAGUUUUAGUUAUCGAACGCAUCUGAACAUAAUAAGCUAUGAAUCCAUUAAAUUUAAGUGCUAAAUUGGAUUAUCAAAUAGAAUCCAAGUUUAACAGAAUUUCAACUAAAAAUCAAUAGGUUCGUUGAGCUAACAUAAUUUGCUAAUAAUAAAAAUAAUAAUAAUAAUAAUAAUAAUAAUACUUUCAAAUAUUAUUCAGAGAAAUGAGACAUGAGCCUUUAGUCUUCAUUCUCCAGUUGAACUUAGACGUUUUCGACUUUUAGUGGAGCACUUCUUUCAGGUAAAAAUUAAUUUCGCUAAAGCAUUUAAAUAAUUAUAGAAAACUAUUGUUCUCUUGAAUUUGGAUCAUAAAAUAUUUAGAGGUCAAACAUAUUGAUUUCGAUGCUGUUGAACCUCUGAGUGAUUAUCGAAGAACCUUUUGCAAUGAUAUCCUGCCAAGAGAUUCAUAGUCCAUGCUAUAUUGCAUUGUUGAAAAUCAUACCAAAAAACCUUGCCCAGUCCUACAAAAAUCACAAUACUGUAGUACAUAUAAUCAGUUAACUUCUGGUCUUCGUGGAGUACAACUGUUUGACCCAUUUCUUUAGCCCAAAAUAAAAUUUAUAAGUAGCGAAAGAAAUGACCAUAUGAUCAAAAUAGUAGGGCAAAAUACACUUUGCCCUCAUGUAAUUUAGCGCUUUUUCACAUAAUCUCUCAUAUAGUUUCAUAGUUAUGCAUACCCUUUUCAUGAUUUGGAUGAAAAUGUCAAAAUGACAGAAUUUGUAUUCUAUAAUAGAGUCAAUUAAAAUGUCAACAGUAUUCCUAUGUAAAGUUGAAAAUUAUUUAUUAACCACGGAAAUUUAUGUAUAUAAUUUAAAAAUCAUAAAGAAAUUAUAUGGUAAAACAUUAAAUCAUAAAGGGGUUACAUGAAAAAUCAUAAAAUCAUACGAGGUUAAAGUAUCAUACAUAUUAUAUUUAUAUAUUUUGGCCAUUUCAACCAGUUUAGUUUUUAAACAAGAGUAAUUUUGACAUUUUCAUGGAUUCCAUUACAAAUGAUCAUUUCUGUUAUUUUGAUACUUUAAUUUAAACAAUGAGAUGAUAAUAUAUAGUUUUUACAACUAUAGAGAGAUUUUGUAAAAAAUUGCUAAACUACAGGGGGUAAAGUAUAUUUUAUCCAAAACAGUAAUACUAGAUUCAAACUAAUGAAAUCCUCUAUGGAUUAAAAUUGCAAAAACCCUUUUCCGUUGGCAAGCCGGGACUUUCUUAUUUACAAAGGAUUCAAUUCCGCAAUUACUUAACUCCAGCUGAAAUCGUGUUGCACCAUGAACUUUCAAAUCAAACCGGAGAACGAUGCCGCCUACUCAAAACCUUUAAAACUAUGUUGAACGGAGUUUGACACGAGGACUAUUGCAGGUGGCAACUCUCCAAAAAGGUUGACCGUCAUUAUUUGGUUAAAAAAAAUAUUAGGAUCAAACGACAUCUUGUAAAUAAAUUUUAACACCAUAUAUGAGGUCCACAAAAUUUUAUUCUAUAUUUAUAAGUUGCUGAAAAUAAGUUACAUUCUAAAUAAAGUGAAUUAUAUCUUGUGCAAAUGAAACAAAAUCGGCCCAAAUGAUUUUUCUGACAAUCCUUUGAAUCCUUGGUCCAUGGUAAACUUAUUACAAUACAUAGAGAGGCCUUCUCUUAUAGACUAUAUAUCACUGUACACUAUUACACUAAUAAUUGAGUCGACUUGUGAGGGUGGCAACUGUGGUCCAUAAUAGAAUUUUCAUAAGACAUACUUGGUUUCUAAAUUAUCUUUCACAUUUUGUUAAAUAAAUUAUUUCAUCCUUCACUUUUAAAAUGAUAACUUUAUGUUUCAUACAAAAUCAAAUUAGUAAAAUUUGAUUCCAAUUUAGAUUUUUUUACCAUAUUUUAUCCUAAAUCCAUCACGUGACCCAUAUGCAAUCAUUAUUUAUGUAUGGAAAGGUUGAUCAGUUGCACGACGAAAAAUUACCCACUAAUGUAUGAGGAGAGUCUCUGAUGCCACAUCAUAUAUUUGCACUUAUUAGUGUAAAAAAUUUUAACAUUGAUAAUGUAUACAAUAUUAAUCCUAUAUAUUUAAUAAUUCAAAGAAUUAUUAGAUUAGAAAAUUCAAUGUGCAUUCAUAUACAUAGAUCAAGAAAAUAAAAUAAAAAGUGCAAGGACAAUUGUAUAUCUUUCGUAUUGUAGGCUCUGUUUUCAAACUCGGGCCGGACUGGUUGGUCUGAUCGAUCAAACCGAAAAUCGAUCAAUUGUUCGGUUCUAAUUAACUUAAAAAAUUGAAAGAUUAAAAAAAUUGAUCAAAUCUAGUCAAAAUCGGGUCAACCCUGGUUUGACCGAAUAAAUAAAGAACCGGGCUUGUCAUCACCAUGGUUUUCGUGGGCAGCCUUUUUUGACUUUUUUCCGGAGAUAACGGGAGGGAAACAUAUUCGGAGAUUUUGAGCCAUGAUGAAAGAAUCUUUUUUUUUUUACUUUUUUUCGAAAGGUCAAAAUAUCUUUAAUAUUAUAUUUUGACCCCUAGGUUGUUAAAAAUUGUUAAUAUACCUCAAAUAUUUCAUACUUUAUAAACGUUGUCUUAAAGUUUGGUGUUAUUUUUCAAUUAAGUCUAUAAUUUUAAUUCUAAACUUGUUAUUGCUCAUUAAAUAAUAUAAAUUGCUACUUAAUUGUUCUAAUUUCUUUGUAUUUUCUUGUUAAAUAUAUUUGAACCAUCAAAUAUAUAUAAAUACACAUUUAUUAAUAUAAAUAUGCUAUUAAGUAUUUUACAUAUAAUAUUUUAAUUUUUAAAUAAUUUUUAUUUAUGACGUCAUCCGGUUCAACCCCGAUCGAACCCGGUUGAACCCAUUGAUCCCUGACCCCUGAGCUCGACCGAGUCGAUUCCCGGUCCGAUUCUGAAAACAUAGAUUGUAGGUUUCAAGCAAAUAUGUCUUGAUCGGGUUAAGGUUGUGGUUUUUGAUAUAGAUUUGAAUCAACUAUCGUAAUAUAGAGGGCAAAGGUUAUGGUUAGAUUAGUAGAUGACCUUUUCUUCUUUUCAAGUGGUCUACUUGAAUUUGUUUAGUAAGAUUGAAUUCAGAUAGAGGAUGAACUACGUUCAACACAGAAUAUGGUAUUAAUAAGGAGUCAGUCGGUGACGUUGAAUUAGAGUAAACUAAAAUUAAGAAAAGACUUCACUUAAAAGUAUCAAUGGACUUUGUUUUGGCAAACCUUAGGAGAGAUAAAUGUAGUUGAUCAAACAUGAUUAGAAUAAUAUACCAUCCAAAUCUAUUUUCAGUUGAGGAACUACAUAUGUUACAUUUAUGCAUUCAAAUCUACCAAUUGUGAUGCUUUAACAGCACCUUCUUGAUUAUGUAAAUAGUUUUCUAAUUUUUUUUAUGCUUUGAGGGAUAAUUUGUAAAAGUUAGUUUUUUUAGGAGUAAAAUGUCCCUUUUUUUCUUUUUUUUUUUGAAAUAGAAAUUAUAGCCAUAUAUAGACAUGUGAGUUUUUUUUAGUAAUAUAGCGAUUUAGAUUUCUUUCAUUAGAAUACACUGACAAUGAUUGUCUUAUAAUCCCAUUCAUGAAUAGACUUCUAAUAACUCUUUGGGCUAUUUACACAAUACAAACAUGGAGUUAUUCUUGCAGUAUUGCUCAUAAGAGGGACAAAGUCAAUAUGACUCUCUACUUUGUAAGUCAAUUUGUUUGAACUUCAAGUUAAUAUUUUAAGUAAAGGAUAAAAGUAGCGUGAAAAGUAUAUUAGUCUGUAUUUGAGGCUUACAAUGUUUUAGCAAAUGCUUGGUAAUCCCCUUACUAAUAAUCAAAUUCGAUGAUAAAUUACUAAUUGAUUUUCUAGAUAAAGUCACCGUAUCCUUUAGUUAAGCAUUAAGAGAUGAGGCAAACCUAUAGAUGGAGAAGACCUUAGAAUAGUUGGUGAGGUGGUAAGGAGCUUUUCCUAAUUUUCCCUUAAUAAGAUUUUUAUUCCUCUCUUUUCUCAAAAUAAAAUUUUUAGCUUUAGUAGCCUGGCUAUUUGAAACAUUUGCAAGUGAAGUUCCAUGAAAACUGCGUUAGAGUUUGCUUAUUCGAGAUAAGGCAAGUGAAAAUGCCAAGCAACUUCCAGUGCAAAAGCAUUCAACUAUGCCAACGAAGCAUUGCGCUUCUACACGGAUUGAGGGCUCACAAUUGGUCACACCAUUAUCCUCUUUUGUCAUUAGAACAUAAUACUAGAAAUAUGCAUAUAAAAUAUUUCACUUAUUAUGGCAAUUAUACACCGUCAAUGCAACGAAUGUAGAAUUUAAACAUUAGUUUAUGUUGUAAUGAAUAUGUAAAUAAGUUACAUUAUGGCUAAUCUUUGCCAUAUAGUAUCUCAAGCAAUCAGUCCUAAUAAUUGUUAAGGCACUUUUUAAUCUAUUCAAUGAGAUUGAAACAAAUGCACCGUUCAAGUUAUUCUUUGUCAAAAGUCGUUAGUCAAGCACUUUAGCAAAAAACAAGAGAGGUGUAAUUGUUCACGCCCCGUUCAUGAUAAGAUGGAAGCAAAUGCAUCAUUCAAAGUUAUUCUUGGCCAAAAUGCAUUCAUCAUUUUUAAAAGGCUCCAUGAAAGUGAGCUUAACGUUUUUGGUCGUGUGUAAGUUUAAAAGUACUUCUUUUUUUUUUUCCGGAGACGAUAAGUCUAUUCUAUCCUACACUAUGGGGGAGGGGGCGGACCUAAGUAGGUCCAGGGAUAACCCGGAGGGGACUGAACCACCACCGGACCAAACGGGUGCACAGCACACCCGCCUGGAUUUUUUAGAACAAACCACAUAUUGUGACCAAAUUGUGGGAGGCAGGGAUUGAUCCCUUGACCUCCAGCAUCACCAUUAUGGUGAUGACUACUGGAUCAAAUGGCCAGUGGCUUCAUAUGUCAAGAUACUAUUGAUUCUUAUUUUCUCUUUCAAAAAUAAAAGUUCAAGUAAUUUGACAUCACAAGCCUGAUUACUGAGACCCAAAAGGCAAGUAUAAGUGUUUUACAUGUUUUCCAAAUUAAGAAUAUGUUAUAUGUCCCCCAAAAAAUCUAAAAGAAAAAAAAAACUUCCUUUCUUGCGUGAAAAAUUGCAUUGUAACGCGUUCUAUUGUUGGGCAUUAAACCUCAUGAACGAGAUACGGAGGUUAUUGUCUACGAGUAAAUUUCCAAAUCCGGCUGCCUUUUGAAGCUAGUUCGCAAAACGUGAAAGUUUUUAAACAAAGAACGCAUUCACUAUAUCCAAUGUUUAAAAAUUUAGAAAAAAAUAUAUUUUUACUCCUUAUUGUUUAGUCUCUGUGCAGUUUUAGAUCUUAAAGUUUUGGCAAAAGUAAAUCUAGUUGUUAAUGUAUAUUAUAUGUACAGUUUUAGUCCCUGAAGUUUUGGCAAGAGCGAUCCGAUUUUCAAUGUCACCAAUUUGAAGCAUUUUAAGGACCGUUGAUAAAAUUUUCUAAAUAUUAAUCAAAUCAGUCACGUGCAAUCACAUAUUUGUUAAAAAAACUUCUUAAAAGAGAAUCAAAAUAAUGAGUAAUCUAAAUUUAACAAUAAAAACAACUUGCAUGCUAACACAUUAGUAACUAAUUACUCAAGAAAAAAAGAAAGAAAUUUUGUUAAUCUAUACUAAAAAUUAGGAAUCACAUUUUUUUUACUUGGAGACACUAGAGAUAGUUAGUGAAAAUGAAUUUGAGAUCAAUGAACUUGGUAUAUUGAAGUUUUAGUUUAAAAAUUUUCCUUCUUUUUAUUGGUUAAAUAGUUAUCAAAUCAAUUAUUAGUUCUUAAUUUUAUUGUUUAAAGUUAGCUACUAUUUUUCUUCUUUAUUUUGAAAUUUAAUUUAAUAGGCAAUUGAUCAGACAUGACUAAAUUUUGUUAGUAAUUGAGAUGAAAUUCUUCAAAUGUCCUAAAUCAGCUUUAAAUUGAAUAUAAAGGGGACCAGAUUUGCUCUUGCUAUAACUUUAUGGACUAAAACUGCACGUACUAAAUAUUGAGGAUCAUCAUUGCUUUUGUUAAAACUUUUAGGACUAAAACUGCAUAUGGACUAAACAUUAAGAAUUAAAACUACAUUUUCUUCAAAAAUGGAAUAUUUAUGCCUACAAAGAAUGAAAAGUGUCAUUCAGCAAAUGCAACUUUUCAGCAAUUGGGAUUGGUCCGGUAACCAAAACAGAACUCUUAGAGUUUUUCUCGUUAUCAAAUUUAGGUUUUGAAUCCUGUCCCGAGUAAUUGAAAGUAGGAAGGGUGUGGGAAUGAGUGAGAGGAUUAAAAAAAAAACUGCAACUUUUAAAUUUGCAAAUGUUGCAUUUGAUGAAUACGAUUUUUACCAUUUGGGAAGAAGUUUGAAAAACAUCACUUUUUAGGAAUUUUUUUUCUUUUAAGUAGCCCUCUUUGGGAAUUUACUCCAUCAUCCACUAGAUAGUUCUGUGUACAAAAGUAGCCAACUAGCAAAGUAGGUACCACAUUGACAAUAAUGGAACUUUUUGGUCUCUGGUUUCUAACGAGAUGGAGUAACCACCCCAGCGUGGUCACUUGUGCAACCAAGAAAAUGAAAUGUCUAAUUCCCAUGGAUUGGUAAUCUAUAAGACUAGAUAAUCCUUUCAGUUUUCUUACUAACAAAUGACGUGAAUUGCUAUAUACUUUUCUCCAGUGUGAUUGCGAUUAAAGUUUCUUGUCCCUCUCUGGUGGAACUUACACAAUUAUUCAAUCAGAAAAAGAUGAAGGCCCCAGCAACAACAGUGAUCGAGGGCCAAGCAACUUCCAUUGCAAAAGCAUCCAAAUUUCCCACUGAAUUGAGCCACUGAUCGAGGGAUCCCUGAUGUCUUUCAAGUAUUCUACCGAAACAACUAAUGGCCGCCUUCAUUGACCAAACUUAGAAUUGUUGUGGCCGACAAAAUUUAGUCUAGGCUUUCAUGCAGCUAUUCUUUAUCAAAUCAUGCAACAUAUAUUUAUGGGAUAAUUGCAAAAACCUCCCCUGAGAUUUCUGACAUUUGCACUACCUCCCCUCCAGGUUUUGAAAUUUCAUUCACCUCCCCUAAACAGCUUUUGUAAAAGUGAGAUAAGAAAUUUCUUCCAAUUUUGCCCUCUUCUUGCUUGACAAUUAUUAUUUGCUUGACAAUUGCUUAACUAAUUAUCUAAUUAGUUAAUAGUUAAACUAAUUAACUAUUAACUAAUUAUCUCAUUAAUUAUUAACUAAUUAACUAAUUAUUUAAUUAAUUAAUUAACUAAUUAACUAAUUUCUAUUUAUCUAAUUAACUACUUAACUAAUUAACUAAUUAACUAAAGCUAUUGUCUGUCCGAAACUAACAAACUAUUUGCAUGACAAACUAAUUAACUAAUUAACUGCUACUAAUCAACUAAUUAACUAACUAACUAAUUAACAGACUAUUUGCAUGUUAAACUAUAUGCAGUACGCAUUAUCUAUUUAAAGUAUCGGCUCUUUAUGGAUAUUUUACUUUCAAACAUUUAAUUUAUGAUAAAAACAUCAAUGUUUGUAAAUAAAAUUCAAAAAGUGUUACAGUAAUAUUCUUACAAAAAAGGAGGGGCAUAGGGCCAUAAAUUAAAUGUUUGAAAGUAAGAAUAUUGAUAUUUUUUGUAACACUUUUUGAAUUUUACUUACAAACAUUGAUAUUUUUAUCAUAAAUUAAAUGUUUGAAAGUAAAAUACCUAUAAAGAGCCGAUACUUUAAAUAGGUAAUGCGUACUGCAUAUUGUUUAACAUGCAAAUAGUUUGUUAAUUAGUUAGCUAAUUAAUUAGUUAAUUAGUUAAGCAGUUAAUUAGUUAAUUAGUUUAACAUACAAAUAAUUUGUUAGUUUCGGAUAGACAAUAGCUUUAGUUAAUUAGAUAAAUAGAAAUUAGUUAAUUAAUUAAUUAGAUAAUUAGUUAGUUAAUUAGUUAAGUAGUUAAUUAGCUAAUUAGUUUAACAUGCAAAUAGUUUGUUAGUUUUGGAUAGACAACAGCUUUAGUUAAUUAGUUAAUUAGAUAAAUAGAAAUUAGUUAAUUAGUUAAUUAGAUAAUUAGUUAGUUAAUUAGUUAAGCAGUUAAUUAGUUUAACAUGCAAAUAGUUUGUUAGUUUCGGAUAGACAACAACUUUAGUUAAUUAUAUAAUUAGUUAAUUAGAUAAACAGAAAUUAGUUAAUUAAUUAAUUAAUUAAUUAGAUAAUUAGUUAGUUAAUUAGUUUAACAUGCAAAUAGUUCGUUAGUUUCGGACAGACAACAGCUUUAGUUAAUUAGUUAAUUAGUUAAACAGUUAAUUAGUUUAACAUGCAAAUAGUUUGUUAGUUUCGGAUAGACAACAGCUUUAGUUAAUUAGUUAAUUAGAUAAUUAGAUAAUUAGUUAAUUAGAUAAAUAAAAAUUAGUUAAUUAAUUAAUUGGAUAAUUAGUUAGUUAAUUAGUUAAGCAAUUGAUUAGUUUAACAAGCAAAUAGUUUGUUAGUUUAGGAUAGACAACAGCUUUAGUUAAUUAGUUAAUUAGUUUAACAUGCAAAUAGUUUGUUAGUUUCGGAUAGACAACAACUUUAGUUAAUUAGAUAAUUAGUUAAUUAGUUAAUCAGAUAAACAAAAUUAGGUAAUUAGUGAUGAGAACAUGAAGAUUUGCAUGGAUUCCUUUCAUUUUACAAGUCCUCACAUUCCAAUGAUGGUUGAUGGUGCAAUCGGGCUCGAGAAUCAUUGAAGAUCCAAAUUUUCCAAAUGUUAAUUGGCUUCCAAAUCUUGAUUGGUAUCUUGAUUGAUAUCUUGAUGGAUUUCCAAAUUGAGAGUUAAGUAAGUUGCUUGAAUUAGGGAAUAAAGGCUAAGGUCAUGUUGACCAUAGUUAAGCCAAUUUGAAUUAGUUAGUUCCUAUUCUAGUUGAAUUAGAGUUUUAGGAAAGCAGUUAAUUGCUUCCAAAUUUGUUUAGGAAAUUGUGUCAAGUUUAGAAGUCAAGUCAAAUAAGGAAACUUGUAUUGUUUCCAAUUUAGAUUAGGGUCUUGAGUCUUGUAAGGCUAUAAAUAGCCAACUUUAUUUAACUAUUCGGGGGAGACAAUGAUGAGAUGAAUAAAAAUUGAGAGUUUUCUCUUUCUUGUUCCUUUGGGAGCGUUCCUUGAUACAAAGUGAGUUGUAUCUCCUUUGUUCAAGUUUUGGCUUAUCAAUUCAAGAUCACGUUGAAUUGUGGCGCCAUUCUACCAACACCUUUGGUUCCUAAUCCGUUAGUUUGUGGGUUAAGAUAAUAUCAAGAUUGUUCGCAAUCUCGGGGAUUAGAGAGGUCGUAAGGUUUUUCCAUCUUUGUAUCCAUAACCUGAUCAAGAUAGAUCAUUCCGCUGCCUGAUCGAUUCGGUUCUUCAAGACAGGUUCUUGUUGGGUCGAGUUCGCAUCAUAUUAGUUAAUUAAUUAAUUAGAUAAUUAGGUAGUUAAUUAGUUAAUUAGUUUAAUAUGCAAAUAGUUUAUUAGUUUUGGACAGACAACAGCUUUAGUUAAUUAGUUAAUUAGAUAAUUAGAGAUUAGUUAAUUAGAUAAAUAGAAAUUAGUUAAUUAAUUAAUUAGAUAAUUAGUUAAUUAGUUAAUAGUUAUUUAGAUAAUUAGUUAAUAGUUAAUUAGUUUAAUUAUGCAGAAAUAGUUUGAUUAGUUAAUAACUAUUAACAAUUAGAUAAUUAGUUAAUUAGUUAAUAGUUAAUUAGAUAAUUAGUUAUUAAUUAAUUAGAUUAUUAGUUAUUUAGUUAAUUAGUUAAUUAGUUAAAAUAUGCAGAAAUAGUUAAUUUAGUGUAAUUUUUAUUAACAAAUGUUUUGUUGGGUUUGAUGAAAGACUCAUCACAUUCAUUUGGUAAAAUUAAAUCAUGUCAGGGGUACUUUAGUAAAUUGACCCACUUUUGUCUAUUAAAUUGCCUCCAACUUUUGAUAGGGGAGGUCAGUACUAUUUCAAAAUUGAUAUGGGAGGUCAAUGCUAUUACUAUAAAAGUCAGAGGAGGUUUCUGCAAUUAUCCCUAUAUUUAUUUGUAAACCAAAACUUGUAACAAAUAUUUGGAUUUUUUUUUUUGAAAAUAUUUUGACAUUUCUUUAAUCUGAUGUAUGUAAAAUAAAAAAAUAAUAAAAAAAUAUAUUAAUAAUGUAAAUAAAUAAAUUUUGACAAAUAAUUUACGGUCACAAACAAAUCCAUUACAAUCAGAUGACAGGUUACUAUGAACAGAGUCUGCUCAUAGACACGUUAGAUAACUAUGAACAGUUUUUAGAAGUUUUUAGUCUGCUCGUAGUCUUUUAGAAGUUUGCAUCCGAAGAGCAAAAAAUUCCUUUGCUAACUUAGAAAUAAAAUAUAUGCAUUUACCAUUACAUGUACUGAGAAAUAGCAUUGGCAAUAAUUCAUACGGUAAUUCAGAUAUUUUCAGUAACAGGCCCCAGCAUUGAAUCAGAAAAAGACGAAGGCCCCAGCAACAACAAUAAUGAUUAAGAAAGCUCAGGCGAAAAUGCCAAAGCAACUUCCAUUGCAAAAGCAUCCAAUGGAGAAUUGAAGCCCAGCACUACACUGAUUGGGGACUUCUUAUUUGUCACAUAAUUAUCAUUAUUUAUUUCUUGUGCCAAAACAUAGAAGUCGGAGUUGAGUUGGACCACAGGGUUGUUAAUGUGAGCAAAAAUAUCUCAUUUGAUUAGGGUGGUUCUACACCUCGAAUGCAACAAACGUAGUACAAUUUAAGCAUGGAUUUGUGUUGUAAUUAAUGUAUGCGAAUAAAAUUCAUUGUGUGAUUGUAAAAAAAAAAGGUCAUUGAUUAUGACUUGUCUAAUUAUAAGGAAAUAGAAUAAAAUUUUCUCUUAAUUUCUUAAAUUGGAGAAUAAAAGAAGAUGGUAAAUUGUAAUUAACUUAUUAUACAGAAAAAAAAUUUAUGCUGUUUCUUCAGCUUUAUAAUUUUUUGGUGUGAAAAUUUUUUAUUUGCUUAAGAAUAAAAAUUUUAAAACGUGUAAUUUGAAAUAAAAACUUGAAGCGAAGGGAAAAAAAUGAAGAAAAUAUCAACAUAGUAGACGGAUUUUUUUUUCCUCUGAGGGGGUUAAGUGUUACAAAAUAGAAAUUAGUGGGUAAAAUGAGAAACAGGGCAUACCUUAGCAAGAUAAAUUGUAAUUAACCCGUAUUAUUAAUUAAAUAAAUCUUGUAUACACUGACAAUGCAUACACUUUCACCGUUAGAUUCAUGACACGUGUGCAAAAAUUAAAUUUCUAAUUUAAAUUUUAUAUAGUUAUCGUUAAUCCAAUGCUGAUAGCGUAUACACUAUCAGGGUAGGAAAAAUUAAUCCUCAUUAAUUUAUUAUUUGAUCUUAACUUCAAAGGUGGAACUAAUAUUAUGGACCAUUAACGGUCGUACAUGAGCCAUUAAUUCAGAACAUCUUUAGCUUAAACUCUGACAGCCACUAAGUUUUUAAAUUCCAUACUUAUACCCCUGAAGCAAAUGUUUUGAGUUUAUCUAUCUCUAAAAGGACAAACAGAUUAGGUAAAUGGCCAUUGCCCUUUUUCCCAUGUCUUUGCCAUCACACUUUAUUGUCCCAUUAGGGUGGAACGGACAAGUGAAAAUGCCAAUCAUUCAGAUCUUUUCAGAUUAAAGGGCUCCAGCAAGCAAUUAAUCAAUAAAGAUGAAGGCCCCAGCAACAGGAAUGAUUAAGAAAACUCAGGUGAAAAUGCCAAGCAACUUCCAAUGCAGAAGCAUCCAAUUCCAAGCUCGCCAACGAAGCAUUGCAAUCCUACACGACCGGAGGACUCUCAAUUGGUCACAUCAUGAACCUUUUUUUUUUGUUCUUGUGAAUAGAACAUAAUACUAGAAGUUGAGGUGGAGCCGAGGGUUGUUAAGAUAUAUACAAUAAGAUUAUGGUAAUUGUACACCUUCAAUGCAAUGACCGUACAAUUUAAACACGAGUUUGUGUUGUAAUGAAUAUGCAAAAAAAAAAGGGUUACAUUAUGGUUAAAAAAUUUUGCCAUAAAUUGUCUCAAGCAAUUACGCCCAAUAAUUGUUAAGGCACUUUUUUUAUCUAUUCAAUGAGAUUGAGAGAAAUGCACCGUUGAAGAUAUUCUCUGUCAAAAUUCAUUAGCCAAACAUUGCUCUUUAUUUAUUUAUUUAUUUUUGGAUAGCAUUGAAGCAAAUGCAUCAUUGUUAUUCUUUGCCAAAUUACGGCCAUCAGUUUUUUUUUUUCCUAUUAAAAGAUAGUGACAAUGGCACAUCAAUCUCCCCUCAAAGUGAACUCCACAUCUUUGGUAGUGUAAAACAAGUGGUUGAACUUUAAUUUUCUAAAACAAUACAACAGUGAACCACACAAGUACACUGUGCAUUCUUACUAUUGGCGUGAGUAUUGGGGUUGGUUAUUGUAACAUCUGAUAUUUGUAUGUAUGUUUGUGCAUAUAUAUAAGGGUGUAUUUGAUAAAAUUGAAGUUUGAAAAUUGAAAUCUAAAAUUUAAAAUCUGAAUUCAUUAAAUUAUUUAAUUAUUAAAUAUUAAAUCAAACACUUUUAGGUGUAUAUCACAUUUAGUGAUAAGUGAAUAGCUAGCUUAUCACUUAUUUUUAGGAGCAAAUUUUGAAAUUCUCCUCUUUGCUCUAAGUAUGCGUGUGUGAAAUUGAGUUAUCAAACACGACCUAAGUGUGCAUGUGUGUAUAAUGCUAUAUAAACGAGGAAACUUUGAUCUAGUGAUUAAUGUUGAGAAGUCAGGAAUUAGAGAUUCAGGAUUCAAUUCUCCUUUUUGCUUACUCCACUUCUUAAAUCUCCUCCUUGCUUACUACACUUCUUAAAUCCUAGAAAGCCUUGCUUUAGUGGUUAAUGUUAAAACUUCUUAAAUCUCCUCUUUCCUUACUCUACUUCUUAAAUCCUAUAAAAUUUGGUCUAGUAGUUAAGUUUGAAACUCCAAGAAUCAGAGGUCCAAGGUUCACUUCUCGUCUUUUCUCACUUCACUUCUUAAAUCCUACCAUUCAUCUGAUUUUUUUUUUUAAAAAAAAACUAUAUAAAUGUUUUUGAGUUUAUUUUCAAAAGACUCACUUCUUAAAUCCUGCCCUUACUCUGUUUUUCAAAAAACUUCAUUAACAAAUAUGCACUUUGAUUAGGAACGUGCAGCUUCUUGUCUGUCUGGUUUAUCUCUAAAGUAUUCCAGCCGUUAUUCUAGAUUUAUCAUGGCUAGUUAAAUUCAAAUGCUAUGUAGUAAUGAUUCCUCUGAUGUAGAAGUGGGUUUUUCUCCCUCCACCGCAAUUGAGUUUGAUUCUCCCUUAGUAUAUAAUAAUGUAGAAUUAGUGUAGAUGCUGUGGAUUCACGAAAUAAUUAAAUAAAAAAAAUAGAGAUGAAACUUCAACGGAUUAAGGGCUCAUAAUUUGUCGCAUAAUUAUUCUUGCGAAACUUUCUGCAUCCGUCUGUUGAAGCUCAAAUUUGGCAGCAAAACCAUAUCCGUUGAGGUUAACUUUGAAAUCGUAAUCCGUAUUGAAAUCUAACUUUGAAGUAAAUGUGUUGAGGUACGAUUUCUGAUUUAAUUUAGAGUAAAGAUAUCAUUGUUGAGAGGACGAAUAUGACUUUAUACUCUUGAAACUUGUAUCACUUGCUUACUUUGCAUUCUAAAACUUCAAUGCUAAUCACUUUACAUCCUAAAUUCUCAAUUUUUAACAUUUUACGCCCUAAAUUUCAAUUUUAUUCAUAGUAAUAGAAUACAUAACUACUUUAAAUAGUUAAAACCUUUCGCUUUCUUUUUUUUUUUUAAUUCUAAGUAAAUUAUUAUUAGAGUAAGUUGUUGGAAAAAUGGCUAUAUUCAUUGUAGAGUGAAUGAGAAAAUUGUUCUCAUAAUGGCACUCUUGAAAGAAUCCAGGAUAAUUAUCUAUCAUUCAUUCAUGUAUAUAGGAUUCAUGUAUAUUAAUUAUUGAUACAUGAUUUUGGAUAGGAUUCAUGUGUAUUAAUUAUUGAUACAUGAUUUUGGAUAGGAUUCAUUUGGGGUUAUCUUAUUGAGAUACAUGUAUGUACAUGAAUGUGGUCCUUUGAUAAACGUGAAGAUAAUUAUCUGGAAUUUAACACUUGUUGCCAAUUUCUAACAGUCACCCUUGGCCAGCAUCUAUAAAUAUCUCUUUUGUUUCAAAAGAAAGCGCGCUCUCUCUCUCCUUUUCCUUCUUGCAUCUGCAUCUUUUAUAGUGUUCCAUAUUGCUCUAGUUCGAGUUCGCUGGGGUGAAGAACGUUUGGUGCUGACAUAUUCGCCUUUAAUCCGUUGUAUCCUGGGAGACAGACGCCUACUCAACCUCAAGCACUCUACCUGGAGGGGGCGAAUCUGUUUUAAGGAAAUUGUGCUCACAAGCCUCGGAUUGUUAUUAUUAUUUUUCGAUCAUUUCUUUCUUUCUGGGUUGUAUUUAUUCUUCUCUAUUGUGUAUCAGCCUAUAUCUUUUAUUAUUUCACUAACAGUCUUAAAACAGAUUCGGUUCUCAAUGGCUGACAAUACAGGAAGAGAAACCAACACAUCUACUGUUGAUGCCUCUGCCUCUGGCACAAUUGUGAAACAACCUGAAGGAAAGAUUACUCCUACGGUUUCUACCAACCAUAGUGAGAAACCUGAGAAGUUCCAUGGCUCGAACUUCAAGACAUGGCAACAAAAGAUGUUGUUCUAUUUGACAACAUUGAAUCUCUCGAGAUUCUUAAGUGAGGAUGCUCCAAAGCUGCCUGGAGGCUUAACUGAUGCACAAGCUGUCAGUCCUAUUGAUGCUUGGAAGCACUCCGAUUUUCUUUGUCGAAAUUAUGUCAUGAACUGCUUGCAUGACUCGCUGUAUAACGUGUAUCAAAUACACAAGACGGCUAAGGGAGACAUGGAAAACAUGAACCUGACUGCUAUGGUUUCUGAAGUAAAUAUGAUAGGGUCAAAUCCGAAAGAAUGGUGGAUUGACACUGGAGCUACAAGACAUGUUUGUACAAACAAAGACUUGUUCACUACCUUCGAAAAAAUUGAAGGAGAAAAAAUGUUCAUGGGGAACUCUGCCUCAUCUGCUAUUGAAGGUCAAGGGAAGGUGUUACUAAAGAUGACUUCUGGCAAAACAUUGACUUUGAACGAUGUUUUGUAUGUGCCAGAAAUCCGCAAGAACCUUGUUUCUGGAUCGUUGCUGAACAAGCAUGGCUUUCGCAUGGUUUUUGAAUCGGAUAAAGUUAUAUUAUCCAAAUCUGGGAUGUAUGUAGGGAAAGGAUAUACAACCGAUGGGUUGUUCAAAUUGAAUGUACUGACUAUUGUGAAUAAUAAGAAUAAGUCUUCUGCUUAUUUGCUUGAGUCUUCCAAUUUAUGGCAUGGUAGACUAGGUCAUGUUAAUUAUGAUACUUUGCGUAGACUAAUUAACUUGGAUCAUAUUCCUUCCUUUCACAUCAAUUCAAACCAUAAAUGCGAGAUUUGCGUAGAAGCAAAAUUAACAAGGUCAUCCUUUCAAACAAUUGAAAGAAACACCGAACCCCUUGAAUUGAUUUACACAGAUGUCUGUGAUUUGAAAUUUGUUCAAACAAGAGGUGGUAAUAAAUAUUUUAUCACUUUCAUUGAUGAUUGCACAAAAUACUGUUAUGUGUAUUUGCUCAAAAGUAAAGAUGAAGCCUUGGAAAAUUUCAUUCUCUACAAGAAUGAAGUUGAAAAUCAACUUAACCGGAGAAUUAAAAGGUUAAGAAGUGAUAGAGGUGGUGAAUAUGAAACACCUAUUGGUGAUGACUGUGCAAAAUAUGGAAUUGUUCAUGAAGCUAUUUUGUCAAGCAAUUACCUUUUAAAUAGGGUACCCCGGAAAAAAUAAGAUAAAACUCCUUAUGAGUUAUGAAAAGGUAGGAGACCAUCCUACAAAUACUUGAAAGUGUGGGGGUGUCUUGCAAAAGUGGCUAUUCCAGUACCAAAGAGAAUAAAGAUAGGUCCUAGAACUGUGGACUGUAUCUUUAUAGGCUAUGCACAUAAUAGUACUGUUUAUCGAUUUCUUGUGUACAAUUCAGAAAUUUCGAAUAUACACAAAAAUACGAUAAUGGAAUCAAGGAAUGUUUCAUUCUUUGAAGAUGUGUUUCCUUGUAAAUCGAUUGGUGCAUCAAGUUCAUCAAAACGAACACAUGAAGUUAUGAAUCAAGAAAAUCAUGAUCAUGACUUGAUUCAACAAGAUGAACCGAGACGUAGCAAAAGGGUUAGAGUGGAAAAAUCAUUACCUUUUAAGCAAUUACCUUUUAAAUAGGGUACCCCGGAAAAAACAAGAUAAAACUCCUUAUGAGUUAUGGAAAGGUAGGAGACCAUCCUACAAAUACUUGAAAGUGUGGGGGUGUCUUGCAAAAGUGGCUAUUCCAGUACCAAAGAGAAUAAAGAUAGGUCCUAGAACUGUGGACUGUAUCUUUAUAGGCUAUGCACAUAAUAGUACUGCGUAUCGAUUUCUUGUGUACAAUUCAGAAAUUUCGAAUAUACACAAAAAUACGAUAAUGGAAUCAAGGAAUGUUUCAUUCUUUGAAGAUGUGUUUCCUUGUAAAUCGAUUGGUGCAUCAAGUUCAUCAAAACGAACACAUGAAGUUAUGAAUCAAGAAAAUCAUGAUCAUGACUUGAUUCAACAAGAUGAACCGAGACGUAGCAAAAGGGUUAGAGUGGAAAAAUCAUUUGGAGAUGAUUUUACAACUUUUCUAUUAGAAAAGGAACCACAAACCUAUACAGAAGCUGUAAGUUCUUCUGAAGGAUUUUUGUGGAAAGAAGCAAUAAAAAGUGAGGUUGAUUCUAUUUUACAGAAUCAUACAUGGGAGUUAGUGGAUCUUCCUCCUGGCUGUAGACCUUUAGGGUCCAAAUGGAUCUUUAAAAGGAAAAUGAAACCUGAUGGCUCUGUCGAUAAGUACAAAGCCAGACUUGUAAUCAAAGGAUACAAGCAACAAGAAGGUUUGGAUUAUUUUGAUACUUAUUCUCCUGUUACGAGAAUAAACUCUAUUAGAAUGAUUCUUGCUAUCGCUGCAUUGAGAAAUCUGGAGAUACAUCAAAUGGAUGUAAAGACGGCUUUCUUAAAUGGAGAUUUAGAUGAAGAAAUCUACAUGGAGCAACCUGAGGGUUUCAUAACUCCGGGAGCAAGAAAUAAAGUUUGUAAAUUAGUCAAAUCAUUGUAUGGACUAAAACAAGUGCCAAAGAAAUGGCAUGAAAAGUUCGACAAUGCAAUGAUAACUAAUGGAUACAGAAUAAAUGAGUGUGACAAAUGUGUCUACACUAAAGAAACAGACAAUGGCUAUGUCAUCUUAUGUCUUUAUGUAGAUGACAUACUUAUUGUUGGUAGUAAUGACAAAAUGGUCAAGUCUACCAAGGACAUGUUGAAUUCAAAAUUUGACAUGAAAGAUAUGGGGCUUGCUGAUGUAAUUUUAGGAGUUAAAAUUACAAGAAUAUCAGACGGGUUGGUCUUGAGUCAAACUCAUUAUGUGGACAAGAUUCUAGAAAAAUUCAAUAAGGAUGAUUCUGGAAUUGCAAGAACUCCAUUAGACAAUAGUUUCCAUCUAUCUAAGAAUAGAGGAGAGAGUAUUUCUCAAGCAGAAUACUCAAGAAUCAUUGGCAGUCUAAUGUAUUUAAUGAGUUGUACUAGACCUGACAUUGCAUAUGUAGUAAGCAAAUUGAGCGGAUUUACAAGCAAUCCGAGUGCUGAUCAUUGGAAAGCAAUUUUAAGGGUACUUAAAUACCUACGGUACACUCGGAACUAUGGACUGCAUUACACUAGAUACCCUACUGUUUUAGAAGGGUACGCUGAUGCAAAUUGGAUAUCUGAUAUAAAGGAUUCAAAAUUCACAAGUGGAUAUGUGUUCACACUUGCCAGUGGGGCAGUAUCUUGGAAGUCUUCUAAACAAACUAUUGUAGCUAGAUCUACAAUGGAAUCUGAGUUCAUUGCCUUGGACAAAUGUGGAGAAGAAGCUGAAUGGCUCCACCAUUUCCUUGAAGACAUUCCAAAAUGGGAAAAACCUGUGCCACCAAUAUGUAUUCACUGUGAUAGUCAAUCAGCAAUUGGAAGAGCACAGAAUAACAUUUAUAAUGGUAAGUCUAGACAUAUACGUCGUAGGCAUAAUACCAUUAGACAACUACUCUCAACAGGAGUUAUCUCUAUUGAUUAUGUGAAAUCAAAGGAUAACAUAGCGGAUCCGCUAACCAAAGGAUUGAAUAGAGAGUUGGUUGCAAAAAUGGCAAAGGGAAUGGGACUAAAGCCCAUGGAAGGCUAAGUGUUAUAAAGGAAACCCAACCUAGCUGACUGGAGAUCCCAAGAUCUAGGUUCAAAGGGACAACCUAAUUAUAAGGACUUAGCAUAGUCAUUGUGGGGGGAUAUCCCUAGACCCAUUCCAUAAUGAAACAAUGACGCAAAGGAGAAUUAAGGAUAGCACGAUGGUGUGCUUUAAUGAUUCUUAAGUGAAGUAAUUAAUUACUGAAGACUUAAGUAAAUCACCUAUGUGAGAGUGAAGUGGGGCCGCUUCAAAAGAGAAUUGUUUAGGGCUCAAUUCUUAAAAAACUCUUGCUGAACCAGGUUGAUGUUCAUGGCCAAAACGAACAUAACUAUGAGAACUGAACAAAUGGAGCAUGAUUCCUGUGUGAAAUAUAUGGUUCAUUUACACUAAAAAGCGGGACAGUUCAAAGACAUCAAGUCUACUGGAUUGCUAGUAAAGUAAGUAUAUUUCACAAGAGAAGGUUCAAAGGGUAACACCAACCUAUCUUAUGCAGGUUUCAGUCGUGGAACACUACUGUAGAGUCAAAUCAAAACAAAUUUUCCAUUCAUGUGGGGGAUUGUUGGAAAAAUGGCUAUAUUCAUUGUAGAGUGAAUGAGAAAAUUGUUCUCAUAAUGGCACUCUUGAAAGAAUUCAGGAUAAUUAUCUAUCAUUCAUUCAUGUAUAUAGGAUUCAUGUAUAUUAAUUAUUGAUACAUGAUUUUGGAUAGGAUUCAUGUGUAUUAAUUAUUGAUACAUGAUUUUGGAUAGGAUUCAUUUGGGGUUAUCUUAUUGAGAUACAUGUAUGUACAUGAAUGUGGUCCUUUGAUAAACGUGAAGAUAAUUAUCUGGAAUUUAACACUUGUUGCCAAUUUCUAACAGUCACCCUUGGCCAGCAUCUAUAAAUAUCUCUUUUGUUUCAAAAGAAAGCGCGCUCUCUCUCUCCUUUUCCUUCUUGCAUCUGCAUCUUUUAUAGUGUUCCAUAUUGCUCUAGUUCGAGUUCGCUGGGGUGAAGAACGUUUGGUGCUGACAUAUUCGCCUUUAAUCCGUUGUAUCCUGGGAGACAGACGCCUACUCAACCUCAAGCACUCUACCUGGAGGGGGCGAAUCUGUUUUAAGGAAAUUGUGCUCACAAGCCUCGGAUUGUUAUUAUUAUUUUUCGAUCAUUUCUUUCUUUCUGGGUUGUAUUUAUUCUUCUCUAUUGUGUAUCAGCCUAUAUCUUUUAUUAUUUCACUAACAUAAGUAUCAUAAAAAAUAAUGCAAAGUAAAGCAUUCAAUUGCUGAACUAAUUAGGUGAUGAAAUGACCAAGUCUCAUGAAUAAGGCGCGAAGCUGACCACCCACUGGAUGUUUCUGCGUACAAAUAAAACCAGCCAAGAAGCAAACUAAGUACUACAUUGGCAAUAAUUCAUCUAACCACCGGGCCAAGUGGCCAGGGCCGUAGGUGAAAGUUCGAACCUCACCUGCAGUGAAAAAAAUCUAAGAAUCGUGCUCUUUUGAUCUAGUUGGAUCUGUAUAUCCACUAGCUCCUAUUACAGCUUUCUUAGGCUCCUUCUCUCCCUUAGAUUAGGAUAGAGUAGGUUAUACAAAUAUACCGUUGCCGAAAAAAAAAAAAAAAAAAGACAAUAAUUCAUCUAGUAACAGGCCCCAGCAUUGAAUCAGAAAAAGACGAAGGCCCCAGCAACAACAACAGUGAUUAAGAAAGCUCAGGCGAAAAAGCCAAAGCAACUUCCAUUGCAAAAGCAUCCAAUUUCCUAUUGAAUUGAAGCCCAGCACUAGACUGAUUGAGGACUCCUUAUUUGUCACAUAAUUAUCAUUAUUUAUUUCUUGUACCAAACCAUAGCAGUCGAAGUUGAGUUGGACCGCAGGCUUGUUAAUGUGAGCAUAAAUAUCUCAUGUGAUUAGGGUGGUUCUACACCUCGACUGCAACAAACGUAGUACAAUUUAAGCAUGGGUUUCUAUUGUAAAUUUGUAAUUAAUAUACGCAAAUAAAAGUCAUUGUGUGAUUGUAAAAAAUGGAUAGCUGAUUAUGAAUUGUCUAAUUAUAAGGAAGUAAAUAAAAAUUUUCUGUUAAUUUCUUAAAUUGGAGAAUAAAAGAAGCCGGUGAAUUGUAAUUAAUCUGUUAUACAAAAAAAAAUAUGUUGUUUCUUCAACUUUAUAAAUUUUUAGUUUAAAAAUUUUUUAUUUGCUUAAAAAUAAAAUUUUUUUAAAUAAGAAUAAAAAUUUUUAAAAAUUUUUAAAAAUGUAAUUUGGAAUAAAAACUAGAAGGGAAGGGGAAAAAAGAAGAAAAUAUCAACAUUGUAGAGGGAUUUUUUUUUUCCCUCUUAGGGGGUUAAGUGUUACAAAAUAGAAAUUAGAGGGUAAAAUGAGAAACAUGACAUACCUUAGCAAGAUAAAUGGCAAUUAACCCCUAUUAUUAAUUAAAUAAAUUUUAUAAUACUGACAGUGCAUACACUCUCACAGUUAGAUUCAUGAUACGUGUGCAAAAAUUAAAUUUUAAAUUUAAAUUUUAUAUAGUUAUCAUUAAUACAAUGCUGAUAGUAUAUACAUUGUCAGUAUAGGAAAGAUUAUCCUUAUAAAUUUAUUAUGUGAUCUUAACUUCGAAGGCGAAACUAAUAACGGUCGUACAUGAGCCAUUAAUUAAGAACAUCUUUAGCUUAAACUCUGACAGCCACUAAGUUUUUAAAUUCCAUACUUAUACCCCUGAAGCAAAUGUUUUGAGUUUAUCUCUAAAAGGACUAACAGAUUAGGUGAAUGGCCAUUUUCCUUUUUCCCAUGUCUUUGCCACCACAAUUUAUUGUCCCGACAACCAUUCAGAUCUUUACAGAUUAAAGGGCUCCAGCAUUUACUCGAUAAAGAUGAAGGCCCCAGCAACAGGAAUGAUUAAGAAAACUCACGUGAAAAUGCCAAGCAACUUCCAAUGCGGAGGCAUCCGAUUCCAAGCUCGCCGACGAAGCAUUGCAACUACACGACCGGAGAACUCUCAAUUGGUCACAUCAUGAGCCUUUUUUUUUCUUUGUGAAUAGAACAUAAUACUGGAGGUUGAGGUGGAGCAAAUGCAUCAUUCAAGUUAUUCUUGGCCAAAAUUCAUUCAUCAUUUUUUAAAAGGCUCCAUGAAAGUGAGCUCGACAUUCUUGGUUGUGUGUAAGUUUAAAAGGCUCACUUCUCAGAAAUUUUACAAUUUAAUCGAAGUACUUCAUAUCUCAAGAUACCAUUGAUUCUUAUUUUGUCUUUUCAAAAAUAAAAGUUCACGUAAUUUGACAUCACAAGCCUGAUUACUGAGACACAAAGGCAAGCAUAAGUGUUUUACAUGGUUUUCAAAUUAAGAAUAUUUUAUAUAUUCCCCAAAAAAUCUAAAAAAAGAAAAAAAAACUUCCUUUCUUGCUUGAACAAUUGCAUUGUAACGCAUUCUAUUGUUGGGCCAAUUAAGCCUCAUGAACGAGACACGAAGGUCAUUGUCUCUGAGUAAAUUUCCAAAUCCAGCUGCCUUUUGAAGCUAGUUCCCAAAACUUGAAUGUUUUUAAGUAAGGAACGCAUUCGCUAUAUCCAAUGUUUAGAAAUUUAGAAAAAAUUAUAGUUUUACUCCUUACUGUUUAGUCUCUGUGCAGUUUUAGAUCUUGAAGUUUCGGCAAAAAGUAAAUCUAGUCGUCAAUGUAUAGUAUAUGUACAGUUUUAGUCCCUAAAGUUUUGGCAAGAGCAAUCCGAUUUUCAAUGUCACCAAUUUGAAGCAUUUUAAGGACCAUUGCUAAAUUUUUUUAAACAUUAAUCAAAUCAAUCACUUGCGGGUGCAGUCACAUAUUUGUUGAAAAACUUCUUAAAAGAGAAUCAAAGUAAUGAGUAAUCUUUAACAAUAAGAAUAAUUGGCAUGCUAACACAUUAGUCACUAAUUGCUCAAGAGAAAAGAAAGACAAUUUCUUAAUCUACACUAAAAAUUAGGAAUCACAAUUUUUUUUUUACUUGGAGACACUAGAGAUAGUUAGUGAAAAUGAAUUCUAGAUCGAUGAACACUUCGUAUAUUGAAGUUUUAGUUUAAAAAGUUUCCUUCUUUUUACUGGUUAAAUAGUUAACAAAUGAGUUCUUAAUUUUGUUGCUUAAAGUUAGCUACUAUUUUGCUUCUUUAUUUUGAAAUUUAAUUUAAUAGGCAAUUGACCAGACAUGACUAAAUUUUGUUAGUAAUUGAGAUAAAAUUCUUCAAAUGUCCUAAAUCAGCUUUAAAUUGAAUAUAAACGGGACCAGACUUGCUCUUGCUAUAACUUUAUGGACUAAAACUGCACAUGUACAAAAUAUUGAGGAUCACGAUUGCUUUUGUUAAAACUUUAUGCCUACUAAAACUGAAUAUUAAGAAUUAAAACAAUCAUUUUGUUCAAAAAUGAAAAAUUUAUGAAAAGUGGCAUUCAGCAAAUGCAACUCUUCUACAAUUAUGAUUGGUCCAAUGGUCAAGAGCAGCCGACUCUUCAACUCUUUUAACGCAUUCAUCAUUGUGUACAAAAGCAGCCAACUGGCAAAAUAGGUACUACAUUGACAAUAAUGGCGAACUUUUUGGUCUCUGGUUUCUUACGAGACGGAGUAACCACCCCAGCGUCAACCACUUGGCCAAUGCAUGCUUCAGUGGCCUCCUUCCUUGGACUUACAGUGAAGGUUCGAACCUUACUUGCAAUGAAAAAAAUCGAAAAAUUAUGUCAUAGUAUUCAUGUUUCUUUAGACUCCCUUUCCAGCCCUCUCCUUCGAUUAGAAUAGAAUAGAUUAUAUAAAUAUAUCAUUGUCCCAGUGUCAAUCAUUGGGGCAAUGAUUCAGUAGCCACCAGGGAGGGACUUAAGUCCCUCCUUGAGCUGUAGGUGAGGUUUGAACUCUCAUCUGCAGCGAAAAAAAUCGAAAAAUUGUGUUAUAAUACUCUUUUAAUUUAAUUGAAUCUGUAUAUUCACUAGUUCUGACCAUAGCCUUCUUAGAUUCCUCCUUUCCCUAGAUUAGAAUAAAGUAAAUUAUACAAAUGUGUCGUUACUGUUAAAAAAAAAAAAAAAAACCACCCCAGCAGCGUGGUCAUUUGUAAAACCAAGAAAAUGCCAAGCAACUUCCAUUGCAAAAGCAUCCAAAUUUCCCAUUGAAUUGGAGCACCCACGGCACCGCACUGAUCGAGGCCCCCUGAUGUCUUUUCAAGUAUUCUACCGGAACAGCUGAUGGCCGCCUCCAUUGACCGACAAAAUUUGUCACGGCCGACAAAAUUUGGUCUAAGCUUUCGUACAGCUAUUCUUUAUCAAAUCAUGCAACAUAUAUUUAUUUGUAAACCAGACUCUUGGUGCCCUCUUUUUCCUUCAAGAUCAGGUAACCUCCUCUUCUAUUCAUAGUUCCUUCAUUGUAUUAUGGAUACAUUGGCAAGGGGCAUAUGAUGGAAUUCAUUUUUGUCAUAUGAAUUUUCAAAAUUCCUUAAUGAAUUAAAUUUAAAAUUUCACAUGUUUUAGUUGUUUCUUGGUCUUCAAUAAUUUUUUUUCAAAAUUAUCCCUCUUCAAUAAUAUCUAAGAAUCUGGACAAGUAGGAUGAGAGAUUAUGAUGUAUGCAUUUCUAGGGAAGUUCGUUAAUUUGCAUUUGGAUCAAAGUUUAAACAAGUUGGAUAAUUGAUAAUUUAUUCCCGUUGAAUCAUCUUAGACAUCAAUUUAUGCUGCACUUAGUACUGAUCUUAAUCACUUACAACCAUGAUCAGAUUAUAACCAAUUAAUGGCUUGACAUAAUCACUCACAACAACCUUUGCCGGUUCUUUUAGUUGGAGUAAGGCAGCAUACGACAUGAAAUAAUUGAUUUGUUUCCAACUAGUAGUGGGUGGCAAACUAUGAUCAUAUUUUAAGGACUUCGUAUAUACAGUAAGGUGGUCUGAUUUGCAACAAAUUUAUUAUUUUAGUUACCUACUGACUCAUAAAAACAAAUACACUAACAUUAAUACUUUUAGAUGGAUAAGAAAUCACACGAAGAUUCAAAUCAGUUUCACAUCCAACAAAAACAAUGACAAUUAGUUGGUGUUGACGUUAUUUGCCAUGUAACAAAAUUGAUCAUGCCUCAAAGGAUUUGUUGCACAAAUUAUGUUGAAUGACCCAUUGGGUAUCGAUCUAAACAAAGUCAGAAUGUGCAAAAGGAAAUAUUGAUACAACUUAGAACAAAUUAGAUAUGUUGACUCAACAAACAUUGACAAAAAAUUCCUAAUUUUGGCCAACUUGGAUAUAUAAACUUAAGUGGUGAUGUGAGGUGAAAAAUUAGGGGCAACAUGGUGGAACACUGGUCUAGGGGAAUUAUAUGAUAAUUAUAGUUUAGAUGGAGUAAAUUAAUAAGCUCUUGACUUAAACCUGAAGGUGUUUAAAUUUCCUUUGGCUUAAAGGCGUUUAAACCCGAAGCUGUUAGUUUUGUUGCAAUUAUUUACUUUAGAAGAACUUUUUAAUAUAAGGGCACUGUUGUAAAAGUAACAAGGUAGACAAUCCUUUCCUCUCACUCCUCCCAAGUCUCAAACAAAACCAAAAAAAUCAUUUCUUUUCUUUUCUUUUUUAAGUUCCCAAACAACAUUGAAGGAAACUUGUCUAAAUUAAUUAGUCAAACAUUCUUUAUGUUCAUAUAUAUAUAUGAGUAAAAUCCAAGGUUGUGUGAAAUUUAAAAAAUUUAAUAAUCAACAGUUCUACAAUUUGGACAAAGAAUCUCAAGAUUUCAUUAUUGAGAACACAAACCUCACUAUCAAGACACUAAGGUGACCAUCCGCUACACCUCUCAAAAUUUCUACUACACAGGAAGCAAAUUAACUGGUUUAAAAAGAGGGGUCUGUUUUUGUUUAUUAAUUUUCGCUACCUUAAUUCCCUAAUUGAGGAAUGAUCUGAUAAAAGUUUCACCACCUACUCUUUUUUUUUUUUUUUCCCCCCGGAAACGUUAGAAGGUAACAGUUUCACCACCUACUCAGAUUGCUACAAUUUAUGAGUUCCAAUUUUCUUUUCAUCCAACCACAGUGGUUUAAUUUCUUCCACACUUAAGGGCCCCACCAGUGACUAAGUCAGAUUGCGCUAAAAUUAUUUUGAGGUGACCCCACACAAUUUGAUUAAUCGCAAUUAUACUAAUCUGAAUCUCACACGUCAACCAACUGGAAUCGUUUAAUCAUCUCUCUCUUGUUCUGACUGGCUUCUAUUCUGAUUUCUGCCAAUUGUUGCUGAAACAUUCCUUCCAUCUCUGAUAUCAGAAAACCUUUCGAUCCAAGUUCCAAUUCCAAGCAAGAAACAAUGGCUGACGCUGUUAUCAGUGCUACUGUUGAGGUCGUCUUGGGGACACUUAUUUCCAUUGCUGCGGGCCGCAUUGGUAUGGUUCGGGAGGUCGAAGCGGAGUUGGAGAGACUAAGCAACACUGCUGCAAUGAUCCGAGAUUUCUUGGCUGAUGCUGACGGGAAAAUGCAUACCCAAGGGGUGCGACAGUGGCUCAAGCAGCUAGAAGAUGAGGUUUUUAAAGCUGAUACCGUGCUAGACGAGCUCAACUACGACAAUCUUCGUCGGGAGGUGAAGUACCGAAAUCAACCAAUGAAGAAGAAGGUAUGCUUCUUCUUCUCCUUCUUUAAUGCAAUUGGCUUUAGUUCCAGCUUGGCUUCAAAGAUCCGGGACAUCAACACCAACCUAGAAAGGGUCAACCAGCGAGCCAAUGAGUUGAGAUUGACCAAAAAGCAGCAAAAAGAAGCUGCACUCCCUGCUGAUGCCGCUGGUGCCAGACAGACCGACUCUAUUGCCGUUCCGAACGUUGUAGGAAGAUCCGGCGACGAGUCAAAGAUUGUGGACAUGUUAUCGAGCCCAUCUGAAAAGGUUCUUUCUGUUAUUCCCAUAACAGGCCCGGGAGGUUUGGGAAAGACAACUCUUGCUAAAUCAGUCUACAAUAAUCGAAAAUUAGAUGGGCACUUUGGCCAAAAAAUUUGGGUUUGUGUGGCUAAAGAACACAUUAAGAUACUGGAGCUGUUCAAGCUCAUUUUAGUACAAUUGACACAAGACGAAGUUAAAGUGGAUGACAGAGAGGUUAUCGUUAAAAAAAUUGAAGAAAAGCUCAAGGGAAAAAAAUAUUUCCUUGUUCUUGAUGAUGUGUGGGAUCAUGAUCAAGGAUUGUGGAAUGAUUAUUUCAACACUUUGAUGGGACUCAACGAAACCAAAGGAAGCUGGUGUCUUCUCACUACUCGUCUACAACCAGUGGCUAAUGCUGUGCCUAGACAUUUGCAAAUGAAUGAUGGUCCUUAUUCCCUAGGAAAGCUAUCAGAUGAUGCAUGCUGGUCCAUCAUAAAAGGAAAGGUGAUAAGUGCAGGCGAAGAAGUACCAGAAGAAUUGGAAGCAUUGAAGGAGCAAAUUUUAAGGAGAUGCGAUGGCCUACCCUUGGCGGCAAGUUUGAUUGGUGGCUUGAUGCUUACCAACAGAAGAGAGAAGUGGCACUCCAUUGUGCAGGAGAGUCUUUUGAAUGAAUAUCAAAGCCAAAUUAAUCAAAUACUUAAGGUGAGCUUUGAUCAUUUAUCAUCUCCAUCAGUUAAGAAAUGUUUUGCAUAUUGCUCAAUUUUUCCCCAGGAUACUCAAUUACGAGAAGAUGAACUAAUUCAGCACUGGGUUGCUAAAGGUUUUGUUCUAAAGAAUAAUAGAGUGAUGGAGGAAACAGGAGGCGAGUAUUUGAGGAUUUUGUUGCAAAAUUCCUUACUGGAAAAAGUCCAAGAGCCGCUGUGGGAAACAUAUUAUUAUAAAAUGCACGAUCUCGUGCAUGAUUUUGCAAAAUCAAUUCUCAAUCCAGAAAGCAGCAAUCAGGAUCGCUACCUUGCAUUGGACUCUUCUAAAGGUUUGGAAGAAAAUACCACAAGGACAAUACCAGCAUCAAUUCGCACGUUAUUUCUCCAUCUAGAGGGUGGCGUAUCUACUGACAUGCUUUUAAGAUUCAAGUGCUUGAAUGUUCUCAGAUUGUCCGGCGAUGAUGUCAAGUUUCUGCCGAGCUCCAUUGGCAAACUACCAAGUUUGCGGUUGCUCGACAUUAAAUCUUCUAGAAUCAGAAGUUUGCCGGAAUCUCUUUGCAAGCUAUAUAAUCUGCAGACACUAACUGUGAGAGAUUAUGCACUUGAAGGAGGUUUUCCAAAACGGAUGAGCGAUUUGAUUAGCUUGCGGCAUCUAAACUACCACGAUGGUGAUGCGGAAUUGAAAAUGCCGGUGCAGAUGGGACGAUUGACUCGUCUUCAAACUCUGGGGUUUUUUAAUGUAAGUCAAGAGAGGGGUCGUGGUAUCGAAGAGCUUGGGACCUUGAAAUAUCUGAAAGGAUCGUUGAGGAUAAGAAAUCUUGGACUAGUGAAGGGCAAAGAAGCAGCUAAACAAGCAAAAUUGUUCGAAAAGCCAAAUCUGUCUUACUUGGCGUUUAGUUGGGAGAGUGGGGAUCGGGCAAGCGAUAACCGUGAUGAGGAUGUGUUGGAAGGUCUCCAACCUCACCCAAAUUUGCAAAGGCUGGGAAUUGAUUCUUUUAUGGGUAAUAAAUUUCCACAAUGGCUUAUCAAUUUGUCAAAAUUGGAGGAAUUGGUGAUAGAAGACUGCCAGAGAUGCAGCGAACUCCCCUCAUUAGGACAACUGCCAUCCCUCAAACGUCUCUAUUUGAUAAGAUUGGACAACAUUCGAUUUAUUGGAGAUGAAUUCUACGGUAUUACUGCUAAUGAGGAGGAGGAGGAGGAGGGCAGAUCACGAGCAUCAGGGAGCAGCACUAGAAGGCGAAAAUUCUUUCCUGCCCUUGAAGGACUCUGGGUAAUACGUAUGGGGAAUUUGGCAGAGUGGAAAGGUGCAGACCAAGUGAGGUCAACAGUAGGUGAAGCAGAAGCAGACGUCUUUCCCAUGCUGAUGGAUUUUCACAUUGUAAGUUGCCCACAACUGACCACUCUUCCAUGCUCGUGUAAAAGUCUACACGUGGAGAGUUGCGAUAAUCUAACAAGUAUAAAAAUGGGUUACGGCGCUGCUUCUGUUGAGGAGUGGUGGAUCGACUCUUGCGACAAUCUUAGGGAGCUGCCAGAUCUGGAUCUGUUUGGAUCGAGUUUGCAGCGAUUGACCAUCGCAAGUUGCCCAAGAUUAAUUGACCAUCACUUGAAGGAGGAGAUUUCAAGUGAUCCGGUGAGAUUUUCCUAUCUAAAGUUCACACGCAUAUAUAUGUGUAUAAAUUUUUUGUAUCUGCAUCUCAUUGACGUAUAUUUGCUCUUCAGUCUCUUGUACUCUUUUUCUCCAUCUCUUUUCUGCAAAGUUAUUCUCUGUAAUUCUCUUCUUUUGGGCAGACCUUGGUUUCUUUUCAAAGAUUAGUUUUAACAAAGCCUGGUUUUGAGCAAAUAGGAAGAGACCAAAAUUCUGGAUUUUCUCUGCAUCUCGCCAUUGAAAGAUUUUGAACAUCUUAAAAACUCAACUUGUUACCUUCUAUUUGGCCAAGAACGAAAUUAUUUGCAACGGUGCAUACACAGUUAGCCUCUUUGUUUGAAUGUGUUAGCAAAUGUUUCAUUGCAUGUGCAAUGCUAGAUGUACAUGGGAGCAUUCAUCAUUUUUCUGUCACCGAUAUUGCCAGUCUGAAUGGACAACAUUAAAGCUAAUCAAGAAACAACUGUGAAGAAAAUUCAAGAUGCAAUUUGCUAUUCUUUGGGACUCUGUGUUCUUAUUUCUAUAUCAGUCUCCUUGAAGUUCAAAUAUGUUUGUUGAUGAACUAGAGUGCUGCAAACCUUCACCCCUCACAAUUGGUGAUGCAUGCUUCAUAAGAAUGACAAUAAUAUGGGAUGGUUGUUUAUCAUCUUUCAGAAGUUUGAGAAGUUUGUACAUCACAAUUACCUUGUUUUUUUUGUUCUGUGAGCUGAAUUACUAUAUUGUUACCUUGUCUAGCAGUGACCGAACAAGAAGGCAAUAAUGGUGCUCAAACAUUAGUUUCAUGUUGAUUCCCAUCCUUGCUGAAGAAGGAGAAACCAGAAGGUAUGAUGGUUCUCAAACAUCAGCUUCUCUCCCCAAGAACUCUUUUUAACCUCCGCCCAAUUUAUUAAAAAUACAAGGAAACUAGUGCAAGUUUUUAUCAAAGUAUGCUUGAGUCAUGCAAUUUGCCAGAAAACAGGGUGUUUUUUUGUACUUUCAUGUACUUUUGAACAUUUGUCCUGUGCUAUAUAGCUUAGUUUUUAAUCUUUAAGAUUGUACAUUUACUAGGUGCUUAACAUGUCAUUUGAUUGUGAAAGAAGCUGGUUUAUUCCAUUUUCUUGUACUGGUUACUAGACCAUACCUUUUCUUUGCAUUCCUUAGCUGUCAUAACUGAAGUCAUACUGAAGUGUAACAUUACGAUGGUAUUUUCCAGAGUCUUAGAAAGCAGACCUCAUGUUGUUCGACAAAGACACCACCCUUUGCUGUUGCAUUUCUUACAAGAGUGCCAGGGGGCAGAAGUUAUUUUCACUGACUAGAUAGGUUUGAAGAUGAAGUUAGUAAUCAAUGAUGAGAAUUUUGCACAUCAGAGAGUGCUAGCUUUGACGGAGGCUUCACCAAUAGGUAGUUCUCCCCAGGUUUCCCAAACAUAAGUUUUUGCUCAUCUCCUGCUCGGGGUGUAGAAAGAAUGGUAAUAAUUUAGCUUGUUCAUCUUCAGGCAGUUUUCAUAGCUUUUUUAUCUGCAUUCUUGAUAUAUAUUUAGUAAAUAAAUCACCAAAACAUUUUUUUUGCCCUUUGGUGUAGCAUGCUGAUCGCUGAACAAAUUGGAAGAGACCAAAAUUUUGGGUUUUCUCUGCCUCUCUGAACCACUGAAAGAUUUGAACAUCUUAAAUCUCUUUAACUUCAACUUGUUACAUUCUAUUUGGCCAAUGUCAAAAUUACUAGCAAUGGUUCAUAGCCAAUUAGCCUCUUCGUUUGAAUGUGCUACAAAAUGUUUCAUUUGAUUUGCAAUGCUAGAUGUACAUGGACAUAUUCUUCAUUUUUCUGUCACUGAUAUUGCCAGUCUCAAUGGAUAACAUUUAAGCUAAUCGAGAAACGAUUUUCAAAGAAAAUUCAUGACACAAUUUGCUGUUCUUUGGGACUCUGUGUUCUUGUUGCCAUAAAAUUAGACCAGUCUAAUUGAACUUCAAAUAUGUAUGUGGAGGAACUAGAGUGCUGUGAACAUUCACCCCUUACAAUUGAUACUGCAUGCUUCAUAUCAAUGACAAUAAUUUUUUUUUUUCAUGACAAUAAUGUUGGAUAGUUGUUUAUCAUCUUUCACAAGUUUGAAAAGUUUAUACGUCACAAUUGCCUUGAUUUUCUGUUCAGUGAGCUGGAUUACUGUAUUGUAACCUUGCAUAUGAGCAAUGCAAGGAAUGAUGGUGCUCAAACAUCAGCUUCGUGUUGUUUUCCAUUGCUGCUAAAGAUGAAGAGCUCAGGAGGUAUGUGGUGCACAAAAGUGAUAAUCCAGCACUUCUCUCCCCGAGAACUCUAAGUUUGCAUUCUAAUAUGCUUAAGUCAUGUAAUUGGCAUGAAAACAGGGUGUUUUGCUGCACUUUUGUUUGUUUUUGAAUGCUUACCCUGUGCCACAUAGCUUAUCUUUUGCUCUUGAAGAUUUUUAUGUUUAUUUGGUGCUUAACAUGUGUUAUGAUUGUGAAAGAAUCUGGUUUUCAAUUUUCUUGCACUAGUUACCAGUCCAUACCUUUUCUUUGCUUUCAUAAUUUGCCAUGAUUGAAGCUGUUCUGAAAUGUAAUAUUAUGAUGUUUAUUCCAGAGUCUUAGGAAGCAGACCUCAUGUUAUUGGAAAAGGACACCACCGUUUGCCGUUGCAUUUCUUACUAGAAUGCCAAGGGACAGAAGUUAUUUGCAUUGAGGGUUUGAAGAUGAAGGCAGUAGUUAUCAAUGAUGUUAAUUUAGCUCAUUAGAUAGGAUUAGCUUUGAUGGAUGUUUCACAAAUAGUUGGUUCUCCCCAGGUUCCUCAAACAUAAGUUUUUCGGUUUCUCCUGGUCAGAAUGCAGAAAGGAAGGUAAUGAUUUAACUUGUGUGUCUUCAGGGCAGUUUUUAUAGUUUCUGAUCUACUUUCUUGAUAUGUAUUUAGUAAAUCUAUUACCAAAACUUUUUUUCUUUUUGUUGAUUUCUGAACUGAAAAUGGCUAGUAGCAGGCUUGUAGAGUGUGACAUGGAUGAAGAAGAAAGAGAGGGGAGCAUCAUCCGAGCAUGGAAGCUGAUACUGGAGACCUAUCAAGAUGCGCAGCUGAUUAUAGUCAAACUGGACUGAUGGAUGUUUGUGACAGUAGACACAAUAAAUUGGAUAAACAAUCAAUUUGGAGCAGUGAGAAAUGUAGAUGCAAGAAGUCUUGAAUUGCACAAAGAUCCAAGGAAGAGCAUAUUUUGUGAAGAAUUAACACUUUUUAAAAUAUGGCAUUUCAUACUUUUGGUGUAUCAGAAUGUGACAAGUCCUGAUAGUAAGUACGUUUUCUUCAUCUUUUAUAGGGAGUAAAAGUAUGUCUAGAGACCAUACUUGCAAGAUUUCCUACCCUUUUUUAGUUAGACAUUUGAUAGAGAGAACUUUUCCUCUUCAAAUAAUCAUUUUUAUUAUCUAUGAUAGGUGAAAUUGCUUAUCAAUUUUACCUGAUACUGCGAAAUUGCUUUGGGUUCAUAAACAAAUCAUAACAGUAAAAUCUAAAUGAUGAUCUUAUUGUUAAAGGUUUUAUAUAAGAAUAGGUACUUAAUACAAAUGAAACAACGUAUAUUAUUGAAAUUUUCAUCAGUAUUGAGUAAAUUAGACAAUUGUAUUCAAUAUUGUGGUCGUAUUAUAAUUUUUCUCUUCUCUAAUUCGCCUACGCUGCCAUUGAAGUUUUAACAAAAAUGUCAUACAAUUCUAACAACUAGAGUUGUCAACAAUUGAACUUGGUACUGACUAGUAUUAUUAUUUUUUUUUUUUUGUCAAAGAUAACAGUAGCAUUAUUCUCAAAGAUAUGUGUAAAUUCCAUCUUAUCUUGCUAAUGUCAAGAGCCUAAUCUUCAAGACAAAAAAUUUAUUAAAGCCGUUAAAUUAAGUAUUUGUACUAAGAUUUUUAUUUUCCUCUUUCUUUCAAGUAAGGUGGGGAGAGAUGAGCAAUCCAUAGCAUUCUUCAAUCUUCGAUUUAGAGAAUUGGAGUCUUUUCUUUAAGGGUGCGUUUGAUAAAAUUGAAAUUUAAAAUUUGAAAUCUGAAGUCUGAAAUCUAAAUCCAUUAACUACUGAAUUGUUAAAUACUAAAUUUGAUACAUUUAAAUGUAUAUCACAUUAAGUGAUAAGUGAAUAACUUAUCACUUAUUUUUUAGAACAAGUUUUGCUUUGGAAAUUCAUUGCCACUUAAUUAAUCCAUGUGUUUUAGUUUUAGUUAUCGAACGCAUCUGAACAUAAUUUAAGUGCUAAAUUGGAUUAUCAAAUAGAAUUCAAGUUUAACAGAAUUUCAACUAAAAAUCAAUAGGUUCAUUGAGCUAACAUAAUUUGCUAAUAAUAAUAAUAAUAAUAAUAAUAAUAAUAAUUUCAAAUAUUAUUCAGAGAAAUGAGACAUGAGCCUUUAGUCUUCAUUCUCCAGUUGAACUUAGACGUUUUAGACUUUUAGUGGAGCGCUUCUUUCAGGUAAAAAUAAAUUUCAGUAAAGCAUUUAAAUAACUAUAGAAAACAUAUUGAUUCCUAUGCUGUUGAACCUCUCAGUAAUUAUCGAAGAACCUUUUGCAAUGGUAUCCUGCCAAGAGAUUCAUAAUCCAUGCUAUAUUGCGUGUUGAAAAUCAUACAUAAAAAAAAACCUUGCCCAAUCCUACAAAAAUCACAAUACUGUAGUACAUAUAAUCAGUUAACUUCUGGUUUUCGUGGAGUACAACUGUUUGACCCAUUUCUUUAGCCCAAAAUAAAAUUUAUAAGUAGCAAAAGAAACUGACCAUAUGAUCAAAACAGUAGGGCAUAAUACACUUUGCCCUCAUGUAAUUUAACGUUUUUUUUGCAUAAUCUCCCAUAUGGUUUCAAAGUUACGCAUACCCUUUUCAUGAUUUGGAUGAAAAUGUCAAAAUAACAGAAUUUAUAUUCUAGGGUUAAUUCCACUUUGUCCCCCCAAACUUUGGACGAUUACCCACUUAAGUCCCUAAACUUCAAAAUGAGACACUUAAGUCCCUAAACUUAUAAAUACCUCUCACUUAAGGAAAAUUGUUAACAAAUCCUGAAUGCCGUUGGUGGUCGAAGUGUCCUAUUUUAUAAGGGUUUAGGGAUUUAAGUAUCCCAUUUUAUAAGUUCAGGGACUUAAGUGGGAGGUAUUUAUAAGUUUAGAGACUUAAGUGUCCCAUUUUGAAGUUUAGGGACUUAAGUAGAUAAUCGUCCAAAGUUUGGGGGGACAAAGUGGAAUUAACCCUAUAUUCUAUAAUGGAGUCAACUAAAAUGUUAACAGUAUCUCUAUAUAAAGUUGAAAAUUAUUUAUUAAUCACGGAAGUUUAUGUAUAUAAUUUAAAAAUUAUAAAGGGAUUAUAUGGUAAAACAUUAAAUCAUAAAAGAGUUAUAUAAUAAACCAUAAAAUCAUACGAGGUUAAAGUAUCAUACAUAUUAUAUAUUUUGGUCAUUUUAAUCAUUUUAAUUUUAAACAAGAGUAAUUUUGACAUUUUCAUGGAUUCCAUUACCAAUGAUCAUUUCCGUCACUUUGAUACUUUAAUUUAGAGUAUGAGAUGGUAAUAUAUAGCUUUUAAAGCUAUAGAGAAGUUUUGUAAAAAAAUUGCUAAACUACAAGGGGUCAAGUGUAUUUUGCCCAAAAUAGUAAUACUAGAUUCAAUCUAAUGAAAUCCUCUAUGGAUUGAAAUUGCAAAAACCCUUUUCCCUUGGCAAGCCGGGACUUUCUUAUUUACAAGGGAUUCAAUUCUGCAAUUGCUUAACUCGAGCUGAAAUCGUAUUGCACCAUGAACUUUCAAAUCAAACAGGAGAACGAUGCCGCCUACUCAAAACCAUUAAAACUAUGUUGAACAGAGUUUGAGACAAGGACUACUGCAGGUGGCAACUCUCCAAAAAGGUUGACCGUCAUGAUUUGGUUUAAAAAAAAUAUUAGGAUCAAAUCACAUCUUGUAAAUAAAUUUUAACACCAUUUAUGAGGUCCAUAAAAUUUUAUUCUAUAUUUAUAAGUCGCUGAAAAUAAGUUACAUUCUAAAUAAAGUGAGUUAUAUUCUGUGCAAAUGAAACAAAAUUGGCCCAAAUAAUUUUUCUGACAACCAUUUGGAUCCUUGGUCCAUGGUAAACUUAUUACAAUACAUAGAGAGGGCUUCUCUUAUAGACUAUAUAUCGCUGUACACCAUUACACUAAUAAUUGAGUCUGACUUGUGAGGUUGGCAACUGUGGUCCAUAUAUAAUAUAAUUUUCAUAAGACAUACUUGGUUUCUAAAAUGUCCUUCACAUUUUGUUAAAUAAAUUAUUUCAUCCUUCACUUUUAAAAUAAUAACUUUAUAUUUCAUACAAAAUCAAAUCAGUAAAAUUUGGUUCCAAUCGAGAUUUUUUACCACAUUUUAUCCUAAAUCCAUCAUGUAACCCAUAUGCAAUCAUUAUUUAUGUAUGGAAAGGCUGAUCAGUUGCAUGGUAAAAAAUUACUCACUAAUGUACGAGGAGAGUCUCUGAUGCCACAUCAUAUAUUUGCACUUAUUAGUGUAAAAAAUUUUAACAUUGAUAGUGUAUACAAUAUUAAUUCUAUAUAUUUAUUAAUUCAAAGAAUUAUUGGAUUAGAAAAUUCAAUGUGCAUUCAUAUACAUAGAUCAAGAAAAGAAAAUAAAAAGUGCAAGGACAAUUGUAUAUCUUUCAUAUUGUAGGUUUCGAGCUUAUAUGUCUUGAUUGGGUUAAGGUUGUGGUUUUUGAUAUAGAUUUGAAUCAACUAUCGUAAUAUAGAGGGCAAAGAUUAUGGUUAGAUUAGUAGAUGCCCUUAUAUCCUUUUCAAGUGGUCUACUUGAAUUUGUUUAAUAAGAUUGGAUCCGAAAUAGAGGAUGAACUACAUUCAACACAGGAUAUGGUAUUAAGAAGUCGGUGACGUUGAAUUAGAGUAAACUAAAAUUAAGAAAGGACUUCACUUAAAAGUGUCAAUAGUCUUUGUUUUGGCAAACCUUAGGAGAGAUAAAUAUAGUUGAUCGAUAUGAUUAGAAUAAUAUACCAUCCAAAUCUAUUGUCAGUUGAGGUACCACAUAUGUUACAUUUAUGCAUUCAAAUCUACCAAUUGUGAUGCUUUAACAGCACAUUCUUGAUUAUGUAAAUAGUUAUCUAAUUUUUUUAUGCUUUGAGGGAUAAUUUCUAAAAGUUAGUUUUUUUAAGAGUAAAAUGUCCUUUUUUUUCUUUUUUUUUUUUGAAAUAUAAAUUCUAGCCAUAUAUAGAUAUGUGAGUUUGCUUUAGUAAUAUAGCGAUUUAGUAAUAUGCGUUUGGUUCCCUAUGGAAUUGGGGUUUAGAAUUGGAAUUGGGCCCUAAUUCCAAUUCCAUUGUUUGGAUUCUGCUCCCCUCAAAGAAUUAGAAUUGAAUCUGAAUUCUAUAAGAGUCCAAUUCCAUGAAUUGAAUUCUUUACCGGAUCAAAAGAAUUCUAAUUCUAAUUCCACAACUAAACGGGUCCAUACGCGGAUCUAAUACGGGCCAAAAAUUAAAAUCGGGUCAAGGAUAUUGGCAGCCCCUCAAUUCCUAUCUAACUCACCGUUUUUCCUCAGCCACUAGUGCUCUGCUCUCCACCAUCGCUUCCACCUGCAACCCUAAUAUUUUCAUAUUAGAGAAGUGGACGGUAGAGAAAGGAGCCAUUAUGGCUAAAUCUUUCUAGUCUUGAGAUUCACUACUGUCAAAGAUUAACCAUGAUUCCGGCCCGAGGGAUUGAGGUUCAUUGGUUCACUCAUAAAGUGUUGGCAAUCCGUGAAGAAUUUCAGAACAGGGUUCGAGGAGAGGAUUUCGACAAAAUCUGCCACAAUAUUCCUUCAGUAAGGAUCCUUCCACCUCUAAAUCGUAUUUUGAUACAGAUACGUCUUGAACAAAGCUUUAAUCCUGGAAGCCUUUCAUUCAGUGAUGUAAUUUUUUCCGCCUUCUUCUAUUUCCCAUUGUUCUUGUUUAACUCCAUUUUAUAGCUUCAUCUAUCAGAAUAUAUAGUGAGUACUACACUUUUUAUCGUUUACCUGCUCCUUCCUUCCUACUCGAAUCCAUGUUCUGAAUACUGUGAGAUCCAAGCUGCUUUUCGUAUUUGCUACUGCAGAUGAUGCCAAAGAAUCUGUAAAGAAGGGAAUUCGCUUGAGGUGAAAACCUUCUGAAGUUUUUUGACCAUGGGCUUAUUUUUUGCUUAUCUCUGCUGCAGAUUGCUGUUAGUUAUCUUGAUAAUUGAUAUUUUAACCUUUCUGGUCAAGUUGUGCAUUUCUUAAUGAUUGAAGGCCUGCUUUUGUUUCUGCUUCCUCUCACUAAUUUGUUCUAUUGUGACUGGAGUGGGUUUGAAUUCAGUUAGUUAAAUCGAGUCCAAGUUGCUUCCUCUCACUAAUUGAAUUGAGGGUUGAUAUCAAAGUGGGUGGCAUAUGAUUCUAGGUAGUCAAUGAAUUGUUUCUUGGUGGCGUAAUCAGGGUAAUAAUCAGGGAAGGGGAACUUAUUAGCUAUCCCGAAUAACAAGACAGAAAUGAAACCAUAUCCAUUUUAUCUUUCAUAUCCAUUUUUGUUCAGGUGGACUUGUUCUAGUUUUGUUUGGCUCAUUUCUUGUCUUGUUCAUCAGAUGUCUAAUGACAAAAGAAGUUCCUUUGCACCUGUUUCUCUGGCUCAGUAUAUCUGAUGCUGUCUUCCAUACAAACAAAAACUUGGUCCUUAAAUUAAUCCAGGAUCAAUAGAAUCUUCCCUUGUACUACUAUUAUAUAUCAUUUGUCUAAAUUAUACUACUGCUUCAUAUGGAUUGCUGGUGGUAGUAUUUUAUCUUCACUCUGAUGGAUUUUCUGAAAAAGUUUAAAUGAAUAAGAAAUAAGAAAUUUUUGGGUUCAAUUCCACCAGAAUUUGGUUUAUUUCUUGGUCGGAAUUCUGAAUUUUUACUGGAUUGUUACUGGAAAUGAUGGAAUUGAUGACCCACCCCACUAGUUACAAUAUGAUGUAGUUUUGCAGCAUGAUAUUUAUACCAGUUUUCUUCAUUGAAAGUGGUACUGAAUUCAAGAGAACCAAUAGUGCAGCAAACUUUGGCUACUGGACAAUAACUUCGUACAACCAUAUAAAAAUGUUGAUAGUUUUCUAGAAACGAAUUAAGUUUCAGCUUUUGUUGGUGGCUGGAAGAUUCUCCACAGGCUGCAGGAAGACUUGGCUUUUGGUGAAGGUGGUAGCGCAGAAGUUGUCCCCAAGGUGCUUGCAUCUCCAUGUAGGAGGAGGAGAGGUCUGCCUGACAAAUUGGCUGCAACAUAUCAAAAAGAUUAGUAGAGAAAAUAUAAUUUCUGCACGUAGUCCCAUUGGAUGAUUAUAGUUAAGUGGGGAACAAUUUAUAGCAUUUCUUGGGAUCUAAUGCUUUUUUAAAAUUGCUUUGCAUUCUUUCUCAAAGUUAAGGAGCUUUUGUAUAAGUGCUCUUCCUGUAUUCUAUUUAGCAAGUACUUGACUGUGUGUGAAUUGGUCAUCUGACAGUCUUAAGUUUUGUAUUUUCCAACAUCUCCUCCAAAGAAGCUGGUAAAUAUUAGUACAAAGGUUCGGUCGUGUAUUUAUCAUAUUGUGUUACAAAAACAAGAAGCCUCGGGACUUUGUCUUCAUGAUUGAGAUCUAUUCUACAUUUUUUCAUUUCGUGGUGCACAGUUCUUUAUUCGGUAGAGUCAUAAAUUUUACCCUACUCGAUUAUCACCAAAAAAGUCAAUUUGUAUAUUGUCUUCUUUUUCACUAUUUUCUUGGGUCAGGUAAUUUGUGAGUAAUUAACUGUCCGGUAUUCUACCAUGUUUUAAGAAAUAUGCUAGUGUCAUUGGGGAUUUACUUUUACGGGGUUGAGGUCCAGUUUUGGUUGGAUGCCAAUAUCUAUACCAUACGUUGAACAAAAGAAGGCAGUCAGAUUGACAUGUCUCGCUAAUGCUGUGCUUAGCACAACCUACGUCUGGAAAUGUUCACCAAAGAAAUUGAUAUAAGAGUGGAAAAAAAUAAAUUAUUAAAGGCACAAAUUGGUUUUUACUUUUAAAUCUUUAGUAAAAAUUAGCUAAAUGUAAAGAAAAAAAUUAUUAUAUAGAAAAAAGAAAAAAAAGAAAAAUUUUAUGUAAGCAAAUGUUUCAUGAAAACAAUUCUAAUUCCUAAUGAAUUCUUCUCUCAUGCAAACAAAGGAUUUGGAAUUUCAAAUAAAUUCCGUAUCAAUUCUAUGCAUUUCCCAAACGAAAGAAUUGGAAUGACUUGGAAUUCCAAUUCAUAGAAUUCCAAUUCUAUAGAAUUUCAAUUCUAAUUCAAUUCUAAUUCUAUAAAACCAAACGCACCCUGACAAUGAAUUUCAAUGAUUUUCUUAUAAUCCCAUUCAUGAAUAGACUUCUAAUUAUUCCUUGGGCUAUUUACAUAAUACUAACAUUGAGUUAUUCUUGCAAUAUUGCUCAUAAGAGGGACAAAGGUAAUAUGACUCUCUACUUUGUAAGUUAAUUUGUUUGAACUUCAAGUUAAUAUUUUAAGUAAAGGAUAAAAGUAGUGUGAUCAGUAUAUAAGUCUGUAUUUGAGGCUUACAAUGUUUUAGCAAAUGCUUGGUAAUCCCCUUACUAAUCAAAUUCGAUGAUAAAUUAUUAAUUGAUUUUCUAGAUAAAGUCACCAUAUCCUUUAGUUAAGCAUUAAGAGAUGAGGCAAACCUAUAAAUGGAGAAUACCUUAGAAUAGUUGGUGAGGUGGCAAGGAGCUUUUCCUAAUUUUUCCUUAACAAGAUUUUUAUUCCUCUCUUUUCUCAAAAUAAACUUUUUAGCUUUGGUAGCCUGGCUAUUUGAAACAUUUGCAAGUGAAGUUCCAUGAAGACUGCGUUAGAAUUUGCUUAUUCGAGAUAAGGCAAGUGAAAAUCCCAAGCAACUUCCAAUGCAAAAGCAUUCAACUUUUGGCAACGAAGCAUUGCACUUCUACACGGAUUGAGGGCUCACAAUUCGUCACACCAUUAUCCUUUUUUGUCAUUAGAACAUAAUACUAGAAAUAUGCAUAUGAAAUAUGUCACUUAUUAUGGCAAUUGUACACUUUCAAUGCAACGAAUGUACAAUUUAAACAUUAGUUUAUGUUGUAAUGAAUAUGUAAGUAAGAGUUACAUUAUGGCUAAUCUUUGCCAUAGAGUAUCUCAAGCAAUCAGGCCAAAUAAUUGUUAAGGCACUUUUAUAUCUAUUCAAUGAGAUUGAAACAAAUGCACCGUUCAAGUUAUUCUUUGUCAAAAGUCGUUAGUCAAGCAGUUUAGCCAAAAACAAGAGAGGUGUAAUUGUUCAUGCCCCGUUCUUGGUAAGAUGGAAGCUAAUGUAUCAUUCAAAGUUACUUUUGGCCAAAAUUCAUGCAUCAUUUUUCAAAAGGCUUCAUGAAAGUGAGCUCAACAUUCUUGGUUGUGUGUAAGUUUAAAAGUACUUCAUAUCUCAAGAUACCAUUGAUUCUUACUUUCUCUUUUCAAAAAUAAAAGUUCAAGUAAUAUGACAUCACAAGCCCGAUUACUGAGACACAAAGGCAAGUAUAAGUGUUUUACAUGUUUUUCAAAUAAAGAAUAUGUUAUAUAUCCCCCAAAAAAUCUUAAAAGAAAGAAAAAAAACGUCCUUUCUUGCUUGAAAAUUUGCAUCAUAACGCGUUCUAUUGUUGGGCAAUUAAUCCUCAUGAACAAGAUACGGAGGUCAUUGUCUACGAGUAAAUUUCCAAAUCCGGCUGCCUUUUGAAGCUGGUUUGCAAAAUGUGAAAGUUUUUAAACAAAGAACGCAUUCACUAUAUCCAAUGUUUAAAAAUUUAGAAAAAAAAUAUAGUUUUACUCCUUAUUGUUUAGUCUCUGUGCAGUUUUAGAUCUUAAAGGUUCGGUAAAAGUAAAUCUAGUCGUUAAUGUAUAGUGUAUGUACAGUUUUAGUCCUCUGGGGAUUGGUCUGGUGGUUGAAGUUGUUGAAGAUGAAGACUUAGGUCCUUGGUUCGAACUUUACUGCCAACAAGUUGUGGAGGGUGGGAAAUAGUCUGCGGGAUUCACUUCCUACGGAACACCCCUAAAAAAAAAAAAGUAUAGUAUAUGUACAGUUUUAGUCUCUAAAGAUUUGACAAGAGCAAUCCGAUUUUCAAUGUAACCAUUUUGAAGCAUUUUAAGGGCAAUUGAUAAAUUUUUCUAAAUAUUAAUCAAAUCAGUCACGUGCAAUCACAUGUUUGUUAAAAAAAACUUCUUAAAAGAGAAUCAAACUAAUGAGUAAUCUUUAACAAUAAGAAUAACUUGCAUGCUAACACAUUAGUAACAAAUUACUCAAGAAAAAAAAGAAAGAAAAUUUGUUAAUCUAUACUAAAAAUUAGGAAUCACAUUUUUUUACUUGGAGACACUAGAGAUAGUUAGUGAACAUGAAUUCUAGAUCAAUGAACUUGGUAUAUUGAAGUUUGAGUUUAAAAAUUUUCCUUCUUUUUAUUGGUUAAAUAGUUAACAAAUGAGUUAUUAGUUCUUAAUUUUAUUGUUUAAAGUUAGCUACUAUUUUUCUUCUUUAUUUUGGAAUUUAAUGUCUAAUUCCCAUGGAUUGGUAAUCCUUUCAGUUUUUUUACUAACAAAUGACGUGAACUGCUAUAUGCUUUUCUCCAGUGUGCUUGCGAUUAAAGUUUCUUGUCCCUCUCUGGUGGAACUUACACACAAUUAUUCAAUCAGAAAAAGAUGAAGGCCCCAGCAACAACAGUGAUCGAGGGCCAAGCAACUUCCAUUGCAAAAGCAUCCAAAUUUAUUGAGCCACUGAUCGAGGGCUCCCUGAUGUCUUUCAAGUAUUCUACCGAAACAACUAAUGGCCGCCUUCAUUGACCAAACUUAGAAUUGUUGUGGCCGACAAAAUUUAGUCUAGGCUUUCAUACAGCUAUUCUUUAUCAAAUCAUGCAACAUAUAUUUAUUUGUAAACCAAAACUUGUAACAAAUAUUUGGAAUUUUUUUUUUGAAAAAUAUUGUGACAUUUCUUUAAUCUGAUGUAUAUAAGAUAAAAAAAUAAUUAAAAAAUAUAUUAAUAAUGUAAAUAAAUAAAUUUUGACAAAUAAUUUACGAUCACAAACAAAUCCAUUACAAUCAGAUGACAGGUUACUAUGAACAGAGUCUGCUCAUAGACACGUUAGAUAACUAUGAACGGCGAGUCUUUUAGAAGUUUGCAUCCGAAGAGCAAAAAAUUCCUUUGCUAACUUAAAUAUAUGCAUUUACCAUUACAUGUACUGAGAAAUAACUCCUACAUUGGCAAUAAUUCAUACGGUAAUUCAGAUAUUUUUAGUAACAGGCCCCAGAUUGAAUCAUAAAAAGAUGAAGGCCCCAGCAACAACAAAAAUGAUUAAGAAAGAUCAGGCGAAAAUGCCAAAGCAACUUCCAUUGCAAAAGCAUCCAAUGGAGAAUUGAAGCCCAGCACUAGACUGAUUGAAAACUCCUUAUUUGUCACAUAAUUAUCAUUAUUUAUUUCUUGUACCAAACCAUAGCAGUCGAAGUUGAGUUGGACCACAGGUUUGUUAAUGUGAGCAUAAAUAUCUCAUGUGAUUAGGGUGGUUCUACACCUCGAAUGCAACAAACGUAGUACAAUUUAAGCAUGGGUUUGUGUUGUAAAUUUGUAAUUAAUAUACGCAAAUAAAAGUCAUUGUGUGAUUGUAAAAAAUGGAUAGCUGAUUAUGAAUUGUCUAAUUAUAAGGAAGUAAAUAAAAAUUUUCUCUUAAUUUCUUAAAUUGGAGAAUAAAAGAAGCCGGUGAAUUGUAAUUAAUCUGUUAUACAAAAAAAAAUAUGUUGUUUCUUCAACUUUAUAAAUUUUUAGUUUAAAAAUUUUUUAUUUGCUUAAAAAUAAAAAUUUUUUAAAUAAGAAUAAAAAUUAAUAAAAUUUUUAAAAAUGUAAUUUGGAAUAAAAACUAGAAGGGAAGGGGAAAAAAGAAGAAAAUAUCAACAUUGUAGAGGGAUUUUUUUUUCCCUCUUAGGGGGUUAAGUGUUACAAAAUAGAAAUUAGAGGGUAAAAUGAGAAACAGGACAUACCUUAGCAAGAUAAAUGGCAAUUAACCCCUAUUAUUAAUUAAAUAAAUUUUAUAACACUGACAGUGCAUACACUCUCAUCGUUAAAUUCAUGACACGUGUGCAAAAAUUAAAUUUAAAUUUAAAUUUUAUAUAGUUAUCAUUAAUACAAUGAUGAUAGUGUAUACAUUGUCAGUAUAGAAAAGAUUAAUCCUUAUAAAAGAGCAAUCCGAUUUUCAAUGUCACCAAUUUGAAGCAUUUUGAGGACCACUGACGAAUUUUUUUAAAUAUUAAUCAAAUCAAUCACGUGUAGUCACAUAUUUGUUAAAAAAAACUUCUUAAAAGAGAAUCAAAAUAAUGAGUAAUCUUUAACAAUAAGAAUAACUUGCAUGCUAACACAUUAGUAACAAAUUACUCAAGAAAAAAAGAAAGAAAAUUUGUUAAUCUAUACUAAAAAUUAGGAAUCACAUUUUUUUACUUGGAGACACUAGAGAUAGUUAGUGAAAAUGAAUUCUAGAUCGAUGAACUUGGUAUAUUGAAGUCUUAGUUUAAAAAUUUUCCUUCUUUUUACUGGUUAAAUAGUUAACAAAUGAGUUCUUAAUUUUGUUGCUUAAAGUAAGAUACUAUUUUGCUUCUUUAUUUUGAAAUUCAAUUUAAUAGGCACAUGGCUUAGACAUGACUAAAUUUUGUUAGUAAUUGAGAUAAAAUUCUUCAAAUGUCCUAAAAGCAGCUUUAAAUUGAAUAUAAACGGGACCAGACUUGCUCUUGCUAUAACUUUAUGGACUAAAACUGCACAUGUACAAAAUAUUGAGGAUCACGAUUGCUUUUGUUAAAACUUUAUGCCUACGAAGACUGAAAUGUGGCAUUCAGCAAAUGCAACUCUUCUACAAUUAUGAGAUUGGUCCAAUGGUCAAGAGCAGCCAACUCUUCAACUCUUUUAACGCAUUCAUCGUUGUGUACAAAAGCAGCCAGCUGGCAAAAUAGGUACUACAUUGACAAUAAUGGAAAACUUCCAUUGCAAAAGCAUCCAAAUUUCCCACUGAAUUGAACCACUGAUCGAGGGCUCCCCGAUGUCUUUCAAGUAUUCUACCGAAACAACUAAUGGCCGCCUUCAUUGACCAAACUUAGAAUUGUUGUGGAUAACAAAUCACACGAAGAUUCAAAUCAGUUUCACAUUCAACAAAAACUAGAACAAUUAGUUGGUGUUCUUCCACAAUUAAGGCCCCCACCAGUGACUAAAUCAAUUUGAUUAAUCACAAUUAUACUAAUCUGAAUCUCACACAUCAACCCACUGGAAUCGUUAACUCAUCUCUCUCUUAUUCUGACUGGCUUCUAUUCUGAUUUCUACCAUUUGUUGCUGAAACAUUCCUUCCAUCUCUGAUAUCAGAAAACCUUUCGAUCCUAGUUCCAAUUCCAAGCAAGAAACAAUGGCUGACGCUGCUAUCAGUGCUACUGUUAAGGUCGUCUUGGGGACACUUAUUUCCAUUGCUGCGGACCGCAUUGGUAUGGUUCGGGAGGUCAAAGCAGAGUUGGAGAGACUAAGCAACACUGCUGCAAUCAUCCAAGGUUUCUUGGCUGAUGCUGACGGGAAAAUGCAUACCCAAGGGGUGCGAGAGUGGCUCAAGCAGCUAGAAGAUGAGGUUUUUAAAGCUGAUACCGUGCUAGACGAGCUCAACUACGACAAUCUUCGUCGGGAGGUGAAGUACCGAAAUCAACCAAUGAAGAAGAAGGUAUGCUUCUUCUUCUCCUUCUUUAAUGCAAUUGGCUUUAGUUCCAGCUUGGCUUCAAAGAUCCGGGACAUCAACACCAACCUAGAAAGGAUCAACCAGCGAGCCAAUGAGUUGAGAUUGGCCAAAAAGCAGCAAAAAGAAGCUGCACUCCCUGCUGAUGCCGCUGGUGCCAGACAGACCGACUCUAUUGUCGUUCCGAACGUUGUGGGAAGAUCCGGCGACGAGUCAAAGAUUGUGGACAUGUUAUCGAGCCCAUCUGAAAAGGUUCUUUCUGUUAUUCCCAUAACAGGCCCGGGAGGUUUGGGAAAGACAACUCUGGCGAAAUCAGUCUACAAUAAUCCAAAAAUAGAUGGGCACUUUGGCCAAAAAAUUUGGGUUUGUGUGGCUAAAGAACAAAUUAAGAUAAUGGAGCUGUUCAAGCUCAUUUUAGUACAAUUGACAGGAGAAGAAGUUAAAGUGGAUGACAGGAAUGUUAUCGUUAAAAACAUUGGAGAAAAGCUCAAGGGACAAAAAUAUUUCCUUGUUCUUGAUGAUGUGUGGGAUCAUGAACAAGGAUUGUGGAAUGAUUAUUUCAACACUUUGAUGGGACUCAACGAAACCAAAGGAAGCUGGUGUCUUCUCACUACUCGUCUAGAAUAUGUGGCUAAUGCUGUGCCUAGAGAUUUGCAAAUGAAUGAUCGUCCUUAUUUCUUAGGAAAGCUAUCAGGUGAUGAGUGCUGGUUCAUCAUAAAAGGAAAGGUGAUGAGUGCAGGGGAAGAAGUACCAGAAGAAUUGGAAGCACUAAAGGAGCAAAUUUUAAGGAGAUGCGAUGGCCUACCCUUGGCGGCAAGUUUGAUUGGUGGCUUGUUGCGUACCAACAGAAGAGAGAAGUGGCACUCCAUUGUGCAGGAGAGUCUUUUGAAUAAAUAUCAAAGCCAAAUUAAUCAAAUACUUAAGGUGAGCUUUGAUCAUUUAUCAUCUCCAUCAGUUAAGAAAUGUUUUGCAUAUUGCUCGAUUUUUCCCCAGGACACUGAAUUAGGAGAAGAUGAACUAAUUGAGCAUUGGGUUGCUGAAGGUUUUGUUCUACCAGAUCGGGAAAACACAGGAAUGAUGGAGGAAAGAGGAGGCGAGUAUCUAAGGAUUUUGUUACAAAGUUCCUUGCUGGAAAAAGUCGAAGAUGAGGGGAGCACAUACUAUAAAAUGCACGAUCUGGUGCAUGAUUUUGCAAAAUCAAUUCUCAAUCCAGAAAGCAGCAAUCAGGAUCGCUACCUUGCAUUGGACUCUUCUAAAGGUUUGGAAGAAAAUACCAUAAGGAAAAUACCAGCAUCAAUUCGCACAUUAUUUCUCCAUCUAGAGGGUGGCGUAUCUACUGACAUGAACAUGCUUUUAAGAUUCAAGUGCUUGAAUGUUCUCAAAUUGUCUGGAUAUGAUGUCAAUUUUCUACCGAGCUCCAUUGGCAAACUACUACAUUUGCGGCUGCUCGACAUUUCAUCUUCUAGAAUCAGAAGUUUGCCGGAAUCUCUUUGCAAGCUAUAUAAUUUGCAGACACUAACGAUUGAUGAUGAUGAACUUAAAGGAGGUUUUCCAAAACGGAUGAGCGAUUUGAUUAGCUUGCGACAUCUAAACUACUAUGAUUAUAAUGCAAAAUUGAAAAUGCCGAUGCAGAUGGGACGAUUGACUUGUCUUCAAACUCUAAAGUUCUUUAAUGUAAGUCAAGAGAAGGGUUGUGGCAUCGAAGAGCUUGGGACCUUGAAAUAUCUGAAAGGAUCGUUGACUAUAAGAAAUCUUGGACUAGUGAAGGGCAAAGAAGCAGCUAAACAAGCAAAAUUGUUCGAAAAGCCAGAUCUGUCUUACUUGGAGUUUAAAUGGGAGAGUGGGGAUCGGGAAAGCGAUAACCGUGAGGAGGAUGUGUUGGAAGGUCUCCAACCUCACCCAAAUUUGGAAAAGUUGAAAAUUCAAUAUUUUAUGGGUAAUAAAUUUCCACAAUGGCUUAUCAAUUUGUCAAAAUUGGAGGCAUUGCGGAUAGAAGACUGCAAGAGAUGCAGUGAACUCCCCUCAUUAGGACAACUACCAUCCCUCAAACGUCUCUCUUUGAUAAGAUUGGGCAACAUUCGAUUUAUUGGAGAUGAAUUCUACGGUAUUACUGCUAAUGAGGAGGAGGAGGAGGAGGGCAGAUCACGAGCAUCAGGGAGCGGCGCUAGAAGACGAAAAUUCUUUCCUGCCCUUGAAGAACUCUAUGUAGAAAAUAUGGGGAAUUUGGUAGAGUGGAAAGGUGCAGACCAAGUGAGGUCAACAGUAGGUGAAGCAGAAGCAGAUGUCUUUCCCAUGCUGAGGAAUUUUCGCAUUCAACGUUGCCCCCAGCUGACCGCUCUUCCAUGCUCGUGUAAAAGGCUAUACGUGGAGAAUUGCGAUAAUCUAACUAGUAUCAAAACGGGUUACGGCACUGCUUCUGUUGAGGAGUUGUGGAUCGACUCUAGCGACAAUCUUAGGGAGCUGCCAGAUCUGUUUGGAUCCAGUUUGCAGCGAUUGACGAUCAAAAGGUGCCCAAGAUUAAUUAGUCUGGGAGUAAAUGGACAGAAAUGCCGGUCUCUGCGGUCCCUGUGGGUGAUGUGGUGCCCCAAUCUGGUAUCAUUUUCGCUUAAUUUGCACGAGACGCCUUCUCUCGAGAAAUUCAGCUUAUUCGAUUGUCCCAAAUUGAUCCCUCAUAGGUUCAAUGGAUUUGCUUUUGCCACCAGCUUAAGAGAAUUGAGCAUCAACAGUCCCUUCUCCUCAGAUGACUCCUCAGUCGAUGGUUUUGAUUGGUCUGGUUUAAGAUCUGUAUCAACACUCCGUGAGCUUCGCUUACAAGGGCUGUCUCACACGGAGUCCCUGCCACACCAGCUUCAAUACUUGACUAUCCUCACUUCACUAAGUCUUCACAACUUUGGAGGAAUACGAGUGCUACCGGAUUGGAUUGGAAACCUUGUGUCCCUUGAAACCCUAAAGCUAUGGUUUUGCCAAAAGCUUCAGUCUUUACCACCCGAGGCCGCCAUGAGACGACUCACCAAGUUAACUUG
rnacentral:lncRNA from 1 species